GGAAAAAAUCCAGCAAGUGGGAAGUUGUAAACAACUCGAUCAAAACGCAUGCAUUUGAAUGGGAAAACGUUUGCCAUUUUGGUGGCAUCAACAUCAUGCAUGACCUUAGCACCCAAGCUCCGGAGUUUAUCGAUGUUGGACAAGGCAUGCCUAUAGUUUGUGCUCAAAAACUCUGAAAAUUGCAGCUGAUAGUCAUCAGUUAAGGUCAUAAGACAAACCCCAAAUGGGUGCUGGGGCACAUGCUAAUCAAGGUUUACUCAGGACUAGAAUGAGAAAAUACCCAAAUCAAUCAAAAUCAUGGCAUUCAUGAGAAAUACUCAAAGAAGAUUACCAACUUAUAGUUCAGGAUUUCUUGUUUGUUACCUAUAGAAUCAAGAGAAGUAGCGGUUAUGUUUGUAGCAGAAGCAAAAGCCACAGCCAAAGACGCAGAGAAUGAGAAGUCCCCUUCACCCACCAGCAAUAUUUUGUACUCACUGCUGUAGUGCUUUAUCCAUCUUACUCUAAGCUUUCCUUCCUCUAGGUCUUCUUCACAGCUGCCACAGUCCCACCAAUUUUUUCCUACCACUCCUCUGGUUCGUUCUUCGUUUUCUUCAAUUAUGUUGUAAUGGUGGAGCCGUGCAGAAACUUGAUUCUCAUCACCUACAACUUGGUUUUUAAAUUUUGCAGGAAUUAACAGAUCCAAUGCAUCAUCAGACCUGGAAUUGCUGCGUGGGUCCAAGCUCAGUGGAAAACCCAGAGAGUUUCGCUGCGAUGCACCAUUGAUGCCUGAGUUGCUGCUUGGGACAGAGCUCAGUGGAAGAGUCACUGGAUUUGGCUGGAAAUGGGAUGCACCACUCACGCUAGAGUGGCUGCAGGAGCUAGAGAGUAGUGAAGGAUGAGUCUGUAUCUUUGGCUGAGCAUGAGAAGUACCACUUGGCCUGGAUAGGCCACACGAGUUGGAGCUGAAUGGCUGAGGAGUCUGCACUGGUUUUGGGUAAAAAUGGGUUGUGCUGGAUUGGUUGCAUGAGCUAGAACUUAGCUGUUGGUGAGUCUCUAGUUUUGGCUGGACAGGGGAUGAUACAGUCGUGCUGGAGAGGCCACAUGAGCUCAAGUUGAGUGGCCGAUGAGUCUGCACUGGUUUUGGGUAAAAAUGGGUUGUGCUGGAUUGGCUGCAUGAGCUAGAACUCAGUUGUUGGUGAGUCUCUAGUUUUGGCUGGACAGGGGAUGAUACAGUCGCGAUAGAGAGGCCACAUGAGCUCGAGUUGAGUUGAUGAUGAGUCUGUAGUGUUGGCUGAAGACGUGAUGCACCACUUGUUUUGGAGUGGGUGAAUGGGUUAGAGCUAGAGCUAGAGUUAGAGCUAGAGCUCAGUGGAGGCGUAGGAUGAGUCCGUAGAUUUGUCUGCAAUGUGUAGUCCCUACAUGAUCCUAAACUCGGUGGAGAAGUAAUUGGAUUUGGUUGCAACGCAGGCCUUGAGCUUGAAGAGUUGGUGUCUGAGCCCAAUCUCGGUGGAGAAAUCAGGGGUAGUCUUUCACUUGGCUUCUUUUUAUCAUCUUUUUCACCCCACAACCAGCGAAUAAUAAUGGAGAGAAUUUGACCCAUUGAAUCACCCGUCCCCCUUCUUUUUCUUCUUUUUCUUCUUCUUCUUCAUCUAGGAGCCUGUAAACAUAGAAAUGUCCCUUGUCAUGAAAACCAUGCGGGCGUGCACUGCAAUGUCAAUGGACUUGACACAGGUCCCACCAACAUUGCAUUAAAUUUUCCUUCUCGGACAAGUAAGAUAAGGAAUGCCUCUGCCACAUACUGUUGAGAAAUAUAAGAAGAUAUUACCCACAAAGCCUAUCAUGUUAAAUCAGGUAUCAUUUCAUAUCAAAUCAUUGUAGCCUGCUUGACUACUCCAAUUCCCAAGCCUUUCUCCUCCUUUUUGAAUGUUGAUUCCAUCAAUGUCUAGUUUCUAGUGAUCUAGGGUUGGGUGAGUCUUUCUCUGCCAUAUCAGACUGAGACAUUAAUAAUGGGAUUCUUUUUUUCUUUUCAAAUCAAUAUGACUCAAAUGCAACAUUCAUUCUAUUCGGGAUUCAAAUUGUCAACAAAUGAACCAAAAAUCAUCUUCACAGCCAAAUCUACAACUACUAAACAUCUUUUCCCUGUAAAACUAGUAAAAUUUCCAUCCAGACAUGUUGAUUAACUAUAGAAGAACAUGCUUCUGCAUUCAUCCCCAUCUAAGUUCAGCAUUUUAGCAGAAACUCAAUAUGAAAAAACAGAAUGACAGAAAGGGUAAAAGGGCGUCAAUAUCAAUACCAUGAAUGCAGAUGAGCUUGUGGAUGAUGAGAGCUUUGUUGAGACCAGAGAUCAAAGCUCCCAAAUCAGAGUUUUCCCACCAAAGAUCGGACGAGAUCAAACACUAGUGAUGCUUGGCUUGCAGGAGAUCCAUCAGUGUUGGGUGUGAGAGAUGAGAGUUGUCCUGAGAGUGAAGGGGGAGCAAUAUCAGAAGGUAAAGAAGUUUCCCAUGAUUCGUACGUCCAAAGACUUGGUUGGACUUGGCCAUUUUUAUGCUACGUGGAGGCACUCUAUUCGGAUUAAUAAAGUGAUAAAAGAAAAAAAUUAGGAAAGAAGUCCAUUGCAUCAAAGAAUUUGAUACCCAAAGUCAUGGAAGUAAUUAAAACAGAUUGAUGAUGAUGAUGGUUGUACCAAACAGCAUUUGAUACCCAACCCACCAAUCAUAAAAUUCAGUGACAUGGGAGUGUAUAAAGCAAAAUAAGAUAUACUAAAAUUAUUUUAAAAUACUUUAUAUUUCCAAAUAAUCUUUUAUUUGGGGAAAUGAAAACAAAGUUGAAGAAUUAUUCUAAAACAAUUUAUUCAUUUUAAGAUUUUUUUUUUCUUUCACUUGGUAAAUAUAUCAUAAUUUUAAAAAUUAUUCUAUUAUUUAAUUUGUAUUAUUUAAUACUUAUCAUUAUAAAAAUAAAUAUGCACUUAAAUAUUUAUAAAAAUAAACAUUACUUAUUUUUUGUAAAAAUUUUCAUAAAGCUUACCGUUGGUCUAGCGAUACCAAUCUCUUUGUUUAUUGCUGCCUUUUAGGUUUGAUUUCUCAUACUCCUCUUUUCUACAUAUACCCAUCCCACAUUGAAACCUUAUACAAACAUUUCCUACCAUAGAUUACAUAUGAGCUUGGCAUAGAAAUUAGUUACUUAUAAUGUGGCCCAUCAAAAUAAAUGUAUUUGGGCUGUACAGCUUUUAGGGCUACAAAAGGUGUUAAUUUUGCCGGUCAAAUUUUGAAAACAUUUAGAAUCAAUAGAGGGGUUCACAUUUUCUGUACAAAAAUAUUCUUAAUUUUUGUGUAUUCUUCGAUAAAGAACUCUAUGUAUUUUCAAUAAAGUUGAAAUCGUACAACAUAUUCUUAAUUUGAGGCAUUGACAUAUUAUGGACCCUGCAUUUUGACUCAUGCGCUUCCACUCGAAUGGCGUGACUCGUUUUUCUAUUUUGAAAAAAUGAUUUAUUAUUAUUAUUAUUUUUUUUAGAAAAUGACUUAGAAUCGCUACUUAUUUUUGUUUUAUUUUUAAAGGGUAAAUAAAAUAAGAAAGAAAAACUCUAAGUAUGACCCAUUAUUUGGAAAAGGUGGUCUGUGAAAACCAAAAAUGGGUUCGGGGGUUCAAUUACUUAUCAAGAAGGUAUGAUAAAGACUGUAACACCCCAUUAAGUCCUUAAAAACGGGUUCCUACUAAUAAAAUGAAGCAAGUAUGAUAAUUGAUAAGUAAAUCAAUGGAUACCGAAUGAAAAUCAAAACAAAAUACUCAAAUGAAUACGAGAGGUCAAGAACAUACCUGAGUGAGGAACUGAUUUAUUUCAUGGGAAGCAAAGGUUAGUAAACAAACAUAGGAUGAUUAUGUGCAUAUCAUGGAAUAGAGUAAAUCAAUUAUAUAUGUAAAGCAAUCAGAUCAAUCAAUCAAUCAUAAAAUCACGUAUGUGGGGCCCUCCACCAAGACCCGAUUUAUCUUAGCAUAAAUUAACGAUAAAUUUCAUUAUUUGAAAUUAUAAGAUUAUUCAUGCUUAUUAAAAAUGUGAAAAUUGGAAAAUUAUUAAAGAUCAAGGAGAAUUUAUGAAAGAUGAUUGUCGGGGAGAAAUAUGGCAGCCUAGUUUAUUAAGGAGCGGAAAAUAUUUAAAAUCAAUGAAAGAAAGUAAAAAUAAAAUAAAUAAAAAAGAAAUAUAAUAAUAAUAAAAGAUAAAAUAAAUGAAAUAAAAUAAAAAAAGAAAUGAAAAUGAAAAUAAAAAUAAUAAUAGUAACAAUAAUAGGAAAUAAAUAAAUAAGCAAAAUGAAAAAGGCACGCCCCUGAGGAAAAUGGCAAGAGUUGAUUUGUUAAAAUUGGAUUUAUUUAAGAUCAAGAAAGAAGGAGAAAUGAAGAAUUAAAAUCAAGUAAAAACGAGAUUUUUUUGGAAAUCCAUUUUUGAAAGUGUGCAUGAGAAAAGAGGAGUGUGGGACACGUGGGAAUUGGAUGGGCAAGUGGUGGAAGUGAAUACUGGGGGUUUAAUUGAAUGCAGAUUCAUAAUCUCAGUACUGAUUCCAUCCUUUGCAAGAGUAUCAGCAGCCUUGAGUGCUAGGCCUCCCUACCCAUUGUCUUUAUAGUCCACCCAUGUUGUUUCUCAAAUCUGUACCUCUCUGAAUCAGUCGCUUUUUGUGCAUCGGCUACCCCACUCAGCAAAGGCCGCUCAAAAGUUGUUCUCAUCAUGUACUCAGCAAAAAUUUCUUGGUCAAUGGCAGAUGGGUUUUUGUAAUAAUGAGAGGUGGAGACGAGAAUGGCGAGGGCGUGAACAUGGUUAACACUAACGCUGAAUUGAUCUUGCAACACUCUCUCUCUCACUGAUCACACAUGCUCAUAGGCACUUCCUCCUUUCUUUCCUUGUUAGCAGAAUCCAUCUCAUUGUAGACGAAGUUACUGGAAACGGCCAUCAACAUGAUCCAGAACACCAGAAAUUUUCUUUCUCAGCUAGUUCUCUUCUCCUUGCUCUCCCCUCCUCAGUUUUUCCAUUUUUCAUCACUCUCUGAAAAGCUCCCUCUAAAUCUUCGCCUCUCAAGCAACCUCCUUCCCUUUCUAUCUCUUCUUCCUCGCUCAAAAGACCCUCAUUCUCCAGCUGAUCUCUUCCCUCUCUCUAUCUCCUGCUUCAAAAUCUGAAUAAUCAUGGAUUUCUCAAUCAACCCGUGUUUUCAAGGAGUUGAGCACACCAUACAUGUUCUAAACCUGACCAUACUGCCUCAAAAGGGUAAUCUCCUACUCCGCCUCGUUCUUCAUCUUGGCCCUGUACUGGUAAGGAAUGGCAGCAACCCGAGCCCAUAGUACAAACAUAAACGCAUAACUCAAGGCAAAAACAGGGACUGCAAGUCCAUUCAUGAGGGGAAUCAAGUUGUCUGCAAUUGAUUGAAGCUGUUUAGCCGCUGACCAAGAGCAAGAUACACUCCAUGAAAGAGAUCAAGAAUGCCCAGGCGGGUGAUGUCGUUGAUACUUGCUGGAUUGAUGACGCCCAAAUGACUGGUUACAGGUGUGAAAAAAAAAGACCCAGUUUCCUUCUCAGACGCGAGAAACAUGCUCAUGUCGAUCAACAAUUCUUCUUCAAGCUUCGGAACGCAGCAUCUGUGCCUGUGUGCGUGAGCAGGCUAAGGAAUUCAGACAUUAUAUGUGUUGUAUUAUUGAUGCCGAGGUGAGACACUACUUUUAUUAUUGAUCAUGUGGAAUGAAGGUACGUGAAUGGGUGAGGUCACUCCGGGGUUAUUUUAGGUUAAUUGAUGGUCAUUAUCUGAAGAGCAUGCUAGUGGGAGAAAUGAGAAAGACGAUCUGGGAGGGAAUAUGAUGGGUUAUAAGCUGAGGAAGGGGCAUGAGGAGGGACUAGCGGGUAUGGAGAUGAGGAACGAACAGGUGGUGGCGAGCAUGUUAAUGGGUAUGAUAGGUGUAUUGGGUAUGGGUGUGAUCAGUAGAGUGACUUGUGGAGAGUAUAGCAUGGGGAAUGAGUAAAAAAAGAAUGGGUAUGCCGAUGGCUUUGAUGGGUAUGAAUGUUUAGAAGACGGUAAGCUGGUCAUGACGUCCUAGGCGAGAAUGGUUUGGCCUGGUACUCAAAUUUGAUGGAAUGAAUUUUGGAUGGAAAAGUUUGUGAAGGUAUGUCUAGCUAUGCACGGCCAUGCAUAGGCGCGCCCAUUUCAUCUCAAUGUCCAGAACUGUUCCUGAGAUUUCCCGGUAUCUCUACCCAAUGAUGGCGUCACCUACCACAUCUGGACAACUCUCCACUAUUAUUCACUUGAACCAAAACCUUCAAAUGCUUUCUUCUCAUUAUUUACACCUUCAACCAUGGCCAGAUUGAGGACUGUAGCCAGGAGCUGUUUCAUCUUAUUGCUCUACAAAUGCUCAAUAAAAUACCAUUCAAUGUCUUUUGGAAGCUGUGGUGCUCUUUCAUUCAUCUCCUGAACGUAGCUUUCGCCAAAACAACGGUGACCGACGUCGUGGACUUGUCAGAUGUGAGAGACUGGUUUAGUUCUUGAGACAGCCAUAACGCGGACUUGAUCGGACCGACGACCUGACCUCUCUGCUGUUUGACGAACACGGAAUAUGACGGACCGGAGCGGCCUUGCCAGAGUCAUUUUACAAGCUGGAACUAUAUGGUCAAUAGACAAAUUCUUGAAACUUGGGGAAAAAGAAACAGCUCUGAAAUCCAAGUCUCAGACCGAUUCCCCAACACUGUUUGCCAUAAUGAUCCUUGCAUGCUCUAACAAGAUCAUGCAUAAAGCUGCAUGCCCAGUAGGCCGUAUCAUGAUUGCUGAAUCCUUUUUGAAGCAGACACAUAGCCCGGUGGAUGACUGCGUCUGAUAGGUCAGAUGCUGCUACAGUUCAUAUACCAAUGACCACCAUCCUCUUCAUCUGAGCUCUCUCAGAUUCACUCCGAUCAAGACAACCAGACCAAACAUGAUACCCAACUUUCGAAAAAAUUACCAGAAACAGAGGGGAGGGUGAAGAAAAACAGAGCAUGCAUAUAAGAGAGAAAAAAACAUGAUGUAAAUAUAGCUUCAUUUCAUGAUGAUCAAUGAGCAGGAAGUGGGUGGGAAAAUCUCAAGCAGAUCCAAAGCAGAAGUGAAAACAAUAACUCUAAACACCUCACAGUUAAUAAGAUAACAAGAAGUUCACCAAUUUUUCGAGUCAAAUCAAAGAAACAGAGGAAGAAUCAGCAACACAGGUGGAAAAUCGACAAAUAAAUCAUCUAAGACAUCCAGUGAAAUGAUACCCAGAAUCAAAAAAAUGUAUGGUUCACCGUGAGCUUACCUGAAAAUGCACUAGAUGUCUUCCCCCCAGCUUCCUCUCUCUCUCCCCCCGUUUUUUUUCUCUGUAACCUCUGCUUCCUUCUCUCCUAAGCUCCCCCAAAAACGGCAGCAAAAGCACCACCCUCUCUCUCUGUAACCAAAACCAGAAUAUCCCCCCGCCUGCUGGCAGCUUGCUCUCCAAGAAAAUAUCUCUCCCCAAAAACCACCCAGCAAGCUUGCCAAAAACACCUCCUCUCUAACGGCCAAAAGAUUCCAUAACAGGUGUCCAUUCUUCAUUGCUUCCUCAACCCACUAUUGAGAUUCACUGACAGCCAGUCCAAAGACAACACGUGGCUCCUUGAGAGCCCUCCACCUGGUAAGAACAAGCUGUAGAAAACCUACCCAAAAUGGGGGUCUACACAUACAUUUUCGUACAAAAAUAUUCUUAAUUUUUGUGUAUUCUUCAACGAAGAAUUCUAUGUAUUUUCAAUGAAGUUGAGAUCGUAUAACAUAUUCUUAAUUUGACUCGACUUAGAGGCACAUGCAUAUAUUCUCUAGCUAUACAAAAAUAUUCUUAAUUUUUCUGUAUUCUUCAAUAAAGAACUCUAUGUAUUUUAUGCAUAUAUUCUCUAGCUAUACAAAAAUAUUCUUAAUUUUCAUUACAAGGAAAAAGGUAUAUGGUGACAUUUAUAACAAGUCACCAUAAACAUAGGGUGUCACUACAAUAUAACGUCACCUUCUCCACUAACACCAUAGAGGGUACCAAUUGGUGACGUAUUUGGAAGUGACACCAAAGUAGAUAAAUGGUGACCCAUUCGGAAGUGACACCAUAUAUUUCUAGUCAUGAUAGGGUGUCACAUUAAAUACAUCAUCUUUGAGUUAUGAUGUCACAUUAAAUGCAUCACCUUUGAGUUAUGGUAUCACAUCAUUGUAAAUUAUUGUGGAAGAUAUGAUUGGUUUUAGUUGUUGAUUUUUGUAAUGCUUAUGAAUUAAUAAGAUUAACCUGUUUAUAUUUUGUCCAUAAAUAUAACAAUCAUAUUAUAUUUAACUCAUUUUUCUGUAAUGUUUCUGAAAUAACUCAUAAUACAUUAAUCAUCUAAUAAUAUUUGUAUAUCAAAUGUUCACAAAAGGAUAGUACGUCUAACAUAUCAAACCCAUCAAAACCAAAAAAGAAGAGUGAAUACAUACCAAAACAUGAUUCAGAAAUGUUAAAGAUCCCAAGAUUCAUGUAUACCUCCAUUUCAUAAGCAUAAAAUCGACUAACCAUAAAAUGACAUAAAAGUCCCAUCUAAAAAUCUAAAUUUCUCAGUUGCAAUUAAAGUAACGUUUAUGUCCUAUAACGUAUGACAUAAGAGUUGCAUUUAAAAACCCAAAAUCUUGUUGCCUUCUUCUUUUUUUAUUCUCCAUUUCACCCUCCCAAGAGUGUAUACCUGCAUUUCAAAAUUUAAUGAGUUUUAGAGAUUUUUAUUGAAGAAAAUAAACAUGGAUCAAUGUUAUCAUAAAUGAACAAAUCUAAGAACUAUUUUUUUUUCAAAUAGAAACAUUAUUCAAAGAAUAAGCAUUACUAUAUAAUACCUAUGGAAAAAUUCAUGUAGUAGUUAAGGGACUCACCAUGCAUGGUGAUCAUGAUGCAUCAACAUGAUUCAUGAUUAGUUGUAGCACAAAAGUAGCCCAUUAUCCUCUAAUUUCAUCGAAUUCUACUUGAGAAUAUGUUUUUUUUUUAUCACCAAACUGAAAUCAAAUAAGAAAAUAACAUUAGAAUGCAUAACAUUUGGAGGCCUAAAACUAUGUACAAUUCAUUAGAUAAGUAAUACCUUUGAAGCAAUAAUUGUAGGAUAAAAAAUUAUCUCUUUAAUGAAUCUCAUAACAAAAUAGCCACAUUCAAACCCUCCUUCUUGUCUUGGACACUAAUCGAUCAAUUAUAAAAUAACAUUAGUACUCACAUAUAUAAAUGGUGCAAAUGCAUAAGCUAAUGUGUAAAGAAAAAUUUUUGGAUGUCACCUGCACUAGUUGCUAAGAUGGCUCCCUCUUAGAUGUUUUCUUUGCAAAUAUUCGAAGAGCCCUAUGUAAAUAAGUUCAAUGGGUACAUUUUUAAAAUAGGUAAAUGUUACAUGUUUUAAUAUAUAUAAAUAAUAAAAAAAAUGUGUUUGAGGUGAAUGUAUUUUUUUAUUUAAAAAUAAUACUAUGAAAAAUAAUAGGAAGAACUUACAUGUUUACGAUGUCAUUUAAGUCCUCACAUGGUUUGUGAUGCAUAGGGUCAAGAUAGUGGACUAUCAUUUUCCUUGGCUCAAGCACUACUUAAAUAUAAACCCUUUAAGUCCUCAUAUCUAUUUCUAUUAACAAAAUAUAAAAACUUUACAAAACUCAACUACUUAAAUAUAAAAACAAAAUCAAAUAAAAUAUCUAGCUAAUUGGAUUUUAGAAACUAAAUAAACUAUAAAUUAACUAAAUAUAAAAACUAAAUAAAAUAUCUAUGCCCAUGAAUUAAUUGAAUAGGAUAGAAAGACAUAGAGAGAACAUGGUUAUGAUUAUGAUUUCCAUCUUAUCAUCUCCCGUCAAUACCACACAUGCCCAUUUUAAGGUUGGACACUACUUUUGUUGCUAGACUUGGAAAGGGAACUUCAAAAUUGAAAACAUAAAUAAACCCUUAUGUAAAAAAAAAAUAACAUUAAAAUAUAAUUGAGCAUUAAAAUAUUUACUCUCUUUCAUCACUUUCAUUUGAAUAUUAAUAAUCUCUUAUUGAGAUAGAUACUUACAAUUUAACAAAAUAGAAAUUCCUAAUAAUAAAAAAUAUAAAAAAUUCUAUUUCUAUUAACAAAAUAUAAAAACUUUCCAAAACUCAACUACUUAAAUAUAAAAACAAAAUCAAAUAAAAUAUCUAGCUAAUUGGAUUUUAGAAACUAAAUAAACUAUAAAUAAAUUAAAUAUAAAAACUAAAUAAAAUAUCUAUGCCCAUGAAUUAAUUGAAGAGGAUAGAAAGACACAGAGAGAACAUGGCUAUGGUUAUGAUUUCCAUCUUAUCAUCUCCCGUCAAUACCACACAUGCCUUCCCGGAUUGGUCCUUUUGGGGUUGGAUAUUCUCAACGAAAUUCUAUAUCUCAUUCCCACUUAGAUACAAACAGAAAAAUCAUUCUUUUUUUUUUCCUCUCUCGUUUUUUAGAAAGGAUGAAGAUUAUGUGAUAAUAAAUCUCAAAAAAAUUCUGUACCUGUCAUUCUCACACAAAUACAUAUUAAAAAUCAUUCAUUUUUUCCUGUUUUUCACUUUUUUUUUAAGGACUUGAUCAUGUGUUUGGUUUAGAUUAAAAAAUCAAUUAAUCUACAAUUUUUUCUUCUAUGCUAGAAGAUUAAACCUAAAUUUUUCUUCCCUACAACUCAAGAAAACACAAUUCACAAAAACCAUAAUACAAAGAUGUUGAAACAAUUAAUAUAAUGACAUUAAUAAAAGAAGAAAAAAAAUGAUAGAUCCAAGAGAUUUUGGGUUACCUGGGAGUCCACACAAGUGAAGAAUGUUUGUUGUGAGCGUGUUGACUAUGGAUGGGUGAGAGAAAAGGUUGAAGAAGAUCAUGAUUUUAUAUAUAGGAUUUAUAUAUUGAGAUUUUUUGGAUUGUGGGUGAGAUAUGGAAACAAUGGGAUUUUUAUAUAGUAUCCAUCAUUAUUAAUUCUAAAAGUGGGCUCAUUAAGUUAUAAUACCUAAAAAAAAUUUAUUUUAUAUGAUGUCACUUCCCAAAAAAUGACACUAUAAAUAUAAAAUUAAUAUCAUCUAACUACCUCAAUUGAAGAUUUUUUAUAUGAUGUGUCACCUUUAUUAAUUAUAAACCCUAUGGUGUCAUUAUUUUAAAAGUGACACCGUAAAUAGUGACACCAUAAACUAUUUUUGUAGUAGUGUUUUGUGUAUUUUUUCAAUGAAGUUGAGAUCGUAUAACAUAUUCUUAAUUUGACUCGACUUAGAGGCACUAAUAUCUUCCUCCCAAAUUCAUUGUAUGUGUAAAUGGCAUCUUCUUCCCAAACUCAGUGUAUGUGUAAAUGAAAGAGAGUUGAUUCAAAGAUCCAAACAAUCUUCUACUUUUAUAAUUUUAUGAAUCCAAUUUAUGAUUUUCCAUUUAAAGAAAUUGACAAUAAACUAAAUUCAACCAAAAAUCACAUACAUAUCUAUAAUAUAUAAUAUCUAUUAGUUAUAUUACCAACUUAAGUUUAUUAUAGAGUAGCAUACCACAUCUAUAUAGUUUAUAACUGAGCUACUUAGUAAUGCUAUGAGAAGGUUAUAUCAAUAGCUAUAUACAUUCAUCUCCUCGAGAUAGAAUAAUAUGACUUGACAUAGAUUACAAUAAUGUAAUUUAAAUAGGUCUAUUAUAAUAGUAUUUUUAAGCUUUUCGGAUCAUAAUGUUUGAUAGACUUUUUGGUUUGGGCCAAAAUAUAACAUUUAAAAAAAUAAUUAUUGGUUUUUAUUAUUAAAUCGAAUUGAAACCAAAUGGACGUUAUUGUUACUAAACUGAAUUAAAUGUUAUUCUUAAUAUUAAAAAAAUUAAAUAUUUUGAUUUUUUCUAUUUGAUGAAAAAAAAUAAAAAUAAGUAGCAGAUUAAUAAAAAAAAAAAUGAACAAUUUAAAAUCUUAGCAAAAAGUUAAAAAAAAAAAACAAGACUUAAGUUAAUUUUCUUUGAGUGUCGAACGACUCCCCUCUAGAUAAGGGAUUGGAAGUAGAAGGAAUACUUAUGAAGCAUAUACAUGCGGGAAAGAGUAUUGACAAGGAUGUUUUAAUCAGUAGCUAUGGCUUUUCACCCAGAAAUAUAGAAUUGAUUUUCCAAGUGCUUGUGAAUGCAAGGAUAUGUCCUUCCAUGUAAUAUCCCAACCCAAGAUUUUGUUAGCUUUGUAAAGUACGAAGAAUAAAUUUUUUAUUUUUUGUUUGGGCUUAUUAAUAAUUCCCUAAUUGGGCUUUUAAUUCAUGACUGAAAAAUUUGGGCCAAAACUUCCAAAGGUUAGGUGGUGUUUGUUUUUUUACUUAAUUCUAAAUAGAACCUUAAUACUUAAUAAUAUUAAAUAUUAGGUUGUUUGUUUUUGUAGUAUUUUAUUUCUAUUAAGUAUUAAAAAAUAAAAAGAAACUAUUAUGUUAUUUUUUCUAUUUAGAAAAAGCCAUAUAUUUUGGCUUUUUCUAUUUAGUAAAAAGUUUAUAAUAAGUCAUGAAAAAGUAAAAAAACAAAUAACCUAAAUUCUAAAACUAAAUGGUUUUCAACAAAAAGCCAAAAAAACAAACACCACCUUAGUCUCCAACGUUUCAAAUUGGGAUGGCAAUAUGGAUCAACUUUAUCCAAAUCUUGUCCAGUUUAUUUAUACCCAUUCUCAUCCGAUCCAUACCUAAAAAGAAAAAUAAAAUAAAAUAAAAUAAAAUAAACACGCAAAAAUUAAAAAUAAAAUAAAUAAAAAGUAAAAAAUAAACUAGACAAGGUAAUAUUAGGAAAUUUUCAUAUCUGCCCCAUUUAAUUUUUUUUAUUUUGAAAAUUUUAAAUUAUAUUAAAAAUAAAUAUAAUUUAUAAAAAAAAUAAAUAUUAGAACUUUUGAUUAUUUAUUUAUAUGAAAAGUAUAAGAAUUUAUUUUUAUAUGCUAAAAAGAGGUGAAAAUGAAAAUAAAAUAAAAUAAAAUAACUUUUUAUUUAAUAUUAUGUAUAAUAAUUGGGACAUGCAAGACAAAACUUAUGUUUUAAUUUUUUUUUUAUCAAACUCAUUUCAAAUUCAUCUUUAUCUCAAAUUCAUCACUUUAAAGAAGGGGUAUCCCAAAAACCGUCUUAUUGUCAUCCCUAGAUCCAAAUCCCAUAUAUCAUGUCAAUUUCCUAAUUAUACUAUAGUGGAUAUUGAAAAACAAAAACAAAAACAAAGAGAAGGAAUGAAAAGUUGCACAACUUAUGUGGUUGAGAAAGUUAGACAAAGUAGAUAAGAUGGUGAUCGAUUCAACUCACAUAGUAGGUCUCUCAUCUAUACUGUAGAUUUUUUAACCAUUUUUCUUUUCUUUUAAGUGAAAGAUUGGUAAUUGGAGGGUUGGAGUUCACUUAUUCUUUCUAAAUUUUAUGGUUUUGGUUCAAAGACUAAUGAAAAGAGUUGAAGGUUUUAGGGGUUUCCAUGAAUAUCAAGUAGAAUAUGUAUCAAAUUGAUGAUGAUAAGAAUAGCAUUAUGAAUCUUAAAUUAUUUGACUAAUUAAAAAAUAAAAAACAGAGAAAAUAUUUUGAAGCAAAAAAGUAAGAAAGGACUCUAAAUUAGUAUCAUGUAUGAAUAUCGAGUGGUUAGCAAAUAAGUUACAAAUUAUGGUAACAAGAAACCACUGGUGUCACAAAAAUAUGCAACUUAUGAAUCUGGGUAUUGUUCAAAUGAUAGUUGAAAAAUAUAGUUUUGAGUGUUAGAAAAAAAAAAAAAGACGAAAUAAAUUUGUUCAAUAUUAUAUAUGCAUAUGGAUGUAGGGUUGGCAUUACUAGUUUUAUAUAUGCUUUCCAAUUUGUUUUCUAUAUUAUCAAUCACUUGUCCACACCUCUCUUGUCUCACAAAUCUUCUUUUGAAUAACUAAGUUACACAUUACCAAAUUACUCUACUAUUUGUAUCUUUGGUUCUAAACCUUAUGCAACACCUAUGACCUCUAGAAUCGUGCUCUUUAUUAAUUAAAGACAGUACUCCUCUCUCGAACCCUACUCGGUAUAUAAAUCUUGUUGGGUUUUAUAGUAUUGCACCAUUACUUGCCUUCACAUUUCUUUUAAUGUUGAUAAUUUAUGUCAAUUCAUUCAUGCUCUAACUCACAUUCACUUUUAGAUAGUUAAAUGACUUCUUUGGUAUCAUAAGGGGGUUGUUCAUUUCAUGGUCUUACUCUUCAUGUAGCCUAUUUUUUGGAUCUUUUGUUUAUUUUGAUACAUGCCGGUAUAGUUGCCCGAAGAAUCAUUGAAGUACAAUGGCUAUUGUGCUUUCUUUGGAAAUAGUUUUGCCUCUUGAUAUGCUAGUAAACAAAAGGUGGUCUCUCAAUCUGGUAUUGCAUUUGAAUAACAUGGUUGCAUUUGAAUACCAUGUUAUUUACAAAUACUACCUCAAUAUUGGUUUGAAUUCAAUUCAUGUUUUUCCCUUAUUCCAUACACCUUUUAUAUUGUGUGACAAUUUAAGUUCAAGCUAUUUGGCUAUGAACCCUAUUUCACAUUCUCAUAUCAAAUAUGAGGAUAUUGACUUCCCCUUAUGCAUAAUCGAGUACUUCAACAAAUCAUUAGAUGUCAAGUUCGUGUCUUUUACUCAUCCAUUGGUAGAUGCUAUAACUAAGCCACUACCUACUCAGAUUCUUAGGUCUUUAUCCCAAACACUUAGUUCUUCCAAGACAUUGAGCUUGUAAGGAAUGCUAGAAUAUAGGUCAACUAGCUCAACAUUCUUUUUAUCUUGUUAUAAUGAAAAUUAUAGAAUCUUGUUAGAGUAAGUUAUGUAAUAACCAAAAGUGGUAAUAACUAGGGAAUGAGCUCUUUGAAAGAGGGCAUUCAAAGAAGGAAAAAUACCCUCAUGUUCUUUAUGAGUAUGUAGAUUGCACAUUAAUAUUAUAUACAGAUGUGAAGUUAUAAUUAUAUAUAUAUAAAGGAGUACAAGUGCAUAGAGAUGGCAAUGGGGCAGUUUGGGAUGGGUGACCCAUCCCAAUCUCAUCUCAUUUAUUCAAAAUAAUUUUCAUUCCUACCCCAAUUAAAAAAUUAAAUGGAAUGGGUAUGGUAUAAAUUAAGGUGAGGUGAGACAGGACAAUACAAUAUUUGAAAUCACCUUGAACCUAUCUUGGGUUUUUAAAAAUCUCAAACUUGUUAAUAACCUAUAUAUUUAAAUUUUAAAUUCCCUCCAUUAAAGGCAAGGCAGAGUAGGUACCCAAAAAAAAUCCACCCAUUGUCAUCCCUACAAGUGCAUAUUAAAUAAAUUAAGGGUUUAUUGGUUAAAGGGGUCAAAAUAAACUCCAUAUUUGCAAAUAUAACCCAUCAGUCAAAAAGCAAAAAAGUUGACCUGGUUGAGACAAAAAUACCCUUCUUUUUUCUCUCCAACACAUACAACUUCUCCUCUUCUGCUUCAUUUAUAGAACGACUCCUCAUAUUUUCCAAAAAAUUUCUCUCAUCAUCUUCUUCUACUUCAUUAUCUUCCUUUGGUGCACAAAACGGAAAGGUCAUCUCCUCUUCCGCUUCAUUUAUAGAAUGAGUUCUCAUCUUUCAUCAUCUUCUUCUAUUUCACUAUCUUCCUUUGAUGCACAAAACGAAAAUCUCAUAUUUCCUUCAAAAACCCUAGAAAAUUUCUCGUCUAUCCUCUCAUCCUCUGUUUCAUUCCGAAUCCUUGGAAAAAUUAUUAUUCUAUUUUUUUCAAGUUAUCUCAUAUUAUGUCUUCAAGCACGAAGGAAACAAUGAGUUCAUUGAAGAGUGAUAGGAGAAAAAGAUUUUAAAAAGUGGCAAAAAAACAAAAAUGGCAAUUGCGAACAGAAGAAAAAAGUGAAGCGGAAGAAAGUGAAGCAAAGGAAAGCGAAGCUACUUAGCAAAAAUCUCAAUUACCAAUAGAAGAGGCAAGUGAUUCUACUAAACCGGUGAGUGUAGUCUUCACAUUUGAUAAAUUAUUGAAAUUUUUAGAGAUGUUAUACAAUAAUAUUUGAGUAUGGUUAAUUUUAUUAGUUAAAUACACAAAAAAAAAAAAUUAGGAUUUAUUGAAUUGUAUUCAAAGCAUAAAAUUGUUAUAUUUAUAAUUUUUUUUUUAGUUCUCCAUUGUUAUCAGUUAUGUAUUUUGAGUGAAUAAAUUUAAGUUUGUUAGCUGAUAUUUGAAAAUAUUUGGGAAUUAUUAUAGUGUGUUGAAAAAUAAUAAAUUGCAUAUUAAUACUGUUUUAGUUUUCUAUAUUAUUAUCAAUCAUGUGUUUAGAGUGAAAUGAUAUAUUCAAUGUAAUAACAUCUAAUUAGGGAUAAGUUUAUAGAUAAUUUAUGAAAUUUUAGGGAUUUUUGGAAAUUUUAGGGAUAUUAUACAUUGGUGUUUGAGUAUGUCUAUGUUCCAAAUGCAAGCAGAUGAUAUUCUUGUUGACUAUGUUAAUGGGCUUCACCCAAUUCCUUCCAUGAAAUGGUCUGAGGUGGACAUCGUCUAUGUCCCUAUUAAUGUUUGAAGUAUGCAUUAGGUAUUGGGAGUAAUUCACCUUGCUCAGAGGAGAAUAUUUGUGUAUGACUCAUUGAUAGGAAUUAAUAGUGAUAAUCGACUAAAAGGUGAUAUAAUACCUUUAGCUAAAGUGUUACUGCGUAUUUUGCAUGCUACAUCCUAUUAUGAGAAGAGCGGCGAUCCUAAGAGUGAAGAACAGUGGGACAUUGAACAAUUGCAUGAUGUUCCUCAACAAGUGUAUGAGUAAGUAAACAAAUAUCCAAACUUCAUCUUAUCAUUUCACCUUUAUGCCUUAUAUAGUAAAUUUUUUUUAGUCAUCUUAAUUUUGAUUACUUGUGUUUCAUGCAAUGGCGAUUGUGGGAUGUUCCUAAUUAAAUAUGAAAAAUACUUAAUGCAUGAUCAUCCAUUCAGCUCAUUGACUGGUACCCGCAUUGAUUGGUUUAGAGAGAAAAUGGCAACUGAAUUGUUCUACUUCAAAAAUUUACCCAUGUAGUGGGUUUCAUUUUGAUUGUGUAAAAGGUUUAUAUGUUGUUGAGUGUUGACUGUUAUUUUGGAUGAAUUUGACUUGAUGCUCAAAGUUACAAUUUUUGUAAUGUAAUUAUAACUGUCAACUUAACUAUAGUUUAAGUUAUUUGUUAAUGCAAUUCAACAAUUGUUAAGUUCAAGUGAAUAUUCUGAGUGUGAAUUUAACCUCAAUUAAGUUCUUUAUUAAUGCAACUCAACCAUUGUUAAGUUCAGGUGAUAAUUUUAACUGUAAACUUAAUUGUGGUUAAGUUUUUUGUUAAUGCAACUCAACUAGUGUUAAGCUUAGGUGAAAAUUCUAACUAUGAACUUAACUGUGGUUAAGUUAUUUAUUAAUGCAACUCAACUACUGUUAAGUUCAGGUGAAAAAAUAAACAAAGAACUUAACCACAAUUAAGUUUUUUAUUAAUGCAACUCAACCAUUAUUAAGUUCAGGUGAAAUUUAUGACUGUGAAUUUUCUUACCAUUAUUUGACCUUGUCAUAUGGAUAAAUCUUUUCAACUUCUUUUGAACGAACUUUUCACUUUUUCAUAACUAACAAUGGAGUCUCUAUUUUUUACCAACAAUGUUGAAGUCAGAUUAUGAAUUUUUAAGAAAUAGAAAGAAAUAAAAUGAUAAUAUAAAAAAGAAAUUGUUGGUUGUUUACAUUUUUUUUUUUCAUAUUUUCGUGAUCAAGAAUGAAGAAUAGAUGAAACAAUGGUAAGAAGUUAAACUUGUUCUCUGCAAGAAAAGAGAGAGAAUGAGCAACCAAUGACCGAAUAAAAAAAUUAGAACCUAAUCUGCUAUAAAACAAAGAGAAAGGGAAAAGAGAAGUUGUAUAUGUUGGAGAGAAAAAAGAAGAAGGACAUUUUUGUCUCAACUGGGUUAACUAUUUUGCUUUUUGACUGAUGGGUUAUAUAUGUAAAUAUGGGGGUUAUUUUGACCCAUUUAACCAAUUAACCCAUAAAUUAAUGUGGUGGCUCUAAUGGAGAGAUGCUUAGAAUAUGAUAUAAUGGGAGUAUGAGUAUAUAUGCAAAACAUAGAAGAAUAUAGAACGUAUGAAUAAAUGUAACUUUUGAGUAUGAGAUCAUAACAAAUUGGGUGCAGCAUAUAAAAAUAUAUUGCUUUAAGAAUUCUGGUGGGCUGAAUGUUUUGGUAUAGGAAUUAUUGGAGAGAAUAUGGAAUGCAAAAAUCUGGAAUAUUUUGGAUAAAUGAAAACUCACUUGUUGAUACAAACUCACUUGGUGGUUGUAGAAUUCCAAAUUGAAGUGCAGCACCUUAAUAUUUUUGGACAAGAGGUAUAAAUAGGAGUUAUACCUAGAACAUAGUGUAAAUAUACAGUGCCAAGUAGUAAAUAAUCUUAAAUAUAUAUACUAUAUUUGAUUAUAUAUUAAAAAAAAUGAUUUUCUCAUAUUUGGUUUCAUAAUAGAAAAUACGGAAAAAAUAUCAAAUAUAAUUAAAAUUAAUUAAAAAUUUAGACAUUUUAAAAUUAUUUCAUAUUUACAUAGAAGGAGAAAAGGAAUGAAACACGUUUGAAUUAAUAUAUUAAAAUGAAUUAAUGAUUUAAAAUUUUUUUUUUCAUUUUUUUUCUUUUCUUUAACUUUUCCUUUAUUUUCUUUCUCUCGUAUCUUCCCUUCAAUUUUCCAGAAACCAAACAUAGUUAAAAUAAACAUUUAAUUUGAAUUUCCUAAAAUAACCUAAUGGGAAUUUAAUUUAUUUUACUAUUUUGCAUUAAUUUAUGAAAUAUCUAUUUUUCUGUCCAAAUUUAGAAAAUUUUUUUUUGUAUUUUUGUAAAUUUUGUACAUGAAAUUUAUUCAUUCAAUUACACUAACAUUUAUAAGACAGUAUACAUCCUUAUCUGUAGCAUAAACUUUUCUUUCCAUUUUCACUAGUGUUCUUAACAGGCUAUGUUCAGACCCAACAAAUCCACUCAUGGUUCUUCCUUGGCAACUACGGAUCAUUGAAAACCAAAUCUCAAUGCUCCAUGCAUGAACACAAUCCCUCCAUUCGAGUCAGGUCUCUGAUGUGUUUGUGCCCAUGGUUGUGGUACCAUAAGCACAAAUUCAUUUCUGAGAAUGAAACAAGCAACCAAACGGACCCCAGGAUACUUCAGUUUGAGAUUUUGACUGGGAUUUUUCGGAAGAUCAUCCCUGAUUUGAAUUUUCAUGGCUCAAAACAUUCCCUAGAUUACUCAGCCUCCAUUAACGCUCAUUUCUCAAUGAAAGCAAAAUGCUGAAGUUUACCAACCCAGGUUCAAACUUAGUACACUUGUCAUAUGAUGCAGGACUGAGCUAAUUCAAAACUGUUCCAUCUCAUGUGGCAAUCCUAAAGUCAUAUUGCUUCCUUCCAGCAUUACAGAACAAAACUCAAAAGGUAAAAGCAAAGCAAAACUCAUUCUGUGUCGUAUCAUGCUGAACUUAGGAACAAAAAUAUCUAUGGUUAAACACCUGGAAAGUAAUAACUCCAUGGUUCCCUAGGAUGGGAUCAGUCCAAGUCUCAGGAAUUUGAAAAAGAUUUUAUGUGCCAGCAUGAAAAUAAAAUUUAGGCCGAAAGAUCCCUGACCAAGUUAUCUUGGCCUUCACAACCCUCUCCCAGCACAUUAUCAAGGGUAUCUACUUUGUUUCCUGAUGGAUAUUUAGACCAGCUUUCACUAAAAUGGUUUUGGGGAUCAAGCAGAAAGUACAAAAUAGAUUGUAUGCCAUUCUAAAUAGAAUGCAUGUCACACCAGGACUGCAAUUUGAUCAUGAAAAUUGACAGAGAUCAUCUCACCUAGAAGUAUGAAUUUCUAUAAAAUUUACAAUAAUUCCUGCUCUCCUGCAGACAAGUGUACUGAGACAAAAACCAAAAACAAAAAGAGGAGUAUAGUUUUCACCUAUAGAACAACACCGGUGCUUAACUUGUAUUCACUAGCAAACAAGGCAAAAGGUGCUCACUUCUCAGAAACAUGUUCUAUUUCUCCUUCUUUACAAGUAGUGAUCAGGACCCAAUAACAUCCUUUGUAGGAAUGCUGAUCUCAACCUGCUCAAAUGUUGAAGCUCUUGCAGAAGGUUUAUGUAACCAGUCAAGGUUCUUCCUGGACCUUCAGCCAUAUAUCUUUCAAAGCCAAGCCUAAAUGCUUCAUGAACAGUAUAGCCCACAUCGUAACCAUUUCUUCCAAAUGUUUCCACAGCAUGAUUGAAGUAUCCAUCAAAGAUUGUUAAAGGUAACCCCAUAUGCCUUGGGAUGCCAUUCAUAUUUGCUAAAAUAUUUCUUCCAGGACCUCUGUAAUCAGAUGAACCUGGCCACUGCUGCAUUUGCAUUAGAUUAAUUUGCUGAGAUCCUCGGUGAUUUAAAUCAGAGUGGCACACGAUUCUGGACAUUUUCAUAGCAAUGGGGGAGAAUCUGAAUUUGAAAGUACCGCAAGCUCCCAAACGGAAGGGCUCAUCACAUCUUGAACCAGCUCCUCUCUUAUUGUUAUAGCCUGGGUAGUCCUCUUUCUUAAAAUCAACACACUCAAACAGCACCAGAGAGUUUUGAGAAGCAAGUUCCUCAAGAUUCCAGUGGGAAAAUGGAGCUGUGGUUUUGUGAUUUACAUGAAUUUCACCAUUGGCUCUUAGCAUGCCACUUGCAUUCCUGAAGAAACCAUGCACAAGAUCCCUAUGCAUACUGUAGCAUAAGAUGGGAUGACAACAUAAGUACAAUCCACACAGAAUUAAUAAAGAAAUCAGCCAUUCUAUAAAAGCCUUAGGUACAACUAGAUUGAACCAUUUGAAAUCAGCAGAAAACAAUGCAUCAAAGAUACUCGUAUUCCUUUUGAUUUUUAUUUUUUUUUGGUUGUCAGACACACUGGUAGAAAAUAUUAUCAGAUGAUGAUGUCUAUAAUUAAUUUACCUGUGAUAAUGAAAAUUUUCUUCUACAUAUUUGUAUCUUUGAUAUAUAUUCUACCACUUCAAAAGAGAAACCCAGGACUCCCAUCAUUUGGAAGCAAAGGCAUGAUAUUUCUGGUGCAUCUGUAUAGCAGCACUCACAUCUUGUUUUAAGAUUGUAAGUUAGAUGCCUAGCAUCUGAGCUGAAGACCAGCACAUGAGCCAAUGCCCAUGGUACAUGAUAGUAACAACUAGAAUUCUUAAAAAUACUAUGAAGACAAUAACUGAUUCAGUUACAUGUAGGGUUCCAAAUACCCCCCAGUUCUAUCCUUUGCUGCCCUGGCUUUUGUGAUGGAGACUUUGUCCAUCAACAUGUAGAAACUGAAAUUAUAACGUAAUCUCAUUAUGGAGGCAUUGGAAACCUACACAUGACCAUGCAGAUGUGAUUCAUACUGCACUUGUGCAGACUCAUGGCUAUAUACUGCAGAAAUAGGUAAACAUAUGACCAUAGAAUGUGUUAUGAAUCUUCACCACUUUGAUAAAGUGGUCAAAAUUUCCCCUUAUGAGGACUUGAAUGGGAUCAUCCAAUGCGUGAUCCAAACCCACAGCUAGUUACCUUGAUGAGCAUCACCAUCUGAACCAAUUGAACAAACACACAGUUCUGUGCAUAGACAAAAAGGGCAUGAAAUGUAAAUGAACUCACAAACACAAAUAAAACAUAGGAGAAAAGUAACAUUGACCAUGACGAGCAACUACAGUGUAUGGAAGAUUUUGCUGUGAAAUUCAAGCUACAUAUCAUAUCCAUAACAACAAUACAUUUUCUUCGUACAGAGAGAAGGUAGUUUUGAGGAAUUAUGAAAUUUCCAUCACAUAGAUAAGAAAUAAAAGAUGAGGCCUUACUUAAUCAUAAGCCUGUUGUCUUCCUUUCCAUGGAAGCCUGCAUGAGGAAAGUUAUAUAUAAUGCGGUCGAAUUUCCACAUCUUCAGAUCAGUAUGAAGCUUCAUCUUGGUUGCAUCCACUCCAAAUAAAAGAGAUGCUCCCAGCUUCUCUAAAGCUUCCAAAUUUGAUUUUGCUUUCUUGUACAUCUUUAUCAGAACAUCUAGUUUAAGAUUGUGUCAGAAAACAAGUUGUCCAAAAAAUAGCCUUCCUCAUAAAACAGAGAGACUACACCUUAAUUUAAAAAUUUGUAUAUUGAACUCAACAAAGACUAAACCUCAACUAAACAAAUGAAACAUUCACAAAUGUGAUAACUCCCCAAAUAUUGAAUAUAACAACCUUCAAAUUCUUAAUUUGCCUAUCCUUUUACCCAAAAUGAAAAUGGCAUUUCAAUUUCAGAGCAUCAUAGAAGUCAGAACCCUUGUCAAUUUUGAUAUUUGGAAAGUACAAUAACAAUGGGGAAUUCUUGUCCAACAGGAGGAUUUGGAAAAACAUAAACCCAUAAAAAACUCACACAAUGUUAAAAAAUAUUUUGUUGAUAAUAAAAUAAAAGCUCUCCAAAUUCCACCUCGUGACUGUCCCUAGUUGCUUUCCUUUCAAAAUAGUCCUUCAUCUCCAAACCCAGAUGUUUGGUUCUCAGAAACUGAGAAAGAAAAAUAACGCAAAAGCAAGUUUCACUUAUAUUCCAAGGUUGACCAUUUCUUCAACCCAUAAAAUGAGUGUCAAAAUGUAUAAGUUCCUCCAUACUUCUGGCAUGCUUCUUUCUCUUCCAGUCAUGACAACCAAAUUAAGAAAAUAAUUCCCCUUCUACUGUUUCCCAAAAGUAUACAGGGCUAAGGACUACAAGAUUAGAGUAUAGUACACAAGUAACGAGUUGAUUCCAAUACAUAUAAAAUACGAGAAAAGGGAAAGAGAGAGACCAUAUGGGUCGAGAGAAGAAGCAACGAUGUUGGAAGCAGAAGCAAAAGAGUGAGCCAAACACAGAGAGAAAGAGAAGUCUCCUUCACCAACCAAGAGAAUUUGAUGAAACGAGGAAUAAUGCAUCAACCGUUUCUCUUGUUCUUCCACACCCACUUCAUCUUUCACCAUUUCCUCCCCGACAGCCAUUGACGCUUUCUACAGUUACAGAACCAGAGAGACUCUUUGAGAGAGAAAGGCAGUGAAAGUUUGGCCGUGUUUAAGGGGCUUAUUUGAAAAAUAGAGAUGACUUUCAAAUAGAAAUAUUUUUUAAGAAAAUAGUGAGGAUGUUUUUGUCAAAAAAAAGGAGACCAAAAAUGGAAGGUUUAGGACCUAUUUAAUAAUUGUUUUUGAAAGUACCGGUUCUAAAAAAUAAGUAUUAAGAAUAGUUUUUAAAAAUUGUUCUUUAAUUUUGUUAAAUAAAAAUUUGUUCAAAGAUUGAAAAUGUUUUUAAUUUAUUUUUAAUAUUUUUAAAUGAAUUUUAAAAAUAACUUUUAUGUUUAGUGCUUUAUUUUUAAUUAUUUUGCAUGUUUGUAUAAUUAUUUUUUAAAAUAAUUAUCAAUAAACAAGUGAAAAUAUAAAAUAAAAAAAAUAAAAAAACAAUUAAAAUAUAUUAUUCAAAAUAUUUUUAAAAAUAGAAAACAUAAAACAAUUUUGGACUCUGUGAUGAUCAGACCCUCAUAACCGGACGAAUCAUAAAAAUUUAGUAAAAUGGGAGUGUAUAAAGCAAGAUAAGAUGUACUAAAAUUAUUUUAAUUGAGGAUUCUAAUUGAACUCAAAAACCUUUCAAAAGAAAAAUAAGCUUUUUUGUCAUAACUUAUAUUCAGUACUGGUGCUUGAAUUGCAGGAGAUCCAUCAGUCUUGGGUGUGAGAGAUGAGAGUUGUGCUGAGAGUGAAGGGAGAGCAAUAUCAGAAGGUAAAGAAGUUUCCCAUGAUUCGUACGUCCAAAGACUUGGGUGGACUUGGCCAUUUUUUUAAUGUGCAAAUAUGCUACGUGGAGGCACUCUAUUCGGAUUAAUAAAGUGAUAAAAGAAAAAAAAGAAAAAAAGAAAAAAGGGAAGUAAAGUCCAUUUCAUCAAAGCAUUUGAUACCCGAAGUGAUGGAAGUAAUUAAAAGAGAUUGAUGAUUGAAGAAUUUGAAGAAAAAUAUGAAGAAUUUGAAGACAAAAUAUGGAGGAACACCUCAAUUCAUUCUGUGAUACCUCGCUUUACAAUGAAUGAAAGCAUAAAUAAAUAGCCUACGGAUAUGAGACAAUUCCGGAAUGGAAUUUCCCUUACAUGGAAAGUGAAUAAACUCUUACAUGGAAAGUGAAUAAACUACCUUGCUAGAAUUACUCCUAAAUAUAUAAACUACUCUUACAUGGAAAGUGAAUAAACUACCUUGCUAGAAUUACUCCUAAAUCAAUUAUAAUAAAGGCUGUACAUUACACUAAUUAGGGAAGUAAACAGAGGAUGCUGGCUUGAUUUCCAACACUCCCCCUCAAGCCGCGUUGUAGAUGUUGAUCAUUCCAAGUUUUUCUGUCAGAUCUUCGAAGUUAACUCGAGCAAGAGCUUUUGUGAGAAUGUCAGCCGUUUGACAGUUUGUCGGAUGUAGCUGACUUUGAAAACUCCUUCUUCAAUCUUUUCCUUGAUAAAGUGUCGAUCUACCUCCACGUGCUUAGUUCAAUCAUGAUGAACCAGAUUCUUAGCGAUACUGAUGGCAGCUUGAUUGUCGCAGUAUAACACCAUGGGAUGCUUGAAAGCUUCCUGAAUAUUCUGAGGAACUUGUAUCUCUGUGAUGCUAGAAGUGAAUGCACGAAACGUAGGUGAUAGCUUAUCAUAAGAAAUAAAAUUUCCAAUGGGAUGCUGAGUGCAUGAUCUAACUCCUUUCCUCCAAGCUAUGGGCAUAUUAAGAAUAUCAUUUUCUAACUCGGAAUCAACAGUACCAUCAGGAGCAUUGUUACCUGGAAGUUUGCUUGGAUUAGGACCCGGUUCUGCCUCAUGGGUUUGUUGAGAAAGUGCUCUUUCCUCCGUUUCCUCUUGGAUGUGCUCCUUAUCCCACAAGUCAACAAUGGACUCGGGUUGAUUAAAUGACUCUGGAGGAAUGUGAUUUUCAGUGGUGAUGGGUGACUCACUGAAUGACUCAAGAUCCCAAAAUUGAUAUUCUUGAGUUGAAUUCUCCCCCUGAAUAUAGUUUUUGGGAUAGUAAGGCUGGGUUUCAAAAAAGGUGACAUCCAUUGAAUUGUAGAAUUUUCUUGUGACCGGAGAGUAACACUUAUACCCUUUUUUAUUUGAAGAAUGCCCAAGAAAGAUGCACUUGAGUGACCUAGGAUCAAGUUUACUUCUAUGUUGUUGAUUGAUAUGAACAAAGACAGAGCACCCGAAAAUUUUGGGUGGGACGGUGGAGAUGAGACGAGUAGUCGGAAAGGAUUUUAGGAGUGUUUGACAAGGUGUUUGGAAUUUUAGUACCCUAGACGGCAUCCUAUUGAUGAGGUAGGCUGCCGUAAGGACAGCUUGCCCCCAGAAUAAUUUUGGAACAUUCAUGGAGAACAUUAGUGAUCUAGCCACCUCUAACAAAUGCCUAUUUUUCCUUUCAGCGAUUCCGUUUUGUUGUGGGGUAUCAACACAUGAACUUAAGUGAACUAUCCCUUCUUGUGCUAGAAAUUCUCCUAGAAUGGAGUUGAAAUAAUCCCUAGCAUUAUCAGACUUUAGAAUUUGUAUUUUUGACUGGAAUUGGGUCUGAAUCAUAUUUUUAAAAUUUUUGAAAAUUUGACCAAUUUCAGAUUUUUCUUUCAUGAGGAAUACCCAAGUUAAUCUAGUGUGAUCAUCUAUGAAUGAGACAAACCACCUAGUACCAGUUACAUUUUUUAUUCUUAACGGACCCCAGAUAUCACUAUGAAUCAUUGAGAAUGGACUAGACUCUUUAUAGGGUUGAAUGGGAAAGUGAGACCGAACUUGCUUUGAUAAUUGACAGAUUUCACACUCAAAGGAUUUUGGAUUUUUAUUAAAUAAUGAAGGAAAUAAAUGCUUGAGAUACAUAACAUUUGGAUGACCUAAGCGAUAGUGCCACAACCUAAUUGCACUAUCGUUAUUUUGACAUGAAACCGAAAAAGAAUUACUACCAACUGUCAUUUGAGGUUGUUCUUGUGGAUCAUGGCGCUCCUUAAGGAUGUAGAGUCCAGAGCAUUCCUCAGCAUUGCCAGUCAUCUUCCCCGAAUCCAAAUCCUGAAAUUCACAGUGAGUGGAGGAAAAAUUAGUAAUACACCUCUUUUCCUUAGUGAGUUUACUAAUUGACAAUAGAUUACAGUCCAAGUUAGGAACAAGGAGAACAGAGUUGAGAGUAAGAUCCCUUGAUAGCACAAUUGAACCUGUUCCGGCAACCUUUGAUAGUGAACCAUCUGCUAUUCGGACUGUUAAAUUAUUUGGACAUGAGCUAUAUGUAUCAAAAAUUGUCGCAUCUCCCGUCAUAUGAUCAGAUGCUCCUGAGUCCACUAUCCAAGGUUUUUUACGUUUCUUACCAGCAGUGAAGGCACUCAAAAAAUUACCUUUGUGAGCCAAGGUUCCGGAACCAAUGACCUGGUUGAAAGAUGAGCCAGUUUGUGACUGUAUUGACAAAAGAGGAGACAGUAGUUUCUGAAGCAUCUCCAUUUGCUCCUUAUUAAAAGGGCUAGCUUCAGGUUGUGGCGAUUGUUUAUCGGUAGCCACAUGAUUGCCUCGUCCUUCUUUCUCAAGUGGUUGACGUGGCUUCCAAUCUACUGGCUUUCCAUGAAUCUUCCAGCAAGUUUCUCUUGAGUGUCCNNNNNNNNNNNNNNNNNNNNNNNNNNNNNNNNNNNNNNNNNNNNNNNNNNNNNNNNNNNNNNNNNNNNNNNNNNNNNNNNNNNNNNNNNNNNNNNNNNNNNNNNNNNNNNNNNNNNNNNNNNNNNNNNNNNNNNNNNNNNNNNNNNNNNNNNNNNNNNNNNNNNNNNNNNNNNNNNNNNNNNNNNNNNNNNNNNNNNNNNNNNNNNNNNNNNNNNNNNNNNNNNNNNNNNNNNNNNNNNNNNNNNNNNNNNNNNNNNNNNNNNNNNNNNNNNNNNNNNNNNNNNNNNNNNNNNNNNNNNNNNNNNNNNNNNNNNNNNNNNNNNNNNNNNNNNNNNNNNNNNNNNNNNNNNNNNNNNNNNNNNNNNNNNNNNNNNNNNNNNNNNNNNNNNNNNNNNNNNNNNNNNNNNNNNNNNNNNNNNNNNNNNNNNNNNNNNNNNNNNNNNNNNNNNNNNNNNNNNNNNNNNNNNNNNNNNNNNNNNNNNNNNNNNNNNNNNNNNNNNNNNNNNNNNNNNNNNNNNNNNNNNNNNNNNNNNNNNNNNNNNNNNNNNNNNNNNNNNNNNNNNNNNNNNNNNNNNNNNNNNNNNNNNNNNNNNNNNNNNNNNNNNNNNNNNNNNNNNNNNNNNNNNNNNNNNNNNNNNNNNNNNNNNNNNNNNNNNNNNNNNNNNNNNNNNNNNNNNNNNNNNNNNNNNNNNNNNNNNNNNNNNNNNNNNNNNNNNNNNNNNNNNNNNNNNNNNNNNNNNNNNNNNNNNNNNNNNNNNNNNNNNNNNNNNNNNNNNNNNNNNNNNNNNNNNNNNNNNNNNNNNNNNNNNNNNNNNNNNNNNNNNNNNNNNNNNNNNNNNNNNNNNNNNNNNNNNNNNNNNNNNNNNNNNNNNNNNNNNNNNNNNNNNNNNNNNNNNNNNNNNNNNNNNNNNNNNNNNNNNNNNNNNNNNNNNNNNNNNNNNNNNNNNNNNNNNNNNNNNNNNNNNNNNNNNNNNNNNNNNNNNNNNNNNNNNNNNNNNNNNNNNNNNNNNNNNNNNNNNNNNNNNNNNNNNNNNNNNNNNNNNNNNNNNNNNNNNNNNNNNNNNNNNNNNNNNNNNNNNNNNNNNNNNNNNNNNNNNNNNNNNNNNNNNNNNNNNNNNNNNNNNNNNNNNNNNNNNNNNNNNNNNNNNNNNNNNNNNNNNNNNNNNNNNNNNNNNNNNNNNNNNNNNNNNNNNNNNNNNNNNNNNNNNNNNNNNNNNNNNNNNNNNNNNNNNNNNNNNNNNNNNNNNNNNNNNNNNNNNNNNNNNNNNNNNNNNNNNNNNNNNNNNNNNNNNNNNNNNNNNNNNNNNNNNNNNNNNNNNNNNNNNNNNNNNNNNNNNNNNNNNNNNNNNNNNNNNNNNNNNNNNNNNNNNNNNNNNNNNNNNNNNNNNNNNNNNNNNNNNNNNNNNNNNNNNNNNNNNNNNNNNNNNNNNNNNNNNNNNNNNNNNNNNNNNNNNNNNNNNNNNNNNNNNNNNNNNNNNNNNNNNNNNNNNNNNNNNNNNNNNNNNNNNNNNNNNNNNNNNNNNNNNNNNNNNNNNNNNNNNNNNNNNNNNNNNNNNNNNNNNNNNNNNNNNNNNNNNNNNNNNNNNNNNNNNNNNNNNNNNNNNNNNNNNNNNNNNNNNNNNNNNNNNNNNNNNNNNNNNNNNNNNNNNNNNNNNNNNNNNNNNNNNNNNNNNNNNNNNNNNNNNNNNNNNNNNNNNNNNNNNNNNNNNNNNNNNNNNNNNNNNNNNNNNNNNNNNNNNNNNNNNNNNNNNNNNNNNNNNNNNNNNNNNNNNNNNNNNNNNNNNNNNNNNNNNNNNNNNNNNNNNNNNNNNNNNNNNNNNNNNNNNNNNNNNNNNNNNNNNNNNNNNNNNNNNNNNNNNNNNNNNNNNNNNNNNNNNNNNNNNNNNNNNNNNNNNNNNNNNNNNNNNNNNNNNNNNNNNNNNNNNNNNNNNNNNNNNNNNNNNNNNNNNNNNNNNNNNNNNNNNNNNNNNNNNNNNNNNNNNNNNNNNNNNNNNNNNNNNNNNNNNNNNNNNNNNNNNNNNNNNNNNNNNNNNNNNNNNNNNNNNNNNNNNNNNNNNNNNNNNNNNNNNNNNNNNNNNNNNNNNNNNNNNNNNNNNNNNNNNNNNNNNNNNNNNNNNNNNNNNNNNNNNNNNNNNNNNNNNNNNNNNNNNNNNNNNNNNNNNNNNNNNNNNNNNNNNNNNNNNNNNNNNNNNNNNNNNNNNNNNNNNNNNNNNNNNNNNNNNNNNNNNNNNNNNNNNNNNNNNNNNNNNNNNNNNNNNNNNNNNNNNNNNNNNNNNNNNNNNNNNNNNNNNNNNNNNNNNNNNNNNNNNNNNNNNNNNNNNNNNNNNNNNNNNNNNNNNNNNNNNNNNNNNNNNNNNNNNNNNNNNNNNNNNNNNNNNNNNNNNNNNNNNNNNNNNNNNNNNNNNNNNNNNNNNNNNNNNNNNNNNNNNNNNNNNNNNNNNNNNNNNNNNNNNNNNNNNNNNNNNNNNNNNNNNNNNNNNNNNNNNNNNNNNNNNNNNNNNNNNNNNNNNNNNNNNNNNNNNNNNNNNNNNNNNNNNNNNNNNNNNNNNNNNNNNNNNNNNNNNNNNNNNNNNNNNNNNNNNNNNNNNNNNNNNNNNNNNNNNNNNNNNNNNNNNNNNNNNNNNNNNNNNNNNNNNNNNNNNNNNNNNUCAAUAUACCACAUAAAACAUUGGUAUCACAGACCAAGACCAAUGUGUGGUUAAACGUACAAUAAAUCAUUUCAAUGCAAAGAAGAAACCUUCUGUGAGAUGGGGAGGGGCAGACAAGUGACCUAGAUCAAGAACUUCCUCCUCGCUUAUUGAUAUUACAAGCAAAGAAGAAAGAUGUUUCAUCUUCUGGAUGGAUGCACACAAAUCCUUCCCAUCCUUUCUUUCAAGUUCUGUGAUCGCGAGUUUCCUCAUUGCAGUCAAAUUUCCCAAUUCCUUAGCAAUUCCCUGGCUUGUUUGCCUUGACAAGUGACAACCUCUGUAUUGAUGAUAAAACCCACCAAUUCCUGAAAACAAUUCUGCUCCUACACGGGCUUGAUCUCCAUCUUGCUGAUGAUCAACCAAAAGUAAGACAAGUUUGUGGAGUUUACGGAUGGUUUUGGGCAACUUGGAAACAAAAGUUUGUCUGAGUUCCAAAGUUUCUAGGUUUUGAAUCUUCUCCACUGAGCUUGAAACUGCCUUUAUCUUGGUAUUCCUCAGUUUCAAUUACUUUAGUAGGGUGAGAUUAACAACCACUUCGGGAAAAUUUUCCAAAACUGCAUCUUUCAACUCUAAAACUCUCAAUAACCUUAAUCUGUAGUGUUUUUCUAAAUAUGGAAGUAGUGAAAUUCUCUCUUCCAAAUUUGAACAAGGUGCGAAGACGAGAGAAAUCCUUGCUUUGCAAUGAAUCUGUGAAAGCAUCAUGGAUUGCUAUACAUCGAUGGCUAAAGUGAUAAUAUCGAUCUACGUUUUGUAUGGUCAAAACUUUGCAGAAGCUUGCAUCUUCAGAUAUUGGAAAUAAGGUAUUCUCGCACAAGAUUCUUAACUUGACACCUUCUUACUACGCCUUGGAAAUCCCUUUUGUUUGUGUCAACCAAGCACCCAUUGAUCAGCUCAUCGAGGUAGGCAUCCGCCACCUCCUCCAGUGUUUUACCUCUUUUCUCCUCAACAAAUCCUUCAGCUAUCCACAAGCUAAUCAGCCUUCCACUAGCAAAAGAAUAAUCCUCGGGAAAUUUGCAGAAGUGAAAGAAACAGCGCUUAAGAUGGAAAUAUCUUUGCUGUAAUACUCUCCGAAUAAUCCCAAGUUUGGAAUUGCUUUAGAUGAAAGGGGUGAUGAAACGAGAGAGAUGAGAGGAAAAGAUGCUAAUAUUAUUUAUCUCAGUGGUCUUCUACAAUAACAGAUCAGACAUUAUAUACAAGCAGAAGAUACACAUCCUAACCAACUGUACAUGUGGAGCUAAAAGACUAGAGAGAAAAUAAUAUCCUAACUAAUUACAGCUUUAGGCUUAAUAUCCCCCCUCAAGCUCAUUGGUCUAGUGAGAACAGUGAGUUUGGAACGUAGAGUGAUGAAACGUUGGGUGGAAAGAGGCUUGGUCAUACAAUCAGCAAGUUGAUCAUCAGAAGGUGUGAACUAGAGAGAGAGAGCGUUGAAGAACACGUUCCCGAACAAAGUGGUAGUUGAUUUCCACAUGUUUGGUUCGGGCAUACAAAAUAGGAUUGGCAGCUAAGUAUGUUGCACUGAUAUGGUCACAGAGAAUGAGAGGAGGUGAGUGGGAGUAAUGGAAAGUUCACGAAGAAGAGAUUCAGUCCAAGCAAUUUCAGCAACCCCAUUUGCUACCCCUCGGUACUCUGAUUCGGUGUUGGACCGGGAUACCACUUCUUGUUUGGAAGAUGACCAAGAAACCAUAUUUGAGCCAUGAAAGAGGUAGUAGCCACUAGUGCUACACUUGUCAUCAGGGCAAGAGGCCCAGUUGGCAUCUGUAUAGCAAGUGAUGUUGAAGUCUAGGGAAGGCUGUAGGAAGAGACCAAAAUGAGAGGUGCCCUUUAAGUACCAGAGAAUACGUUUAACAGCCUACCAAUGAACAUCAGAGGGAUGGUGCAUGAAUUGACACACUUUAUUUACUGCAAAAGCUAUAUCUGGGCAUGUCACGGUACAAUACUGAAGGGCACCAACAAAAAUGCGAUAAUCUGAAUCAUUUUCAAGAGCCACACCAUCAUGAAGAAAGAGAUUUGUGUUGGAGGACAAGGGAGCAGGACAUGGCUUGGCAUCCAACAUAGCAGCUCGGGUAAAGAGAUCAAUGAUAUGCUUUGCUUGGCUGAGGUGAAUACCAGUAGGGGUGUGAUGAACCUCCAAGCCCAAAAAAUAGUGUAGAGGACCAAGAUCCUUUAAAAAAAACUGAUAAUGCAACUGUUAGAUAAGGUGAGUAACCUGAGUAGAGUGGCUAGCUCCCAAUGACGAUUAUAUCGUCCACAUAUACAAGAACAAGAAGUAACCCAUGAGAAGAAUGACAAAUAAAUAAGGAAGAGUCAUUCUUAGAAGUAACAAAUCCCAAGUGUAACUGAGAAUUACUGAGCUUAGUAUAUCAAGCAUGGGGUGACUGUUUAAGGUCGUAGAGAGACUUAUCUAACUUGCAACCAUGAGUAGGAUAGAGAGGAUAAAAAAAUCUAGGUGAUUGUUCCAUGAAGACGUCUUCAACCAAGUUGCCAUGUAAAAAGGCAUUAUGAGCAUCCAGUUGUCUAAUACACCAAUUUUGUGAAAGAGCAAGGUUGAGCACAAUACGGAUAGUAAGAGGCUUGACAACAAGGCUAAAUGUUUUGAAGUAGUCAAUACCUUUGGUUUGAUGAUAACCCUUAGCUACUAAGCGGGCCUUGUAUCUCUCACUUUGGCCAUCAGGCUGGAACUUUAGCUUUUAGACCCAUUUACAAUUGAUUACCUUGACUGAGAAAGGUGAAGGAACAAGAUGUCAGGUCUUGUUGUGCUGAAGGGCAGCAAAUUCCAAUUACAUGGCCUACUUCCAUGGAAGAUCUUUAAUAGCUUGGAGAAAGGAAGUUGGCUCAGUGAGAGAACCUAUGGAGACACUCAACAACAGUUUAGGCUUAUAGAUACCAGCCUUAGACCUGGUCACCAUAUGAUGAAUAUUGUGAGUGCGAAAAAAAGUAAGUAAAUUUGUAUCCACAUUAGGUACAAGCAAGUCUACACUAGGAGGAAGAGGAAAAAAAAAGUGGAGCAGAUGAAGACAUAGAGUGUGAAAAAAAGGGAAAGGAUGUAGGGGCAAUGAGAAGGGAACAAGUACUAGAGGUAGAAGAGGAAAAGGAAAAAGAAGGAAGUAUAAAUGGAGAAGUAAGAGGAGAUGAGGAAAUGAGAGGCAAAGGAAUGGACAGGGGAAUUUAUAAAAAAGAGGAAGAAGAAAUAGACGAAAAGGGAGAAGAUGAAAAAUUCUUGAAUGGAAAAGAAUCCUCAUUAAAAAUCACAUGGCAAGAAAUAUACACCCUGCCAUAAUGAAUGUCAAGACACAAAUAACCUUUAUGGUGUGAACUGUAACCAAGAAAAGCACACUCCAAUGACCUGUGUAGGAGCUUAUGGGUAUUAUAAAGGCGCAGAUAUGGAAAACAAGAGAAACCAAAAACCUUAAGAUGGGUAUAAGCUAGGAGUUUAUGAUAGAGUACAAAGUAAGGGGAUUGAUGGUGCAACACAAGGGUGGGAAGACGAUUAAUAAGGUAAGUGGCAGUUUGAAAGGCAUAAAGCCAAUAAGAUAGGGGCAUACCCAAGUAAGCAAGAAAGGAUAAUCCCAUUUCAACCACAUGGUGAUUUUUUUGCUUAACUCGCCCAUUUGAGUUGUUAUGUGUAUAGACAAGAUAAACAAUGGACAAUGCCUUGAGUAGAAAACAGUAUGGAGAGAGAUCGAAACUCAUCUCCGCAAUUAGAUUGGACAACCUUAAUCUUGGUAUUAAAUUGAUUUGCAAUGAGAGCUUGAAACUUGAGAAAAGUAGGAUAUGUUUCAUAUUUUGUUUUGAGCAAAUAAAACCAAGCAAACAAGUAUGAUCAUCAAUAAAAAGUAAAAAAUAACUAGCACUAGAAAUAAAGCUAAUAGGAGAAGGACCCCAUAGGUUUGUAUGAAUUAACUCGAAAGGCUUUAUUGUAAUGGAUGGAAAUAAAGAAAAAUGAAGCUUGUGGAUUUUUUCUAAUUGACAAGAAUUACAAAAUUUAAGACGAAUUUUCUGUGUUUGAGCAAUAUUACAAGAAUCCAAGAUUUGAUUAACAACAGAUAAAACUGGGUGGCCUAGUCUCUUAAGCCAUAGAUUUGGAUCCUUGAUGUUGGCUAUGAAAACUCGAGGAGGAAAGAACGUAGUAGAAGGAGAGCAUGAUGACUGAACUUUGUAUAAGCCAUUAUCAAGUUGACCCUAAAGGAAAACCCUCUUCGAAACCUGGCCCUUGAGAAGAAAAUGAGUGGCAUAAAAUUCAACAAAAACUUUAUUAUCAUAACACAAUUUUGUAACACUAAUAAGAUUAUUUGAAAUUUUUGGAGUGUGAUAGACCUGAUGUAGAACAAGAGGAGAAUACGAGGAUGGUAGUUUUGUAGUACCAAGAUGUGAGAUAUAGAGUUUCUUACCAUUCCCAACUACCACUUGAUUUGAACCACUAAAUGGUGUCAUAGUGUCAAGUAUGUUGAUGUUUAGACUAAAGUGAUGUGUAGCACCUGAGUCCAUGUACCAAUUUGUACCAGGAAUAGUGUUAUGCAUAGUAGUAGGAUGAGCCAUUGCAGGGUAAGAAAAUUCUAGAGGAUUAGAGAGCUGGAAUUUGUGGUGAAAUAGUAUUGAAAGAUUUAGGAGAAGGUUAGGAUGGAUAGUUCAAAUUUGUGCGAUGGAAGCAAAUAUGAGUAGCAUGUCUAAAUUUGGCAUUGAGGCUUUUGAUUCUGGAUUGAAAAAUGUGGUUUCCAUUGAGGUUAAGGUUGUCGUGGUUGUGGUUUGCCCAAAAUGAUGGGUUGAUAUUGACUAGUGGUUGGCUCAAAAGGUGGAGGAGAUGAUCUAGGUUGAAUGUGAAUGUGAUUGAAUGUAGGUUGAGGAAUUGAUUUAUAAGGUUUCUUGUUCAGAUGAGCCAUAUGGACUUGAGCAUAAUUGAGAGAAACAGAGUUUUGUUGUUCAAGACGGAAGUCAUAGCUAAGUAAUAGGCUAUGGAUUUUCUCAAUAGUCGGUUGGUCAGAUUGAUUUUGAAUUGAGGUAACAAAAGGAUUAUUCUCAUGAUCUAAUCCAUUGAACAAAUAGUGAGAUGGUCUUUCUUAGAAAUUGGUUUUCUUAUUGUUGCAAGACUGUUGCAAAUGGAUUUGAGUUGUUGAAUAUAUUCUCCAACUAAGAGUCUAUCUUUCCUGAGCGUUUGAAGUUUGGUGCGAAACUUGGUAACCCGUGCCAUAGAAGAGGCAAAGUAAAUAUGAUUAAGGGCAUUCCAAAUCUCCAUAGCUAUUGAAUACCCAACAAUCUAAGCCAUUUUAUCUUCGAACAAGGAUGAGUAUAGCCAACUCAUCAAAAGUCGAUUGUAUCUUUGCCAGACCAAGUACUUUGGAUUGAUGAUUUGUUGUUGCAGAUCAAGGAAUUGAGGAAGGCAAGGUUGAGAUCCGUCAAUGAAAUCAUCAAGUCCUUUAGCGAUGAUGACAUUCAGAAACUAAUUCUUCCAGAUGAGGUAGUUCCCAUUAUCUAGCUUUACUAUGAGAGGUUGAUUCAUAAACGGGAGCUGGUAGAGGAAGGUUGUUUGGCUGAGAUAAUGGGUUUUGCACAUUCACAAUGCUAACAGAAGGUGAUUUAGAGGUUUCAUUGACAGAAGCCACGGAAGCUUUGAUACCAAGAUGAAAGAGGUGAUGAAAUAGAGGGAAACAAAAAGAGAUGAGAGGAAAAGAUGCUGAUAUUAUUUAUCUCAAUAGUCUUCUACAACAACAGAGCAGACAUUAUAUACAAGCAGAAGAUAUACAUCCUAACCAACUGUACAUGUGGAACUAAAAGACUAGAGAGAAAAUAAUAUCCUAACUAAUUACAGCUUUAGGCUUAAUAGCUUUUCAUAUUAGAUCCUAGACUGGUAUUCACUUUCUGGAACUCUGAUGGUGUUGGUUGUUUAGUUGAUAAUAGACUAACCAAGGUGACUAUUGCAAGUGGCAGCCCUUCAAACCUGCUCAAGAGAUCAUCAGAUAUGUUUUUUUAAGUGCUUAGGACAUUCAGUGCUAUGGAAAGCCUUCUUAAAUAAGAGCUCUAAAGCCUCGUUCCCUGCUCAAGGAUGUAGAUUGUAGAUAUCAUCUGAAAAUUUAGAAGCUAAAUCACGCCUACAUGUAGAGAAGAUUAUUCUACUGUUAUUGCCAUUGUCGGGUAAUUUUUUAAUGUUGUUGCACCAACCAUGGCUCCAAACUCCCUUUAAAACCAUCAGGUACCUUCUUUGUUGCAAGUAACUGACCAAAUUUUGUUCCAAAUUUGCUCCUGGGGAAAUUGGUACUCCCAUUUCUUUUCAAUUUUUUUCCUAGGAAUCUUUACAGGAGGUUAAGUGAGGAACCCAAGCAUGACAUUCAAAAUGGCCCUUCACCUUUUCAUUCUCACAAACUUUUUUUUAUCAGAAUGGUCUUACCAGAGCUAGUGGAUCCAACUGCUGAAAUCACUAGAUGCCUUAAUUCUUUCUUGAUAAGAGAUCAAUUGUAUGUCUCUCCAUUCCUAUGAGCUCAUCAUUGCUAAGGACGGGAUAAGCCAUGUCAGGGACCUCUCCUGCACUGGAACUUGAGGCUACUCCAAAGGAAGAUUUUCGAAAUGGAUCUAACUCUUUGACAAAUUUGAUCUUGGCUUGAAUAAUAUCUGUAUAGGAGGAUAAUAUAUGGAAUGCUCUCUAGUCCAUGACCUUGUGGGAAAUGUUAUGAAGAGCUAUGGAGAUUUUAUGCUCAUGGAAGUGUUCGAGCACAUCAACCAUGAACUGUUCAAGAGCAUCCUCAAUCUCAUAUGCAAUCUCCCGUACUUUGUUUCGCGUCGAUCUUUAGCACCUUCAGUGCCUUGUUCUCGUUGCAUGGUGUCUUUGAGGUAGGCUUGCAUGGUUUCCAAAUCUUCUUCAAUAAUGACUAUUUUUAGCUUCGACUUUGGGUUUCUUUAACUAAAGAAGGUCUGCACAACACCAAGUGUUGCUGCAACUGCUAUUUCUGCCAUGAUCUGGUCCUCUCUGUCAAGUCCCUACCUUCUUAAUCCCAAUUUUGUCUCUUUAACCAACAACGACCUUGCUUGUUUUUGUGAAAAGACCUCAACCUCAAUUUAUUAAAGCAAUUGGGAUUAAAAACUUCCUACUUACUUGUUGAUAACUGACUGCUGAAUUUUCAAUUGUUCCUGUCAAUUAAGCUUUUGUCUUGAAUUUUCCUACGUUCAUUUAGAAGAUUGUUGAUAUAUGUAUUGUAACUUGCAACACUAUGUAUAACGACCCAUACCCAACCGUAUAACCUGGAUAAAAAUCUAGUUCGGAUAUCAUUUGUAACAACUUAUACCCAACCAUAUAGAUAUUUGUUAGCCUGAGGGUUCUCCUAAUCAGGUUUUGAUGAUAACAAACCAUGGUUAAGUGACUAAUUGGUUUAAAUGUUUAAGAAUCUCAGGUAUAAACUCGAAAAUUCGUCAAAUGACCAAAUGGAUACAAGAUCGAGAUGCUUGGAAGACUUGUGAUCAUAGGAAACUAAUGUAAGAUGAAUGCUUGAGUGCACUUAAGAUUUUCAUAUGUUUCAUGCAUCUUAAGAAACUCGGUUUAUUCUUUAAAACUUCGAUUUCAUUAAAACCCGAGUUUCUAACUAAUGUACCUUAGGCAAAAUGUUUUAUAAUUGGCUUAAUAAUUUACCUAAAGACCUUGCCUAAGUGUUAGAAAAGAAAGGAAUAAAAAAAUAGGUUUUCGGGGCCAAAAAGGCUCAACCAGUCGAGACUAUGGCCAACCGGUCGACCGGUUAUGCUCGUUCAGGUCGAGGACCGGUCGAGGGAGGUCAAAAACCUUCUCUUUCUCCCAGUAGCUUUCUCUUCCCAGUCGAGGGAUUUCUCUUACCGGUCGAGGUCCGGUUGAGGCAACGGUAACCUGUCAUGCACUAAAUGCUCCAAUGGCUAGUGAACCGAUCGACCCUUAGCUCGAUCGAACGAGGUUACCUUUUGCUGUUUUUGACUCCCGAGCUUAGAAACCUAUAAAUUGAGAGCUCCACUUAAUUUAUUAACAAAAGAACACUUGCAUUCAAUAGCCUACCUACCUGUUCUUGAUAAAAAAGCUCUCAUUUCUUUCAUAGUGCAUUAAAUCACCACUUGCAUAUCCUUUAGUGCACUCUUGUGUGUCAUCCUAACUUUGUCUUGUAUUUGAGCUAUCCUUAAGCUAGGUUGAGGGAUUAUAUCUUGUAAAAAUCUGAGUGUUAAAGCCUUCAAGAGGGUUGAAUCUUGAAGAGGUUGUGUAAGAGCCAAUUGGAGUCGGAAUCCAAGUGUAAGAAGAUUGGAAGCUUGGUUGAAGCUUUAAGUUAGUGGAACCCUCACUCGGUUAGGAGGUUGAAGAGAGUGGAUGUAGUCAAGGAAGUGUCGAACCACUAUAAACCUGAGUUUGAAUUCUCUAAACUCUAUCUCUUUACUUUACUUAUAUUGUGUUUGAAUUUGUUGUAAUUGAAAAGAUUUUAAAAACCCAAUUCACCCCCCUCCCCUCCCCCCCUCCCCCCUUUUUUGGGUGUUUUUAUUAACUAAGCAUAGUCUUUGUUUUCUCAAUUGGUAUUAGAGCUAGACCUCUUUUUAAGACUUAAUAGUCUAAGAGGAAAUGACUAUUCCAUCAAGCUCAUCCCAAGCUGAAAAUUUUUCAAAACAUAGAGCUCCAUUCUUUACGGGAACCGACUAUCCCUAUUGGAAAACUAGAAUGACUUGGUAUUUACAAUCUACUGAUUUAGAUGUAUGGGAUGUCAUUAAAGAUGACCCAACUUUUCCCACUAAACUAGUUGAUGGAGUUUUGGUUCCAAAACCCAAGCAAGAAUGGAAUGAGCUUGAUAGAAGAAACUUUCAAUUAAAUGCUAAAGCCGUUUUUACUUUGCAAUGUGCUAUGGAUAGAAAUGAAUAUAAUAGAAUAUGUCAAUGCAAAUCGGCUAAAGAAAUUUGGAGGUUGCUUGAAAUAACUCAUAAAGGAACUAAUAAAGUGAAAGAGUCAAAAAUCAAUUUACUUGUUCAUAACUAUGAAUUGUUUUCAAUGAAAGAAAUUGAGACUAUUGUUGAGAUGAUUACUACGUUCACUGACAUUGUCAAUGGUCUUGAAGCUUUGGGAAAAACCUACAAGGAAUCCGAGAAGGUAAUGAAGAUAUUGAGGUCUCUCCCAUCAAAGUGGCAUACCAAGGUCACCGUAAUUCAAAAAGCAAAAGACUUGACUAAGCUACCUAUGGAAGAGCUCAUAGGGUCAUUAAUGACAUAUGAGAUCAAUUUGACAAAGAAGUUACAAGAGGGUGAAGACAAAAAGAAGAAGAGCAUAGCCCUCAAAGCUACAACUAAGGAAGAAGAAGAUGUUGAAGAAGAAAAGCCAAGUGAUGAAGAUGAUGAUCUAGCCCUCAUCACAAGAAAGCUCAACAAAUACAUGAGAUGUGAAAGGUUUAGAGGAAGGAAAUUCACCUCUAGAAGGGAUCUUUUUAAAAAGGAAUCUUCAUCCCAUGGUGACAAGGAGAAAUGGGAAGAGAAAAGAGAUUUGACAUGCUUCAAGUGCAAAAAACUGGGACACAUCAAAUAUGAUUGUCCUCUUUACAAGAGUGAAGCCAAGAGAAGAAUGAAGAAGGCAAUGAUGGCCACUUGGAGUGAAAGUGAAGAAUCCUCCGAAGAAGAAAAUGAGAAAGAAGUGGCAAACAUGUGCUUCAUGGCAAUAGAUGAUCUAAAUGAGGUAAACUCUAACUUUAGUGAUGAAGAUAUGCAUGAUGUUUUUGAAGAAUUAUAUGAGGAUUUUGAAAAACUUAGUUUGAAAAAUAAUUCUCUUAAAAAGAAAAUUCAAGAACUUGAAAAUGAACUUGAAGAAGUGAAAGAAAAAUUUUCAAUUGUUGAAAUAUCUAAAACUCAUCUUGAAAAAGAAAAUGAUAUUUUAAGGAGUGAAAAUGAGAUUUUGAAAAAGAAAAAUGAACAGUUAACCUCCUCUCUUUCAAUUUUCUCUUGUGGACAAAAAUCUUUUGAAAUGAUCUUAGCUAGCCAAAAAUGUGUUUUUGACAAACAAGGGCUAGGAUUCAAAUCAUCAAAAAAUCAAAAGUAUUUUAAAAACUACUUUGUAAAAGAAUCCGCAAGUGCAAGUCCUUCCAUCACUUGCAACUUUUAUGGAAAAGGAGGGCACAUUAAUAGUACAUGUCCCUUAAGAAAUGGUUCUCAAAAGACUUCAAAUUCUAAAACUAAAAAGGUUUGGGUUGAGAAAUCCAAGGUUACUAACCCUCAAGGACCCAAAAAUAUAUGGGUACCUAAAUCAACUUAAAUUUUAUUUUGUAGGGAUCAAAGAAUGAUAAGUGGUUCUUGGAUAGUGGAUGCUCAAGACACAUGACCAGGGAUGAAUCCAAGUUUGCUUUCCUUACAAAGAGAAAAAGAGGAUACGUUACCUUUAGAGACAAUUCAAAAGGAAGGAUCAUUGGUCAAGACAACAUUGGUAAUGGCACAUCUUCUCUUAUUGAAAGUGUUUUAUUAGUGGAUGGUUUAAAACAUAAUCUUUUAAGCAUAAAUCAACUUUGUGACAAAGGUUUGAAAGUGAUUUUUGAAGCAUCUCAUUGCAUCAUCAAAGAUAUUCAAAAUAAUAAAACCAUCUUCAUGGGCCAUAGAUGUGAUAAUAUUUAUGCAAUAAAUAUUUCAAAAUAUGAUGGCCAUGAUAGAUGCUUUUCAAGCAUGCAUGAUCAAAGUUGGUUGUGGCAUAGGAGGUUGGGACAUGCUAACAUGGACCUCAUUUCCCAACUCAACAAAGAUGAACUUAUUAGAGGCCUUCCCAAAAUAAAUUUUCAAAAAGACAAAGUUUGUGAAGCUUGUCAAAUGGGAAAGCAAAUAAAAAACUCUUUUAAAAACAAAAAUUUCAUUUCAACAACUAGACCUCUUGAAUUGUUGCAUAUGGAUUUAUUUGGUCACUCUAGGAUACCAAGCCUUGGAGGAAAAUCUUAUGCUUUUGUUAUUGUGGAUGACUUCUCUAGAUACACUUGGGUCUUAUUUUUAAGUCAAAAGAAUGAAGCCUUUUAUAAGUUUUCAAAGUUUUGCAACAAGGUUCAAAAUGAAAAAGGUUUUACAAUUACUUGUAUAAGAAGUGAUCAUAGGAGAGAAUUUGAAAAUAUUGAAUUUGAAGACUAUUGCAAUGAGCAUGGUAUUAACCACAACUUUUCGGCUCCUCGAACUCCUCAACAAAAUGGGGUAGUUGAAAGGAAAAAUAGAACUCUUCAAGAAAUCGUCCCUAGCAGCGGCAAUGGCAACGACACCAUUUGAUUCAGGGUUCGAUCCCCGGCAGCGGCGCCAUUUGAUUCGUGCCCAAUUGGUGUCUCAGCUGAUUCAUGUCCAGCUGGUGCUCCUUGAUUGAGGGAGUAAUCAACAAAAUUUAUAACCUAUUACACCUUAUACUAGGGUAGCAAAGACAAAGCUACUAUAGCAUAGUGGCUCUAGGAUCGUUCACUGGGAUGGGUUUUCACUUUGCAAAUGAUAUUAAUUCAAAGCUGAAUUGGUGCCUUUUCAUUUCAAGGUUAGCUUUGAAAGAAAACAUAAAGAUGUUUGAAUGAAAAAGGUUUAGAUUUAAACUAACCAAAAAUAGUAACUGAUUUUACUUACAAAGAAAAGUGUUUCUUGGAGUUCAGAUCACUGGGCUCAGGUUCCUCAUACAAAAAGGAGAGUUCCGGUCACUUGUUUCUUUUCCUCGCAUUAGAUAAUUAACAUAUAGUUCCUUCUCCAACCGGUGUUGUACAGAUGCUUCCCAUUAAUGGGUUCAAAAACUAAAUCCCUCUCAUUGAUGCACCUUGCAAUGGCUCAUACCUCUCACCUAGCACUUGCCAUUCAAGGUGAUCUUUAACCUUGGAUUACCCGUCAAAAGCUCGCAAGAGAUAACUAAUGGAUGUCUCCUUGGAGUCCAAAAGCUUACCAAGUGUUGGCUAUUCUAGAAAAUCCUACCUUCAAGUCACCUCCCAAGGCUCGCAAGAGAUAAACUAGUGAAUCUCCAUGGACGGAGAUCACUUGCCUUACCAAGUGUUGGCCCAGGUGAUUUAAAGGCGUUUUAAGUUAACUAAAAAGAUAAAAACCAUUAACGGGUCACACUUUCUCUUCAUUAAAAACUAAAACAACAAAACUUCCAAAUUAUGCAUUCGAAAACUUACCCGGUUACCUUACUCCAAGAGACGAAAAGCCUAGCCUCUCAUCCUCUGAGGAAAAAUCCUCAGAGAAUGAUUGGCUAGAAAUAAAAAGAAUGAGAAAACAAAAAUAUGUAUAUAUAUGAAGGAAGAACAAAGCAAGUGCUCUGUAAAAUAUAUAUCUUCCUCCUGUCGAAUUACAUGAUUCUAUGUUACAUGAUGCUAUCUCCCUGAGAACAAGCUCCCGAGAGCUAUAUAUAAAGAAAAUUACAAAACAAAAUAUCUGAGGUUAUUCACCCCUUUUCCCAACUUAAUAACUAAGGAAUUCUAUAAUUGGUGGCUUACAAGGAGAGAAUGGAAAUUUAUACAAAAAUAUCUGAAGCAAAAUAUCCCAAUGUGUCGGUCACAAAUAUCGGGAAGCACUAAGGACCAUUUUGCAGGUGAAAACGAGGUCUGCGAGAUUUCGCAGACAUCCAAAAAGGGCUGCGAAAUCUCUUCGCAGCAAAAGGUUAUUCUUGCAGGGCUGCGAAGUUGGCUUUCAUCUUGAGGUGCUCAGCUUCCAACUUGCGGCAUAUAUAGGGCAACUUCAGGAGGGAAUCCACAACACUGUACAAAAAGGCUGCGAAAUCAUUUCGCAACAAAAGGGUGAUUCCGCAACACUUUUGCAAAAUGCUUUCUUCAGCUUAGAGUGAUUGACUUGCAAUGGCUGUAACUUCUUCGUUUCAACUCCAAAUUGUGCACCGUUUAAAGCAUUGGAUUAUUGACUUCCUGAGCUUUAAAAUGGUAUAUAGAAUGCACAAAAUGGACUUCGAGAAGUGCUCCAAAAGUGCGCAAGAAGACUGCAGCUGCUGUCCUCUAUUUUCUUCACUCUGUUUUUCCUCUCUCCUUUGUUCUUUCCUUGCAUACUUUGAACGACUUUGGCAAAGGGCUAUGGAGCUCCAAAGCUUUGUUCUUCAUGAAUUUGAGCUUCCAAAAUCUUUGCCAUGAACUAUAUACAGCUCUCCCUCAUUCUUGGAUUGCUUUGGUGAUCAAAAAGCUAUCAAAACACCAAAACUUAACACAAUUUGAUUAGAAUUGAUUGCAAGGGUCCUUAACAUGUUAAUUGGGUUAAAAGGCAAUAACUACUACUCAAAAGUGUUUAAAAGAGUUAAUUACAAGCUAUCAAAUAGCACUUUUAGAGUAGUAAUCACUAGAACCAUGCUAAAUAAAAACAAUUUACCAAAAUACUUUUGGCUCGAAGCGGUUAACACUUCUUGUUAUGUUUUAAAUAGAAUUAUAUUAAGGCCUAUUCUUAAGAAAACUCCCUAUGAGCUUUGGAAAAACAAGAAACCUAACAUUAGCUAUUUCAAAGUAUUUUGGUGCAAAUGCUUUAUAUUAAACACCAAAGACAAUCUUGGAAAAUUUGAUGCAAAAUCGGAUGUUGGAAUUUUUCUUGGCUACUCAACUUCAAGUAAAGCCUUUAGAGUUUUUAACAAAAGAACCAUGGUUGUUGUGGAGUCCAUCCAUGUUAUUUUUUAUGAAUCUAACAAUUCUCUCCAAGAAAGAGAGAGCUUUGAUGAUGAUUUAGGCUUGGAGACCUCCAUAGGAAAAUUACAAAUUGAAGAUAGAAGGCAACAAGAAGAAGUUGUAGAGGAUCCCAAGAAAGAAGAAUCACCUUUGGCACUACCUCCUCCUCAACAAGUGCAAGGUGAAUCAAGCCAAGACCUCCCUAAAGAUUGGAAGUUUGUCAUCAACCAGCCACAAGAUCAAAUUAUAGGUAAUCCAUCUAGUGGGGUAAGAACUAGAUCAUCUCUUAGAAAUAUUUGCAAUAAUGUUGCUUUUAUCUCUCAAAUUGAACCUAAAAAUAUAAAAGAUGCUCUAGUUGAUGAAAAUUGGAUGAUUGCCAUGCAAGAAGAGUUAAACCAAUUUGAAAGAAGUGAAGUAUGGGAAUUAGUGCCAAGACCUCAAAAUCAAAGUGUUAUUGGAACUAGAUGGGUCUUUAGAAACAAAAUGGAUGAAAAUGGCAUAAUUAUACAGAAUAAAGCAAGAUUGGUAGCCCAAGGUUUUAAUCAAGAAGAAGGAAUAGAUUAUGAAGAAACCUUUGUUCCCGUAGCUAGAUUGGAAGCCAUUAGAAUGCUACUUGUCUUUGCAUGUUUUAAAGACUUUGUUUUAUAUCAAAUGGAUGUGAAAAGUGCUUUCUUAAAUGGCUUUAUAAAUGAAGAGGUAUAUAUUGAACAACCACCCGAUUUUCAAAGUUUUAACUUUCCUAAUCAUGUUUUUAGACUUAAAAAGGCACUUUCUGGUUUGAAACAAGCACCUAGAGCAUGGUAUGAAAGAUUGAGUAAAUUCCUUUUGAAAAAGGGUUUUAAAAUGGGAAAAAUUGAUACAACUCUUUUCAUAAAAACCAAAGAAAAUGACAUGCUCUUAGUACAAAUUUACGUUGAUGAUAUCAUUUUUGGAGCUACUAAUGUCUCUCUUUGUGAAGAAUUCUCUAAAUGCAUGCAUAGUGAGUUCGAAAUGAGCAUGAUGGGAGAACUUAUCUUCUUCCUUGGACUUCAAAUCAAGCAACUAAAGGAAGGAACCUUCAUCAAUCAAGCAAAGUAUAUAAGAGAUCUCCUCAAAAGGUUCAAUAUGGAGGAAACCAAAACAAUGAAGACUCCAAUGAGUUCAUCCAUCAAGCUUGACAUGGAUGAGAAAGGUAAGCCCGUCAACUCAACUAUGUAUAGAGGCAUGAUAGGUUCUUUGCUAGAUUUGACCGCUAGUAGACUCGACAUCAUGUAUAGUGUAUGUUUGUGUGCUAUAUUUCAAUCUAGUCCUAAGGAAUCUCAUUUAAGUGUUGUAAAACAAAUUCUUAGAUAUUUAAAAGGGACUAUGGACAUAGGCCUAUGGUAUCCUAAGGGUGAUAACUUUGAAUUAAUUGGAUACUCGGAUGCCGACUUUGCCGGUUGUAAAGUUGAGAGAAAAAGCACUAGUGGCACUUGUCAUUUCCUAGGACACUCACUUGUUUCAUGGCAUAGUAAUAACCAAAAUUCAGUAGCUUUGUCUACAGCGGAAGCCGAAUACAUAGCAGUCGGUUUAUGUUGUGCACAAAUCCUUUGGAUGAAACAAACACUAGUGAUUUCAAUUUGAUUUUUGAGCAUGUUCCUAUAAAAUGUGAUAACACUAGUGCAAUAAACAUUUCAAAAAAUCCGGUACAACAUUCUAGGACUAAGCAUAUAGAGAUAAGACACCAUUUUCUUAGAGACCAUGCAUAAAAGGGUGACAUUACACUUGAAUUUGUAAGCACAAAAGAUCAACUAGCCGAUAUUUUUACAAAACCCCUAAGUGAAGAGCAAUUAGUUGAUAUUAGAAGACAACUAGGGGUGAUUUCUUUAUGAUCAAAUGAUUGCUUGAUGAAUUCUUGAUUGAAUAUACCCUAUAAUUGCGUGAAAUUCAUAUCAUAUGCAUCAUAUAGAAAUAAUCCUAGGAAAGAGGUCAAAUUUUAACCAAAAAUCAAAAUUCCCGUGGCAUUGGACAUAAAAAAAUUGGGGAUUUCAACUGAAAAGGGCAGGGAGAGGAUCACGAGACAAGAAAAUGCAACAAAUUUUUGAAAAAUUGACCGUUGACCGUUGACCAGGUGGUCGACCGGUUGAGGAACCGGUUGACCAGUUCGUCGAGGCUGGGAAUUUAAAAAGCCCCCCUCCCCACUUCAUUUCUCACCUGUUCUCCUCCAUAGCUUGAAGCCUCUUCACAUCACUGCUUCCAGAAGACUGUUUUGGCCAGAUUUCGGACCGAUUGAAGGCUAUGAACUUGAUUUUGGGACGCCUUAAGGUUAGGGUUUUGAUUUGAAACCCAGGGUUUCAGCUUUUGGGAGUGUUUCUUCUCUGCACCGCACGCCUCAGGGUUGGUUCAACUUCAUCUCUGUGCGCCUAGGGCUUCGGGUUUGUGAUUGCUCCUUCUCGUUUCAUUUCAUUCUCUCUUUUUGGACUCUUCCUUCUCAUUUUCAUUCAUUGGAUGGCACCAAGGUGAGAAACGGGCACCUCCAGGGCUUAGGGCAAGCGCCCUGCUGAGCUAUAUCAACCUAAGUAGACGGAGGCUCGCCGAAAGGCGAGGUAUGACAUGACCUUUUUCAGUUCGAUUGAAGACUAUCAGCGCUACAAGCAAAAGUUCGCCUAGAGGAAAGUCGUCCCAGGGAGAAAUGUCAAUUUCUCCCAACUUCAGCACUUUGGGUUUGAGGGACCAUUCGGUCGGAUGGGAUGGCUGUCAGUUAUGACAAUAUCUGAGCCAAUCUUCCCAACUUUGGUGCAGGCUUUUUAUUCUCGGGCGACUUAUGGGCUUGGAGAACCGGUAUUGUCCACUAUGAAGGGAGUUGAGAUCAAAUUGAGUCCCGAGAGUAUCUGCCGCAUUCUCGACAUCCCUUCAGUUGGACUCCGAGUGUAUGAGGCCAAGGUGUGGCCCAUUGUGCCGAGAUUUGAGCCUAGAGAGACUGUUCAGAGGUUGUGCGGACUCGUAGAUGCCUAGAAGAUGGGCAAACCAUCAGCACACAGCCUGACUGUGCCCACUUGAGUCCUUCACCACAUGAAAUGCUCCAUUUUAUUGCCACGUGGAGGACAUCGAGACGAGGUCUCCUACCUUGAGGCAUUUAUUGUGGACUCGAUCCUCACCAGGAGACGGAUUCACGUGGGAUAUCUGAUUAUGAUGCAUAUGAUCUCCUGCGUAGAGAGCACGACACGAGUACUCUCUUACGGCCGCUUUCUUACCCGAGUAUUCAAGGAUGCUGGGGUCGACUUGAGUAGAGAGACGGAUUUCAAGGCCCCCAUCAGCUAUGACACGUAUGAUGAGCAGUUUUUGGGGCGCAUGAAAUUCGAAAAGGCACCCGAUGGCUCCUAGGUUAGAAAAGCUGAGCGACAAGCCCUAGGACAGGAUCAGAUGCAUCCCGGAGCAGAGGAGGAGACCGAUAUCAGAGAGAUAGAGGAUGGGUUAGACCCUCACAGGGACUUUGAGCAAAGAGGGCCCGAGCUUGACAUUCUGCCUCCACCUCAAUCAGAGGGCAUUCAUGUUGAGGUUACCUACUCAGAGCCUAUGAUGACUGAGCCGUCUUUCACAGCAGGACCAUCAUCCCAACCAUCAUUUACCGAGCUACCAUCUCAGGCACCUCACACUCCUGAUUAUGCGCCUUGGAUGGCUGUCUCCGCUCAGAUCAGCUCACUUGAGACUCGUAUGGAGGAACUUGCCUUAGUCCAUGACUCUCGCUUCUACUCUAUGGAGGAGCACAUGGAUUAGUAUCAGACUGGAGUCACUUCUCGAUUUGAUCACUUCCAACAGCGAUUUGAGCGCAUAGAGGAGCGUAUGGAUCAACAGCAGGCUACAUUCGAGCAUCUCCAACAAAGCAUUGAUCGUAUUGAGAGUCGUCAAGCGAGUUAGCAUGAAGAGAUGAUGACCUACUUUCACUCUGUGUUUCCUCCUCCACCCCCUUAGCCUUGAGACUAUCUAGACAUUCCCCUCCGUUUAUUUUUUAUGUUGCCAAAAGGGGAGAAAUUUAUAGGAUCUAGGAGACUCUCAUGCAUGUCAUUGUCAUCAUAGUCAUAUCUAUCUUGUUUGUACAUGUGAGGUUUCGUUUCCAUAUAUAUAUGAUAUGAUAUUUUUAUGAUCCAAUGUUCAUUUUUGUGUUUCACAUUGCUUCCUAUUAAAAAUCGUUUGAAUUGAUCCAUGAUUGGUUUGAGGAGAAGAUUUUUUUUCUCUCCUAGAUAACCAAGGUUUGUCAUCAUCAAAAAGUGGGAGAUUGUUAGCUCAAGGGUUCUCCUAAUCGGGUUUUGAUGAUAACAAACCAUGGUUAAGUGACUAAUUGGUUUAAAUGUUUAAGAAUCUCAGGUAUAAACUCGAAUAUUCAUCAAAGGACCAAAUGGAUACAAGAUCGAGACGCUUAGAAGACUUGUGAUCAUAGGAAACUAAUGUAAGAUGAAUGCAUGAGUGCACUUAGGAUUUUCAUACAUUUCAUGCAUCUUAGGAAACUCGGUUUAUUCUUUAAAACUUCGAUUUCAUUAAAACCCGAGUUUCUAACUAAUGUACCUUAGGCAAAAUGUUUUAUAAUUGGUUUAAUAAUUUACCUAAAGACCUUGCCUAAGUGUUAGAAAAGAAAGGAAUAAAAAAAAAAAGGUUUUCGGGGCCAAAAAGGCUCAACCGGUCGAGGAUAUGGCCAACCGGCUCAACCGAUUAUGCUCGUCCGGUCGAGGACCUGUCGAGGGAGGUUAAAAACCUUUUCUCUCUCCCAGUAGCCUUCUCUUCCCGGUCGAGGUAUUUCUCUUAUCGGUCAAGGUCCGGUCGAGGUCCGGUUGAGGCAGCAGUAACCUGUCAUGCAUUAAAUGCUCCAAUGGCUAUGUAGACCCUCAAUUUUGUCCCUCGACACUGGCAUUUAUCCUUCGGGUGUCACAUCCACCCAUCGUUCGCAUAUGGCACUAGUAGGGCCCCUUUUGGGCUUAAUCGGUGUCCGAGCCUCGUGUGGGUUUGUCUGUGGUCCAUUGUGGUGCAUAUGUGGUUCAUUUUGGAGGGUCACCAUGGCCAUUUUCCUAGUCGUUCACAUCACGCUAUAGGAAGGAAGUGGGGUCAUCCCGAUGUCUUAGCUUAGUUGGAGUUUAUAGGGGCAUGUUGAGGUUCGGAGCACUCGGUCUUGUUUUGAUCUUAUCUCCCUCAUCCAAACUCAGAAUCAAGAACUGUUUCUUUUUAUGGAUUCCUUAUUCUUCCAGGAACAUUCUGUAAAAUUUUCAAAAUUUUUUGCAACCGGUCGGCUGGUUGGCAGCCGGUUCUGCCGGUUCAUCGAGUCAGCCGGUGUAGAACACUGAUUUUUGGUAAUUGUUUUGAUCAUAUCUCCCUCUUCUGAACUUGGAAUCAUGCACCAUUUUUUUUAAUUGAUUCCUUACUCUACUAGGAACAUUCUGUCAAAUUUUCAGAUUUUUUUUCCAUCGGUUCGACCAGUUGGCAUCCGGUCCGGCCGGUUCAACCGGUUCAUUGAGUCAGCUGAGGUAAAACACUAAUUCUAGUAAUUUUGAGGCCCAAAUCCUACAUGGCUCAGGCCCGUAAGCUCCAGAUCGGUUUUGGGCAAUGUUGUGGGUCCAUUUUGGGCCUUGGUUUGGGUUCCUUGUAGCCCACCACGAAUUCAUAUGGAUUCUUGGUGGUGAAGCAAGCUGAAAACUGAAGGAGUGAGCUGACCUUGUAAGUUUAAGAGAAGUAAUGAGGGGUGUGGUUCCCAUGCUGAUGAAGGGGAUUUCGGUGCUGAAGGGGAAGGAAUCCAGGAGGCUCAAAUGCUAAUAGGGGUAUGAGUAUAAAAGGUGAGAGGAUAGGAGAGCAAAUGACAGGAGGGGACAUUUUGGAGAGGGGAAAUUUUGCUGAUGAGAAAAACAAAAGGUCAGUAGCAUCUUCUGAGUUGAGAGUGUGGGGGAAAGCUUCAGCACUGUGGUUUUUUGAAGAGGAGAGUGACCGAAUCUCAGUUUUAGAAGUCAUCAUCUGCAUACACGGAUCAUAUUUGGUGGAGAUUAUGAGGUAAGCAUGCUGAAUUUUCUUUACUUACAGUAAAUCUUCCUCGUCUUCAUAUGCUUUUUCUCCUUCCUCAUCAUCUUUUCUUCCCUUUGAUAUGAAGAUUGUAUUGCUUGGGUGUGGAUAAUAAAGGCCACACAUGAUUAUUGUUGUUUGCUUCCUUAAUCACUUAGGAACUUUCUGACCGAAUUUGGGAUUUUUUACCAACCGGCUGAACUGGUUUGGAACCGGUUUAACCGGUUCAGCACCAUAACUGGCAGCCUCUGUCAGCCAUGAGGAACACUUGCCUUUCUUUGUCUGGUUCUCACUCAUCCGGGCUCGGAAUUGAGAACCGUUUCUUUUUUUUGCUUCCUUAAUCAUUUAGGAACUUUAUGACAGAAUUUGGGAUUUUUUACCAACCGACUGGACCGGUUUGGAACCGGUUCAACCGGUUCAGCACCAUAGCUGGCAGCCUCUAUCAGCCAUGAGGAACACUUGUCUUUCUUUGUCUGGUUCUCACUCAUCCGGGCUCAGAAUUGAGAACCGUUUUUUUUUUUUUUUUUUUGCUUCCUUAAUCACUUAGGAACUUUCUGACUGAAUUUGGGAUUUUUUACCAACCGGCUGAACUGGUUUGGAACUGGUUCAACCGGUUCAGCACCAUAGCUGGUAGCCUCUGUCAGCCAUGAGGAACACUUGCUUUUCUUUGUCUGGUUCUCACUCAUCCGGGCUCGGAAUUGAGAACUGUUUCUUUUGUUUGCUUCCUUAAUCACUUAGGAACGUUCUGACUGAAUUUGGGAUUUUUUAUCAACCGGCUGAACUGGUUGGGAACCGGUUCAACCAGUUCAGCACCAUAGUUGGCUACCUCUAUCAGCCAUGAGGAACACCUGCCUUUCUUUGUCUGGUUCUCACUCAUCCGGGAUCGGGAUUGAGUGUCGUUUCUUUUGUUUGAAUCCUCACUCAUUUAGGAGUUUUCUAGAAAAAUUUGGGAAUUCUUCUCAAUAGGUUGUACCAGUUGAGAACUAGUUCAACCUGUUCUGCUGGAGGACUUUAGGUAGCCCUCGAUUUUGGCAUUUUUCGAGCCCUUAUCCAUGGGGGCUCAAACCCAUUUGCUAUAGGGAACUUGUGAGCCAUCUUGAAGGUUUAAGUUAGUGUUUGAUUUCAGUUAGUAUGGGCAAUUUGGAAGUUAUGGGUGGUGUGGUCUAGAUGAGUCUAGUUCGAUUUGUAUGACAUUUGGGGAGUCCCUUACCUCAUUUCAACCAGCUAUCUUCCUUUUUGGCACAAGCUUUGAUGCUUGAUUUUGAAUACAUGUUGCGUGACUGACUCACCCUCUGCUGCAGCGCUUGGCUAGGGACCACAGGUACGCAUCGUUGGCUUUGGUUGUUGAAUUCAUAUGCAUGCAUGGUGCUUAAUCUUGAAUGUUUGUUAUGUGUUUAUCUGUGUUUGGCUGACCUUUUAUGCAGCGCUUGGCUAGGGACCACANNNNNNNNNNNNNNNNNNNNNNNNNNNNNNNNNNNNNNNNNNNNNNNNNNNNNNNNNNNNNNNNNNNNNNNNNNNNNNNNNNNNNNNNNNNNNNNNNNNNGACCGAAUUUGGGAUUUUUUAUCAACUGGCUGAACCGGUUUGGAACCAGUUCAACCGGUUCAGCACCAUAGCUAGCUGCUCUGUCAGCCAUGAGGAACACUGCCUUUCUUUGUCUGGUUCUCACUCAUCCGGGCUCGGGAUUGAGUGUCAUUUCUUUUGUUUGAAUCCUCACUCAUUUAGGAGUUUUCUAGAAAAAUUUGGGAAUUCUUCUCAAUAGGUUGUACCAGUUGAGAACUAGUUCAACCUGUUCUGUUGGAGGACUUUAGGUAGCUCUUGAUUUUGGCAUUUUUCGAGCCCUUAUCCAUGGGGGGCUUAAACCCAUUUGCUAUAGGGCACUUGUGAGCCAUCUUGAAGGUUUAAGUCAGUGUUUGAUUUCAGUUAGUAUGGGCAAUUUGGAAGUUAUGGGUGGUGUGGUCUAGAUGAGUCUAGUUCGAUUUGUAUGACAUUUGGGGAGUCCCUUACCUCAUUUCAACCAGCUAUCUUCCUUUUUUGGCACAAGCUUUGAUGCUUGAUUUUGAAUACAUGUUGCGUGAUUGACUCACCCUCUGCUGCAGCGCUUGGCUAGGGACCACAGGUACGCAUCGUUGGCUUUGGUUGUUGAAUUCAUAUGCAUGCAUGGUGCUUAAUCUUGAAUGUUUGUUAUGUGUUUAUCUGUGUUUGGCUGACCUUUUAUGCAGCGCUUGGCUAGGGACCACAGGUACGCACCCAUUGUUUUGUUUGGUUGAAUUCAUAUGCAUGCCAAAUACCAAUUAGGAUUGUGUGAUUCAUGACAUCUAUUUAGCCUAGGGUUUCAUUUGACCUUUGACCCAUAUGCUCCCACAUACCCAAUUCAUUAGUAGAGACCGAGUUUCAGGCCUAGAGGGGUGCUACCUCGCAUGAGUUACCUUCCCAACGGGUAACCUGAUCCUCGGACCUAGAAUCUAGUUUUCGUAGACCGCUUUUUCCAUACUGGGGUCAUUAGGGGUUUUUGUUCUUACUUAAUUUUCCCCAUUUUAAAAACAAAAAUAAAAAGUAACUGGCGACUCCAAACAACACCGUUCCUCACCGGGGGCGGGUUUUUCAAAACUGGAAAACAUCAACUUUUUCAUUUCUUUCUUUUCUUUUAAAAGCGAGUCGCGUCGGUCCGGUGGAUCGGGUGAGGGUCCACAGGCUAGUGAAUCGGUCGACCCCUAGCUCGACCGGACGAGGUUACCUUUUACUGUUUUUGACUCCCGAGCUUAGAAACCUAUAAAUUGAGAGCUCCACUUCAUUUAUUGACAAGAGAACACAUGCAUUCAAUAGCUUACCUACCUGUUCUUGAUAAAAAAAGCUCUCAUUUAUUUCAUAGUGCAUUAAAUCACCACUUGCAUAUACUUUAGUGCACUUUUGUGUGUCAUUUGUCUUGUAUUUGAGCUAUCCUUAAGCUAGGUUGAGGGAUUAUAUCUUGUAAAAAUCUUAGUGUUAAAGCCUUCAAGAGGGUUGAAUCUUGAAGAGGUUGUGUAAGAGCCCAUUGGAGCUGGAAUCCAAGUGUAAGAAGAUUGGAAGCUUGGUUGAAGCUUUAAGUUAGUGGAACUCUCACUCGGUUAGGAGGUUGAGGAGAAUGGACGUAGGCAAGGAAGUGCCGAACCACUAUAAACCCAAGUUUGAAUUCUCUAAACUCUAUCUCUUUACUUUACUUAUAUUGUGUUUGAAUUCGUUGUGAUUGAAAAGAUUUUAAAAACCCAAUUCACCCCCCCUCCCCCCUUUUGGGCGUUUUUCUUAACUAAGCAUAGCCUUUGUUUUCUCAAUUGGUAUCAGAGCUAGACCUCUUUUUAAGACUUAAUCGUCUAAGAGGAAAUGGCUAUUCCAUCUUGCAUGUCCAUAGAAAAAUUUUGAGCUUGUUUGCCCACGGUAUGGACCUGCUUUAUUUAUUUCAAACUUGCUUUAUAUAUGUGUGUGAUAUGAUGUAUAGUUUUUAAGGUUAUGAUUUUUUUUUUUCUUUCCCUGUGAAUUUUCCCGUUUAGAGUUUUUCACAUAAAUUUGUGUGUUCUUAUUUUGUUUUUUCUUAUUGUCUAUUCUCGUUAUUUCAUAACACAAACAAUCUUCAACUUUUUCAAGCCACAUAAAAUAUCACUUGAACUGUAAUAUUUUGGGUGGUUGGGAAAUAUUUUCUUUAUAUGCUUAUUUGAUUAGUAAUUUGAAAUUAAGCAUAUGGUAAGAUCCAAAGUGUAUCAUAACUCAAUUAAUUAGGCAUAAAAAAUUGAGGUAUUAAAAAAUUAUUUAAAAUUUUAUGAACCUAAUCUAUGAUUUUCCAUUUUAAAAAAAAAAAUCGACACUAAACUAAAUUGAACUAAAAAUUACAUACUUAUGUAUAAUACUUAAUAUCUGUUUGUUGUAUUACUAAAUUUUUGCUAUAUGAUAGCAUACCACAUCUAUAUACUUUAUAAUUGAACUACUUAGUAAUGCUAUGAGAAGGUUAUAUCAAUAGGUAUAUGUAAUAUCCCUAAUUUAGUUUUCACAAAAUAAUAAUAAUAAUAAUAAUGGUGGAUAGGGAAGUUACAAUUUUAAAUCACAACCAAUGAGUUACAAAUUUUAUACCACUUUGGAGAAGUUUUAGUUUUAAAAGAAAAAAAAAUAUUUAACAAUUUUGAAAAAUCAAGAAAAGUGAGAAAAACCCUAGAGAGAUAGGAUAAGAGGUAAAAGAGAGAAAAACCCAAAGAUAAACGUCAAGAUUGAUUUCACAUCGUUGAUUAUUUUUAUUCUCUACUAAGUAAAAUUUAUGGUAAGUCUUUAAAAUAUAUUCUUUUUUUUUUUUAAGAUAUAUGUUCAUGAUAAGAUUCUUAUAUUAAUCAAAGGUAGUACUAUGAAUGUGGCCUCUAAUUUAAUCCUAGACAAAAACAAAGUCUUCGUGAAUAUAAGAGUUUUUAUUAUUAUUUGGAAGAAAUUUUUAUACAAUACAAUUCUAAAAUAAAGAUAUGUAUUUAGUCUAAAGGACAAUUCUAAAAAUUUAAGAAGGUUUUGAAGAAAAAUAUAAACAUAAAUAAAUAAAUAAAUAAUUCAUUGUAGUUGUUCAAUAAAAGAAUGCAAUGUAGAAUAUAUACUCAAUGAGAAAAAAAUGUGAAUAAUAAAGGAAAAUAAGAAAAAUAAAAUAUUCAUUGUACAAUAAAAAAUAUUAAUUAGGAUAUACAUAAGGUUUUGAAGAAAAAUAUAAAGAUAAAUAAAUAAAUUCAUUUUAGUUGUUCAAUAAAAGAAUGCAGUGUAGAAUAUAUAUUCAAUGUGAAAAAAAUAUGAAUAAUAAAGGAAAAAAGAAAAAUAAAAUAUGUAUUGUAAAGCGAGGAUAAAUGUGACUCAAAUAAAAGUAGAGACAACUAUAUAUUACUUUAAUAAUAAAUAUAAUGGGGGAAGGAAUCAUAGAAGAGAAAUGAAAUAGUUGAAAAAAUGAAAGCAAGAGAGAAUAUGAGAGAAUGAGAAUUUCUUUCUUUUCUUGGGAUACUUUUGUACAAAGGAUGGAAGGUCUUUUAUAGGCCUCACAAAAGUGUUCCAUUAAUGCUCUCCAUUAAUAUCAAUAAAUGAAGCCAUUAAUGGAAGACUUUAUAUAAUGUUUUAAUAUAAGUUUUAAUGCAAAUGGGACUUUAACUGGUGACAUCCACCCUUGGAUGUCCAUCACCCUAAAGAAUAUGCCUCACUAAAACCUUGCUAGUAAAAGAACUCUAUGGCAAAAACCUAGCGAAGGAAAAAAAAAGUACAAUUUAAGUUGUUUUUUGUAUGUUAGAAUUGCCUCAUUAAAAAACUUGCCUGUAAAACCCAAUGGGACAAAACCUAGAUGAAGGGAAAAAAGAGUACAAUACACUAACACCCUUUUAAAAACAUUCUCCUCCUCAUGUUGAUAUCCUUGAGUUGACACAUUCCAAUUUGAUAUACUAAGAUAUCAUCAGUAAAGAUAACCACAAACUGAUCCAAAUAGGAUUUGAACACCCUAUUCAUCAAAUCCAUAAAAGUUGUAGGGGCAUUAGUUAAACCAAAAGGCAUCACUAAGAACUCAUAAGGCCCAUAUCAAGUUUGAAAAACGAUGUUGGGUACAUCCUCCCCCUUCAUCUUAAGUUGAUGGUAACCAAAAUGAAUGUCAAUCUUUAAGAAUAUAGAAGCACCUUGCAAUUGAUCAAAUAGAUAAUCAAUUUGAGGUAGUGGGUAUUUAUUUCUAAUAGUCACCUUGUUAAGUUCUCUAUAGUAGAUACAAAGCCUCAUUGACCCAUGUCUUUUUAACUAAUAACACUAGAAUACCUCAAGGUGACACAUUGAGCCUAACAAUGCUCUUUUCCAACAUUUCCUCAAGUUGCAUCUUCAACUCAUUAAAUUCCAUGGGUGUCAUACAAUAAGGUGCCCUAGAUAUAGGAGUUGUCUCAAGCAUUAACUCAAUGAUGAACUUCGCCUCUCUUUCUAGUGGAACUUUAGGAAAAUUCUCAAGAAAGACAUUUGGAAAGUGUCUCACAACCAGAAUGUUUUCUAUCCUUAAAUACUUUGUCUCUAACAAUAUUUCUUUUAUGGCCAAAAGGCUUUCUUGACAAAAAAUUUCAUCUCGACAAUUGUCUCCAAAAUUGUGUCACCCUAUAGUUUUGGAGACGAAUAAUUACAUUUUGUUAGGAAAACGUAUCUAUGACGAAAUGAAAUCUCAUGGCCAAAACUAUUUGGCAACGAGAGUUUUUUGUGGCAUAAAAUAAAAUGUUUUGUUGGGAAUUAGAUUUUCAAAUAUCUAGUAAACCAUUUGGUGACACAAGAUUUCAUUGCGCAACGAAAUUAUUUCAUCUCUAAAUGUUAAUUUAUACAUUAGGAGAUGAAAUAUUUUAAUCUCCAUCAUGUUAACAUAGAGUUUCUACAACGAAAUAAUUUUAUGUCAAAAUAUUUCCACUUACAUUUAGGGAGGAAAUGUUUUCGUUUCAAAAUAUUGACAUAUAGUUUCAGUAACAAAUAAAUCUUGUCUCUAAAUGUUUUCAUUACAAUUGGAGACAACAUUAUUUCAUCUUUAAAACUAAUCAUGUUUAGGUAAUGAGAUAGUUUUAUCUCUAAAUGUCUUUAUUCAUAUUAGAAAAUAAAAUAAUGAAACAAAUUUAGUAUUUAUACUAAUUUGAGGAUGAAAUAAUUUCCUCCCUAAAUAUAAUAUUAUUAUUAAUUUUUAAAAUUUUAAAUAAUCCUAUUGAAACAUUUAUAAACCUGUAUGAUAUUCAACACUUUCAAAUAUAAGAUGAUAUUAUACAAAAUGAAGAAUUUAAUAAUGCAAAAAUACAAUAACCUAUAGAAAAUAAGUAAGAACAAAACAUUUGUUUUAUCAAUGCAAACCAUACUUGCAAAUAAAAUUAUCUACGCUAUUUGAAUAUUAUCUAAAAUAAAAAUGACUAACAUAUAAUAGUAAACCACAUAAUAAUGUCAACUUGAUAGUGAAGGUGGUGGUUAGGAAGCUAAGCCAAAAUGAAGUGGUAGUGAGUUAGAAGUAUUGGUCUGUUGUGGCACAAAACUCUAUAUCAUUGCCUUCAACUAGUCCAAUUAAGUGGUAGUUGUAGUCUUAAACUCUUGUAACUCUAUGAUCUAUUGUCACAAUUUCUUUGUCUCUUUAUUAGGAAAUUUAGUUGCACUGGAAUGGUUAAGUUGUGAUCCAUAUCCCAAACCUUGAACAUAACUUGAUUGCUUCUUAAGCACUCAAUGAGUUAUCACUAAGUCAAACAAGAGUACCAACCUUCUGGGUACUUUGCUUUUGAAUCUCAUGCAUCUCUUCUUGAAAAAUAUAGUAUAAUUUUAAUUAGUAAAAAUAUUACCAUAACAUAUUUACCUUUUACUACUACAAGUAACAUGACUCUUACGUAUCGAGAUUUAAGAGUAUCAUUUAUCCAUCCUUUACUCGCAUUGUAGUAGGUGGCACAAAAUAACUCCACUUCCUUUUCAACCCUUCAAUGGUAAGACUCUUUUACAUGCACAAAAAAAAAUAAUUAAGUUACUUUUAAAGAUAAUGAAUAAACUCCCCUUUACAACUUUUUAGGUAAAACAUGUCUUUUACAUAAAUAGAAUAAAAUAAAAAUAUUAUUUUAAAGAUAUAAUUAAGAAGUAUAUAUUAUAUCAUUGAGUUAUGGUGAUGAUAAAACGCUAAGCAUUUAGAUCCAUCACAAUGAUUGAAUGGAAGCUUUUCAUGAUUUUCAUUAUUUAUAGCAGCCAUUUUCUACACAAUAAUAUUACUAAAAGAGUUAGUAAAACGAAAAUGAAAAAAAUAUAGUAACCUAAGAAUUAGAUAAAUAUGUUAGACAAACAACCAAACAUAUAAUAAAGUAAAGUUUUUCUACCAUGUUUUAAGUAGUCUCCUCCAUUAAUCCGACUAUAUAUACACCUAUGUACAAUAUUUUAAUUUUUCAUAAUAAAUCAACAUUCCAACAUAGCAUUUCAAUUAUUCAUAAUAAACAAACAUUCUAAUAGAAUACUUCAAUUUUUCAUAAUGAAUCAACAUUAUGACAUAAAUUUUGAUUUUCAACUUGUUUUAAACGACAAAUUCCUACUUUAUACUUCAAAAUAUACCAAAUAUACUAAUUAAUGAAAAAUUCACAUUUUCUUUUUUAUCUUUCCAACUUUUAACAUCUACGAUACUUAAACUUGAUUUUUCAAUCACAGUAAAACCAAAUUCUUAACUUAAAAAUAAAUUAAAUUUAUGAGCUUUCAUUCAAUACUGUGACAAAUUAAUUUAUUAUCAAUUAGUAAUAAUUAUUAAUAGAAAUAAAAUAUAAUUUAUAUAUUUUCUUUUCUUUUUUUUUAAGAAUUUCUUCCUUACUUCUUAAGUAAAUUUAGAUAUAUCAUUUUCUCAAGAAUAUUUACUGAAUAUAAAUACAAAAAAUAUAAGAACAAAUUAAUUUUAAUAUGAAAUAAAUUUAAACUCAUAUAUUUUGACUUGACAAUAUGAAAACGUUUACUGUUUUCCAAACAAACAUAAUUAAAUACAUCAAUAUGAUAAUGAAUUACCCACACUAAGACCUGCAAAUAUAUCUAAUAAUUAUAAUUUUUAGUUUAAAAUAAAUAUUUGAACAUCACUAUUUAAUAAUUUCAGACACAUAAAGAUAUAUCUUUAGCCUUAUAAAAUAAACAAUAAUGCAUAAAUUCUCAAACCAAAUUCCACAUAAUAACAAACAAAUUGGAUGAAAAAAAUGGGGAAAAUACACAAUUUCUCAAACAAAAUUCUACUUAAUAGCAAACUACUCAAAAAAAUGAAAAACAAAAUAAAUAAUUUUAGAAACAAAAAAAAAAAAUGUAUAAUAACAAACAAACAAAUAGGAAUCUUAAAAAUAACAAACAAACCAAAAUUAUGUAUAAUAACAAAAAAGAAACAAGAAAAUAUAAAAUAAAAAUAAAUAAUGUAUUAAAUGAUGUGAAAAAUACAUCAAAUACCCAUGUAAACCCCUUAAAAGACCAAUGUUUUUUUUUUUUUUUUUAUUUAGCUGGGGACCACCCGAGGAGGUUUGUUUGGCAUUCAUUUUUCAAGAUGUGGGGACCCCUCUCCAUGCAUGGGACGUGCAGCAGCAGGGGGGUGAUGGCUGGCCAUGCUUGCUGAUGGGUGAACAGCAGGGCAAGUAGUGGCUUGCCAAGGAAGAAAAGAAGACGAAGAUUUUAAGGAGAAGGAUAAGAGAGAAAAAAGAAAAGAAAAAAACGAGGGGGGAGGAGAUCUGAAACGGGGAAGAGAUUUUCAGGUAUGAGCUCUCAUACUGCGGAUUUCCUUGUUCAUCUUCUUUAUUACAUCAUUCUUCAUGCAUUUAUCUGGUGUUUCUCUUGCUUUCAUUUGUUAUUGGGGUAUUUUAUCGCUCUGUUUUCUUUGCCAUCUUCUCCGAGCAUUCAGUUCAAAGGUAAACCCGGAUUCGAUUUGAGUUAUGCCACUGACCACGAAGCCCGUUUAUGUCGGCAUGAAAUGGGUUCCUAUGAUUGUUUGUUUGUUUUAUUAUUUUGGGAAGUGCUCAGUUUGAGGUUGUUCAUCUCUGUUUCUUUUCUUUUUUUUCUUUUUUUCUUUCCUGGUACCUCAAUCUUUGUCCUCCAACACGCGUGUGGAGAUCACGUGUCACUCAGCCGGCGACCAUGCCUACGUCCGCAUUGACUCACCGACCGGAGGACCUGCUCACACGGCUGCACUGCGCCAACGCCGAAGCCUGCCCUCCACCCCCCACCCCCUCUGUGAAAUCCAAUUACAGAAACCUAAAAAAAUCUAACCCUGAAAGUCUUCUUCUCUUUGUCUUCACCAUGGACGACCUUGGGCCACCUACAGAGACGAAGACGAAGAAGACGACGAUUGCGCUGACACUGCCGGAGGAGAACCAAGCGACGGAGCAAGCCAUCGAGAUGGCCACAGCAGCGGUGGGAGCGACGGAGAUGCCGAAAGUCACACAGAAGGCGAAGAAAGUGGAGCUUGGCUAUGAUAGAAUGCAUGCCGCGAGUGGGAAAGGGUACAGAGUGGUUAAGGCUACUAGAGGGGUUGUGUAAGGAGCUUGGUAUUUUGAAAUCAGGUUUUGAAGCUGAGGGAGACAAGGCAUACGAGGCUUGGAUGGUCAACGGAGAAGGGGGCUUGCAGGCGCCAGUAGGGUACGAUGCAAAUGGUUCCAGGUAUAGGGAUAUAGGUGGGAUUAAGGUGCACAAGGCCAUGGAGGAGAAUGUGGAGAGGAAAGAUUAUUUAAUUUGUUCAAAAGAGUUAAUGGCCACGUGCAAGCCAAAGGAAUGUUCUUGGGGUAGCAAUAAAAAAAAAUACCCAGGCCACUUUAUGGUCCCGGUGUUAGCAUAUGAGACAUGAGUUUUAUUUAUUUAUUUAUUUAUUUAUUUAUUUAUUAUGUGUGUUUCUAGUUUAUCGUGCACCUAUUUAAAUAAUUCCUCCAAGUCCCAGAUUCCAAAUUCUAAUCCCCAAUUCCCACAAUUCCAAUUUUUCACACUUGUUUAUUUAGUCAUUAUAAUUAUUAUUAUUAUUAUUAUUAUUAUUAUUCCAUAUUUAUUUAAUUAUUUCAUUUAAAAAUUCAAAUCGUUCAAGUUCAGUUAUUAAAAAAUCUGACUUCCUAAUUUAAUAUUCAAUUGCAAAAAUUCCACUAUUCAUUUUUAUUCGUUUAAAUAUUGUUUUCGUUAAACAACCAUUGGAAGCCGAUCACUCCAAGCUGAAGGAAAAUUUCGCACGGUUGCGAAAUCAGCCUUGGGCUGCGAAAAUGGUGUCCUUUUGCUGUGAAAUUUCGCAGCCCUCUUGCUGUGGAAUUUCUCCUGAAGCUUCCCGAUAUUUGCAACCGACAUUUUGAGACUUUUUACUUUAGAUAUUUGAUGUCUAAAUCCCCAAACUCUCCUUGUAACCCACCUAUCAUAGGAUUCCUUAGUCUUUAAGUAAGAACAAAGGGUGAAUAACUUGUUAUAUAUAGUUGUAAUUUUCUUUACAAAUAAAAAAUCUCGGGACCUUGUUCUCAGAGACAACCUUUUGUAAUAGUUAGAAAUAUAUUUUACAGAGCACUUGCUCUGUUUUUCCUUCAUAUUUUUGUUUUCUCGUUCUUUUUAUUUCUAGCCAAUCAAACUCUGAGGAUUUUUCCUCAGAGGAUGAGUGGCUAGGCUCUUCGUCUCUUGGAGUGAAGAAAGUCGGGUAAGUUUCCUCAUGCAUAAAUGGGAAGUUUUGUUGUUUUAGUUUUUAAUGAAGAGAAAGUGUGACCCGUUAAUGGUUUUUAUCUUUUUAGUUAACUUAAAACGCCUUUAAAUCACCUGGGCCAACACUUGGUAAGGCAAGUGAUCUCCGUCCAUUGAGAUGCACUAGUUUACCUCUUGCAAGUCUUUGGGAGGUGGUUUGAAAGUAGGAUUUUCUAAAAUAGCCAACACUUGGUAAGCUUUUGGACUUUAAGGAGACAUCCAUUAGUUAUCUCUUGCGAGCUUUUGACGGGUAAUCCAAGGUUAAAGAUCACCUUGAAUGGCAAAUGCUAGGUGAGAGGCACGAGCCAUUGCAAGAUGUAUCAAUGAGAAGGAUUUAGUGUUUGAACCCAUUAAUGGGAAGCAUCUGUACCACACCGGUUAGAGAAUUAACUAUAUGUUAAUUCUUUAAUGCGAGAAAAAGAAACAAGUGACCGGAACUCUCCUUUUUAUAUGAGGAACCUGAGCCUAGUGAUCUGAAACUCCAAGAAACACUUUUCUUUGUAAUUAAAAUCAGUUACUAUUUUUGGUUAGCUUAAAACCAAACCUUUUCCACCAAAAAUUAUGUUUUCUUUUAAAGCUAACCUUGAAAUGAAAAGGCACCAAUUCAUCUUUGAAUUAAUAUCAAUUGUGAAGUGAAAACUCAUCCCAGUGAACGACCCUAGAGCCACUAUGCUAUGCUAGCUAAGGCUAUCCUAGUACAUGGUGUAAUAGGUUAUAAAUUUUGUUGAUUACUCCCUUCUGAGGACCACAAUCAAGGAGCACCAACUGGACACGAAUCAAAUGGUACCACUUUCAAGGACCAUUAAAAGGACAUGAAUCAGCUGAGACACCAAUUGGGAACGUAUCAAUGAAUAAUUUUUUUUUUUUAUAUAAUUCUAGAAUAAUGGAAUCUGUGAUAUUAAGUCAUGCUGAAUAAACGGGUUUUGGUGGGGGCCCAACAUGGGUGACUUUAUGAUUGAUUGUUUGAUUGGAUUAUCAUACAUGAUUGAUUUAUCCUACUCUCUGACAUGCAUGAGAUUAUUUCUUAAUUGUGCACUAACCCGCUCUCUUGAUAGCGCAUUGACGUUUGAUGCCAAGGUGUGCCCCGCUCCCACUUUGAUCGUUCUUUAUUGAGUGUUUUGAUUCUCAUAUGCGCAUGAUCAAUUUGAGUAUACAUUGAUUUUCCUACUAAUUGUCAUGUCAGCUUCGUUUUAUUAGUAGAGGCCCGACUUUAGGGACUUAGAGGGGUGCUAUGGUCUUUACCGUACCUUCCCGAUAAGUAACCUGACCCCCGAGCCCUACCCGAUUUUUCGUAGAUCACCUUUUCCAAAAUGAGGAGUCACACUUAGGGUUUUCUUUCUUAUUUUGUUUACACUUUUAAAAAAAUAAAACAAAAAUAAGUGGCGACUCCAAGUCAUUUUUCAAACAAUAAAAUCAUUUUCAAAGUAAAAUCAAGCUCGCCAUUGAGUAGAAAACGCAUGAGUCGAAAUGCAGGGUCCACAACCCAUAAAAAAAAUAUUUAAUCAAAUAUCUUCUCCAAUAAAAUUAUGUAUAAUAACAAAAAAUUUCAAAAUAAAAGUGACCAACAACAGUCAGUAGAACAAACCGAAAUAAAAUUAUGGGUCAUAACAAUCCUAAAAUUAAAUAAAAUAAAAACAUAAAGUUAUAAUAACCCCACACUUGUGUUAUGUGUGGCGUUGUGCAUUGAUAGCAGCAUCAGCGACGCAAGAUUGACCAACAACAGUUGGCAACAUCACUUAAUGGCGAAGAAAACAGCAACUUGCGACAACAGGUAUGGUGAUGAGUUUGGAAUAAUUGAGGAGAACUAAGAGCAAGGGUUUUUGUAGGGAGUUUAGGAAAGUUUUUAAUUUUAGUUUUUUUUUUUUUGUUUUUUUAUGUUUCCAUUUAACAUCCCAGAAUAUUACUUUAUAAUUCCUUAUAUAAAUAUUUGCCAAUUAUAAAAUGGUUUUUAGGAUUGUCUUUUAUUUUGGUUUUUUUUUUAAUUUUUAUUCUUUUAAAAAAUUAUCAAGAUUACUUUAAAAAUAUUUGAUUAAAUAGUUUUUAAAUUUUAAAUAAGAUAAAUGUAAAGUAACUAGUUUCUUUUAGUCCUACAAAAUUGUAAUAUUCUAAGAAUUAAAACUAUUAAAAGAGAUUAUAUUUAAAAUUUUAAUAAUUAUUAAUAUAACUUAAAGUUUCAAAUUAAUUUGGAUAAUUAUUUAAGAUAGUUUAGAAUAUUGAUAUUAAAAUUAAAUACUUAUAGAUAAAGGCAUGAGGUAGUUUUAUGGCAAGUACAAGAUUAAGUAAAUUGCCAAAAGUUUUAGAAAUUUUUUAUACAGGAUUAAUUUUUAAAAAAAAACAAUAUUAAUUUAUUGUUUUAUAUAGUUAAAAUUAGAAUUUUUUUUAUAAAGAAUAUCAAUAAAAAAUACCUAUAAAAAAUUUAAGAAGAUAGAGAUAAUUUUAUAGAAAGGUAAAACAUUAUGUGGUUAAAUUAUUGAAAAACAAAAGAAUUUUUUGUAUCAAUUUCAAGGGAUUUAUAACUUUUUAUAUAUGUCUAAAAAUAAUCAAGGAGAUAAAUUAUAAAAAGAUAUAAAUAAAUUAUCAUUAAAAUGUUAUUAUUUUAUAAAUUCAUAUAUAAAAUUAUAAUAAAAUAUAAUAUUAUAAAAAUUAAAAUAAAUUACUUUUUUUUUUGUCCUAUACAUUCACAAUUUAGAUUUAUUUUUAUGUUUUCAUAUGAAAAAGACUAACAAUGUUAGGUUCUCACAUGAUAAACUAAUUUUUAUAUUUUGUAUAAUCAAUAUAAUCCAAAUUAGACUAUAUAUAUAGAAUAAAAGUUAUAAACAAAAUAAAUGAUUUUAACUUAAUAUAUUUUUUUAUAAUUUAAUUUUUAUUUUAUUAUAAGUUAUUAAGGAUAGUGUAAAAUAUUGGCAUUAAAAUCAAAUACCUAGAUAACGACAUAAGGUGGUUUUGUGGAAUGUAUAAAAUUAGGAAAUAUAGAAUUUACUAAAAGUUUUAUAAAAAUCUUUAUAAAGGAUUUAUUUUUAAAAUUUUAAAUUUAUUGUCUUAUAUAGUUAAUACUAGGAUUUUUUUUUUCUAAAAAAUAUCCAUAAGAAAUACCUAUAAAAAAAAUUAAGGAGAUAGAUGAUUUUAUAGAAAACAUGAGAUUGGUAAAACGUUAUAUGAUCAAAGUAUUAAAAAAACAAAUGACUUUUUUUUUUAAUCAACUUUAAGUGAUCUAUAAAUUUUCCUAUGUCUUUAAAAAAUCAAUUAGAAAAAAUAUGAAAAAAAAUAGAAGAAUUGAAAUAAAUAUAUUUAUAAAUUUCAUUAUCUUAUAAAUUUAUAUAUGAAUCAUAAUAAGAUAUAAUACUAUUAUCCUAAGGGUUCUCCUAAUCAGAUUUUGAUGAUAACAAACCAUGGUAAAGUUACUAAUUGGUUUAAAUUGUAAAGAAUCUCAAGUAUUAAUUUGGAAAUUUAUCAAAGGACCUAAUGGAUACAAGAUCAAGACGUCUGGAAGAUUUUUAAUCAUAGGAAACAAUUGUAAGAUGAAUGCAUGGGUGCACUUAGGUUUUACAUAUCAUUUCAUGCAUCUUUGGAAAACUCGGUUUAUUAUUUAAAGUUACAAUUGCAUUAAAACCUGAGUUUUAUCAAAUGUACCUUAGGCAAAUACAAGAUCAAUUGCAUUAUAUAGUUAUCGAAUUCACCUAAAGAGCUUGUCUAAAUGUUAGAAAAGAAAAGAACAGAAAAGAUAGGUUUUCGGGGCCCAAAGGUUGAAUCGGUCGAGGCACUAGGCCAACCGGCUAGGGUAUCGAUUAUCGGUUCCCCUUGCCCGGUCGAGGAGUGCUAAAAACACUCUCUCUAAUUCAGUAGCCUUCCAUUCCCGAUCGAGGUAUCCUCCUUCUCGGUCGACCUCCAGUCGAGGUCCAGUUGAAGUAACGGUAACCUACCAAAGCAUUAAAUGCUCCAAUAGCUAGUGAAUUUUUCGACCCCUAGCUCGAUCGGUUGAGGUUGCUUUUUGUUUUUCUUGGCUCCCAAGGUUAGAAACCUAUAAAUUGAGAGCUCCACUUCAUUUAUGACAUAGAGAACACUUGCACUUAAUUGUCUACCCACUUGUUUUUUACUUAAAAGCUCUUAUUUCUUUCUUAGUGCAUUAAAUCUUCAUUUGCAUAUCUUUUAGUGCGCCCUUGUGAGUCAUCCUAGCUUUGAUUUGUAUUUAAGCCAUUAUUGAGCUAGGUUGACAAAAGAUCAUCCUUGUAAAUUGAGUAUUAGAGCCUUCAAGUGAGUUGAAUAUUGAAGAGAUUGUGUAAGAGCUCAUUGGAGCCAGAAUCCAAGUGUAAAAUAGAUUAGAAGGUUGGUUGAAGCUUCAAGUUAGUGGAACCCUCACUCGGUUAGGAAAUUGAGGAGAGUAGACUUAGGCAAGAAAGUGUCGAACUACUAUAAAAUCUGAGUUUGAAUUUUCUAACUCUAUCUCUUUAUAUUUGCUUCUAUUGUGCUUGAAUUUGUUGUGUUGAAAAAGUUUUUAAAAAAACCCAAUUCACCAUUUCUUAGGUGUUUUCCUCAUUUAAGGUUAGCCUUUAUUUUCUCAAUUGGUAUCAGAGGUAGACCUCUUGUUUAAAACUUAAUCGUCUAAGAGGAAAUCGUUAUUCCAUCAAGCUCAUCUCACAGUGAAAGUUUUGAAAAAAAUAGAGCUUCAUUUUUUACGAGAACCGACUAUCCCUAUUAAAAAACUAAAAUGACUUGGUAUUUACAAUCAACCGAUUUAAAUGUAUGGGACGUCAUUGAAGAUGGCCCAACUUUUUCCUACAAAACUAGUUGAUGGAAUCAUGGUUCCAAAACCCAAACAAGAAUGGAAUGAGCUUGAUAGAAGAAUUUUUCAAUUAAAUGCUAAGGCCAUUUUCACUUUGCAAUGUGCCAUGGAUAGAAAUGAAUAUAAUAUAAUAUGUCAAUGCAAAUUGGCUAAAGAAUUUUGGAGAUUGCUUGAAAUAACUCAUGAAGGAAUAAAUCAAGUGAAAGAGUCAAAAAUCAAUUUACUUGUUCAUAGCUAUGAAUUGUUUUUUAUGAAAGAAAAUGAGACUAUUGUUGAGAUGAUCACUAGGUUCACCGACAUUGUCAAUGGUCUUAAAGCAUUGGGAAAGACCUACAAGGAAUCCGAAAAGGUGAUGAAGAUCUUGAGGUCUCUCCCAUCAAAGUGGCAUGCAAAGGUCACCGCAAUUCAAGCAGUAAAAAACUUGACCAAGAUACCAAUGGAGGAGCUCAUAGGGUCAUUAAUGACAUAUGAGAUCAAUUUGACAAAGAAGCUACAAGAAGGUGAAGACAAAAAGAAGAAGAGCAUAACUCUCAAAGCUACAACUAAAGAAGAAGAAGAUGUUGAAGAAAAAAAACAAAGUGAAGAAGAUGAUGAUUUAACCCUCAUCACAAGAAAGCUCAACAAAUACAUGAGGGGUGAAAGGUUUAGAGGAAGAAGGUUCACCUCUAGAAGAGACCUUUCUAAAAAGGAAUCUUCAUCUCAUAGUGACAAGGAGAAAUGGGAAGAGAAAAGAGAUUUGGCGUGUUUCAAAUGAAAGAAAUUGGGACACAUUAAAUAUGAUUGUCCUCUCUACAAAAGUAAAGCCAAGAGGAGAAUGAAGAAGGCAAUGAUGGCCACUUGGAGUGAAAGUGAAGAAUCCUUCGAAGAAGAAAAUGAGAAAGAAGUGGCAAACAUGUGCUUCAUGGCAAUAGAUGAACUUGAUGAGGUAAACUCUAACUUUAGUGAUGAAGAUAUGCAUGAUGUUUUUGAAGAAUUGUAUGAGGAUUUUGAAAAACUUAGUUUGAAAAAUAUUUCUCUUAAGAAGAAAAUUCAACAACUUGAAAAAGUAAAAGAAAAUUUUUCAAUUGUUGAAAUUUCUAAAACUCAUCUUGAAAAAGAAAAUGAGAUUUUGAGAAAGAAAAAUGAAUGGUUGAUGUCCUCUCUUUCAAUAUUUUCUUGCGGACAAAUUUUUUUUGAAAUGAUUCUAGCUAGCCAAAAAUUUGUUUUUGACAAACAAGGACUAAGAUUCAAAUCUUCAAAAAAUCAAAAGUAUUUUAAAAACUAUUUUAUAAAAGAAUCCACAAGUGCAAGUCCUUCCACUACUUGCAACUUUUGUAGAAGAGGAGGGCAUAUUAGUAGUACAUGUCCUUUGAGAAAUGUUUCUCAAAAGACUUCAAAUGCAAAAGUUAAAAAGGUUUGGAUUGAAAAAUCCAAGGUCACUAACCCUCAAGGACCCAAAAUGAUAUGGGUACCUAAAUCAACUUGAGUUUUAUAUUAUAGGGUUCAAAGAAGGAUAAGUGGUUCUUAGAUAGUGGAUGCUCAAGACACAUGACCGAAGAUGAAUCCAAGUUUACUUUCCUUAAAAAGAAAAAUGGAGGAUAUGUUACCUUUGGAGACAAUGCAAAAGGAAGAAUCAUUGGUCAAGGCAACAUUGGUAAUGACACAUCCUCUCUUAUUGAAAGUGUUUUAUUAGUAGAUGGUUUAAAACAUAACCUUUUAAGCAUUAGUCAACUUUGUGACAAAGGUUUUAAAGUGAUUUUUGAAGCAUCUCAUUGCAUCAUCAAGGAUAUUCAAAAUGAUAAAACCAUCUUCAUGAGUCAUAGAUGUGAUAAUGUUUAUGCUAUAAAUAUUUCAAAAUAUGAUAGUUAUGAUAGAUGUUUUUCAAGCAUGCAUGAUCAAAGUUGCUUGUGGCAUAGGAGGUUGGGACAUGCUAACAUGGACCGCAUUUCCCAACUCAACAAAGAUGAACUUGUUAGAGGCCUUCCCAAAAUAAAUUUUUUAAAAAUCAAAGUUUGUAAAGCUUGUCAAGUGGGAAAGCAAAUCAAAAACUCUUUCAAAAACAAAAAUUUUAUUUUCAUAUCUAGGCCUCUUGAGUUGUUGCAUAUGGAUUUAUUUGGUCCCUCUAGGACUCCAAGUCUUGGAAAAAAAUCUUAUGCAUAUAUUAUUGUGAAUGACUUCUCUAGAUACACAUAGGUCUUGUUUUUAAGUUAAAAGAAUGAAACCUUUUCUGAGUUUUCAAAGUUUUGCAAUAAGGUUCAAAAUGAAAAAGGUUUUACAAUUACUUGUAUAAGAAGUGAUCAUGGAAGAGAAUUUGAAAAUAUUGAUUUUGAAGAAUAUUUCAAUGAGCAUGGAAUUAACCACAAUUUUUCGGCUCCUAGAACUCCCCAGCAAAAUGGGAUAGUUGAAAGGAAAAAUAGAACUCUUCAAGAAAUGGCUAGAACCAUGCUAAAUGAAAACAAUUUACCAAAAUAUUUUUGGGCCGAAGCGGUUAACACUUCUUGUUAUGUUUUAAAUAGAAUAUUAUUGAGGCCCAAUCUUAAGAAAAUUCCUUAUGAGCUUUGGAAAAACGAGAAACUCAACAUUAGCUAUUUCAAAGUCUUUGGGUGCAAAUGUUUUAUAUUAAACAUCAAAGACAAUCUUGGAAAAUUUGAUGCAAAAUCGGAUGUUGGAAUUUUCCUUGGUUACUCAACUUCAAGUAAAGCUUUUAGAGUUUUUAACAAAAUAACCAUGAUUGUAGAGGAGUUCAUCCAUGUUAUUUUUUAUGAAUCUAACCAUUCUCUCCAAGAAACAAAGAGUUUUGAUGAUGAUUUAGGUUUAGAGACCUCCAUGGAAAAAUUACAAAUUGAAGAUAGAAGGCAAUUAGAAGAAAUUAGAGAGGAUCCCAAGAAAGAAGAAUCACCAUUAGCACUACCCCCUCCUCACCAAGUGCAAGGUGAAUCAAGUCAAGACCUUCCUAAAGAUUGGAAGUUUGUCAUCAACCACCCACAAGAUCAAAUUAUAGGUAAUUCAUCUAGUGGGGUAAUAACUAGAUCAUCUCUUAGAAAUAUUUGCAAUAAUCUUGCUUUAGAAAUAAAAUGGAUGAAAAUGGCAUAAAUGUUAGAAAUAAAGCAAGAUUGAUAGCCCAAGGUUUUAAUCAAGAAGAAAAGAUAGAUUAUGAAGAAACCUUUGCCCCGAUAGCUAGGUUGAAAGCCAUUAGGAUGCUACUUGUCUUUGCAUGUUUUAAAGACUUUUCUUUAUAUCAAAUGGAUGUGAAAAGUGUUUUUUUAAAUGGCCUUAUAAAUGAAGUAUAUGUUGAACAACCACCCAGUUUUCAAAGUUUUAACUUUCCUAACCAUGUUUUUAAACUUAAAAAGGCAUUUUAUGGUUUGAAACAAUCACCUAGAGCAUGGUAUGAAAGAUUGAGUAAAUUUCUUUUGAAAAAGGGUUUUAAAAUGGGAAAAAUUAACACAACUCUUUUCAUAAAGACCAAAAAAAAAUGCUCUUAGUUCAAAUAUAUGUUGAUGAUAUUAUUUUUGGAGCUACUGAUGUCUCUCUUUGUGAAGAAUUUUCUAAGUGCAUGCAUAGUGAGUUUGAAAUGAGCAUGAUGGGAGAACUCAACUUCUUCCUUGGACUGCAAAUCAAGCAACUAAAUGAAGGAACCUUCAUCAAUCAAGCAAAGUAUAUAAGAGAUCUUCUCAAAAGGUUCAACAUGGAAGAAGCCAAAACUCCAAUGAGCUCAACGAUCUAGCUUGAUAAGGAUGAGAAAGGUAAAUCCAUUGACUCAACUAUGUAUAGAGGCAUGAUAGGUUCUUUGUUAUAUUUGACCACUAGUAGACCCAAUAUUAUGUAUAGUGUAUGCUUGUGUGAUAGAUUUCAAUCUUGUCCUAAAGAAUCUCAUUUAAGUGUCUUAAAACGAAUUCUUAGAUAUUUGAAAGGGACAAUGGACAUAGGCUUAUGGUAUCCUAAGAGUGAUAACUUUGAAUUAAUUGGAUUUUCGGAUGCCGAUUUUACCAGUUGUAGGGCUAAAUGAAAAAACACUAGUGACACUUGUCAUUUCCUAGGACACUCACUUGUUUCAUGGCAUAGUAAGAACCAAAAUUUGGUAGCUUUGUCAACGGUUGAAGCUAAAUACAUAGCAGCCGGUUUAUGUUGUGCACAAAUUCUUUGGAUGAAACAAACACUUGGUGAUUUUGAUUUAUCUUUUGAGCAUGUUCCUAUUAAAUGUGAUAAUACUAGUGCCAUACAUAUAUAAAAAAAUCUCGUGCAAUACUUUAGGAAUAAGCAUAUAGAGAUUAGACAUCAAUUUCUUAGAGACCAUGCACAAAAGGGUGACAUAACACUUGAAUUUGUAAGCACAAAAAAUUAACUUGUUGAUAUCUUUACAAAACCUCUAAGUGAAGAACAAUUUGUUGACAUUAGAAUACAACUAGGAGUGAUUUCUUUAUGAUCUAAUGAUUGCUUCUUGAUGAAUAUAUCUUCUGAUUGCAUGAAUUUCAUGUCAUAUGCAUCAUAUAGACACAUACUUAGAUAAAUGGUCAAAUUUUGACCAAAAAUCAAAAUUCUCUUGGCAUUGGGCAUAAAAAAUUGGGGAUUUCAACUAAAAAUGGCAGAGUGGGGAUGAGAAAAUGAGAAAAUGCACAAAAUGUGAAAAUUCAAACCCAUUGACCACGUUGACCAGACUGUCGACCGAACCAAGACCGAUCGACCGAUUCGUCAGGACUAGGUAUUUAAAGAGACUCCCGUGCAUUGUUUUCUCCACUGUUCUCCUCCAUUUCUUCAGGGUUUUUCACAUUUCGGCUUCCAGAGAUCAGUUUAAGCAAGGUUUAGAUCGAUUGAAGGCUUUGGAUUGGAUUUUUGGGAGGAUUAGAGGCUAGGGUUUUGGUUUUGGACUACACUUUCUUCCUCUCGCGUACCACAACCAGGGUUUUCUUCCUUUCCGCACGCCUAGGGUUUCGGUUAUGAGUGCUUCUCUCUCUACCAACCUCGUCUCCUUUGUUUCUGUCAUUCUCAUGGCUCCUAGGAGAGAGUUGACUGCCUUUAGGGCACAGGGCAAGCGCCCAGCUGAGCCGUCUCAGCCCCCUCUAUCGAAGGCUCGCCAAUAGGCGAGGUUUGACACCUCUUUAUUCAGCUCCGUGGAAGACUACCAAUGGUACAAGCAAAAGUUUGCUUAGAGGAAAGUAGUUCUAGGGAAAAGUAUCAAUUUCUCCCAACUCCAGCAUUUCGGAUUUAAGGGAUUGUUUGGUAGGAUGGGUUGGCUACCCAUGGUGACGGUUUCGGAGCUGAUUUUUUCGACAUUGGUGCGAGCGUUCUAUUUGAGGACGACAUAUGGCAUUGGUGGCCCGAUUAUUUCCACUAUUAGAGGACUUGAGAUUCAGCUAGACUUGGAAAGCAUCUGCCGUAUUUUCAAUAUUGCUCCAAUUGGACUCAGGGUGUACGAGUCCAAGAUUUGGCCCACUAUGUCGGGUUUUGAGCUUAAAGAGGCCAUUCAAAGAAUGUGCGGACUUGCAGACGCCUAGAGGAUGGGCAAACCAUCGGCCCACAGCUUGACCGUGAUCAAUAGAGUACUACACCACAUGAUUUGCUCUAUCUUGCUACCACGAGGCGGACACAAAGACAAGGUCUCCUAUUAUGAGGAAUUCCUCGUGGACUCUAUUCUAACGGGGAGAUGAAUUCACUUGGGGUAUUUGAUGAUGAUGCACAUGAUCUCAUGUUGCGAGAGCAUGACCCGUGUACUCCCUUAUGGUAGAGUGUUCAAGGAUGUCGGAGUUGAUUGGAGCAAAGAGAUAGAUUUUGAGGCUCCCAACAUAUAUGAUACAUAUGAUGAGCAGUCUUUGGGGAGAAUGAAAUUUGAGAAGGCCCUCGAUGGUUCUUGGAUUAGGAGAGCAAAGAGACCACCAACACAGGCCCGAGGAUAGGGACAGGUACAUCCUGGCGUAAAAAAGGAGGCCAAGAUAUGAGAGAUAAAUGGUGGAGUAGACCCUUAGAGAGGCUUUCAAUAGAUAGAUCUCGAGCUUGACAUUCCUCCACUCCAAUCAGAGGGUGUUUAGUUUGAGGCCAUAUUUUCUGAGCCGAUGAUGUUUGAUCUGACUUACACAGUGGGACCAUCUUCUCAGCUAUCAUUCACUGAGCCUCCUCACAUAAAGAUACCACCUCAUCAGGCACCUCACGGUCCUAAUCAUGCACCUUGGAUGGAUCUAUCUGCUCAAAUUAGCUCUCUCGGCACUCGCAUGAAGGAGCUUGCAGUAGUCAAUGAUACUCGAUUCUACUCCAUGGAGGAUCGCAUGAAUCGAUAUCAGACUGGUUUCACUUCUCAAUUUGAGUAUUUGUAGCAGAGAUUUGAGUGUAUGGAUGAUCACAUGGAUCAACAGUGGGCUGGGUUUGAGCAUCUCCAGCGAAGGAUUGAGUGCAUUGAGAGUCGCCAGAAGAGUCAGCAUAAGGAGAUGAUGGCUUACCUACGCUCCGUGUUUCCACCUCCACUUCCUUAGCCUUGAUUUCAUAGAGACCUCCUUCGUUUCUUUUUUAUAUUGCCAAAAAAGGGAGAGAUAUUUAGGAUCUAGGAGACUUACAUGCAUAUCAUUGUCAUAUCUUUUGUUUGGAUUAUAUAUAUAAUAGGCUUAUAUGUUUCAUGUACAUUUGACUUAUAUAUGAUAUGUUAUAUGUUUCAUGACUUACACUGUUUCAUAUUGAAAAUUUGCAUGUCUUGAUUAUCUUGGUUUUAACUUCAUAAAUUUUGAUUGAUUGAUCCAUGAUUGGUUUGAGAGGGAGAUUUUUCUUCUCCUAGAUAACCAAGGUUUGUCAUCAUAAAAAAAUGGGAGAUUGUUAGCCCAAGGGUUCUCCUAAUUAGGUUUUGAUGAUAACAAACCAUGGUAAAGUUACUAAUUGGAUUGAAUUGUAAAGAAUCUCAAGUAUUAAUUUGGAAAUUUAUCAAAUGACCUAAUGGAUACAAGAUCAAGACGUCUAGAAGACCUUUAAUCAUAGAAAAAAAUUGUAAGAUGAAUACAUGGGUGCACUUAGGUUUUACAUAUCAUUUCAUGCAUCUUUGGAAAACUCAGUUUAUUCUCUAAAGUUACAAUUUCAUUAAAACCCGAGUUUUAUCAAAUGUACCUUAAGCAAAACAUUUCAAAAUUGGCAUAUUAAUUUACCUAAAGACCUUACCUAAGUGUUAGAAAAGAAAAGAACAUAAAAAGAUAGGUUUUCGGGGCCCAAAGGUUGAACCGGUUGAAGAACUAGGCCAACAGGCUAAGGUAUUGGUCGAUCGGUUACCCUUGCCCGGUCGAGGUCCGAUUGAGGAGUGCUAAAAAAAUUCUCUCUCAUCCAAUAGUCUUCCCUUCCUAGUCGAGGUAUCCUCAUUCCCGAUUGACCUUCGAUCGAGGUCCGGUUAAAGCAACAGUAACCUACCAAAGUAUUAAAUGCUCCAACGGUUAGUGAACCGGUCGACCCCCAACUCAACCGAUUGAGGCAGCUUUUUGUUUUUCUUGGCUCCUGAGGUUAGACACCUAUAAAUUGAGAGCUUCACUUCAUUUAUGACAUAGAGAACACUUGCAUUUAAUUAUCUACCCACUUGUUCUUGCCUUAAAAGCUCUCAUUUCUUUCUUGGUGCAUUAAAUCUUCACUUGCAUAUCUUUUAGUGCACCCUUGUGAGUCAUCCUAGCUUUGAUUUGUAUUUGAGCCAUUAUUGAGCUAGGUUGACAGAAGAACAUCUUUGUAAAUUGAGUGUUAGAGCGUUCAAGUGAGUUGAAUCUUGAAGAGAUUGUGUAAGAGCCCAUUAGAGUCGGGAUCCAAGUGUAAAAGAGAUUAGAAGCUUGGUUGAAGCUUCAAGUUAGUGGAACUCUUGCUCGGUUAGGAGAUUGAGGAGAGUGGAUGUAGGCAAGGAAGUGUCAAACCACUAUAAAAUCUGAGUUUGAAUUCUCUAACUUUAUCUCUUUAUAUUUGCUUCUAUUGUGCUUGAAUUUGUUGUGUUGAAAAAGUUUUUAAAAAACCCAAUUCACCCUUCUCUUGGGUAUUUUUCUCAUUUAAGAUUAGCCUUUAUUUUCUCAAAUAUUAUAAAAAAAAUUAAAGUAAAUUACUUUUGAAAUUUUGUUAUUUUUUACAUUUACAAUUUAGAUUUUAAUACAAAGAAGACUAAUAGUACAUUUUAUUGAGGAUGAAAUAUUUUCGUCUCCAAUAUUGAGUUUUUACAACAAAAAAAUUUCUUCUCUAAUAAAUUUCUUUAUUCCUCCUUCUAAUGGUAUUAGGACAAUAAUUUUGUCCCUCGUUGUGAGGUUUUUCCUCUCCAAAACUAUUUAACAACAAAAUAAUUUUUAUUGCCCAUUAUUUACCUUUUGGGACAACAUUAAGUUUUCAUCUCCUAAUACAUUUUCUACCAUGAAAUAUUUUGUUAUUAAAAUUUAUGAUGUCGUCAAAAAUAAUUUGGCCUCAUUUCACACUCAAUUAAAAUUUUAGACACAAAUUUUUGUAACAAAAUCAAAUUUUGUUUCCCAAAAUCAUAUUUGGAGACAAAAUUAUAUUCAUGUCCAAAAAAAUUGUGCCAAAAGGUAGAAUUUCUUGUAGUGCCUUUACUUAUUAGAUGAACGAUAAAAAAAUUUCCUUUAUCAUUCUCUCUCUCUCUCUUUAACAUGUAAGCUAAAUAAAUAAAUAAAUAAAUAAACAAGAAUACAUUUCUUCAAAGAAUUUUACCUUAAAUUUUACUCUAUAGAGAAUAAAAAUUGUCAAUGGUAAAAUCAAUCUCAACAUUUAUCUCUUUGUUCUUCUCUUUUUUAUUUCUUCAUCUAUCUUUCUAGGGAUUUUCUAUCAUCUUCAGAUUCUUCAGACUUAUAUAUAUUUAAAACUAAAACUCCCCAAACUUGGUUUAAAAUUUGUAACUCCCCAAUCAUGGUUUAAAAUUGUAACUUUUUUAUUUUUUUAUUUUGUUUUUAAUAAUGUAUCCUUAUCUUUAUCCUUAUUAUUAUUAUUCUAUGAACUAAAUUAGGAAUUUUAGACUAUCCACUCUUUAAAUUAGGAAUAUUAUUUAAACCUAUUUUAACCUAACAAAAAUUUUAUAUCAAUUGGUACUAAUUUAUUCCUACAAUAAUUAAAUUUAAAUGUAAGAAUUUAUUCUUUUUUUCUUCAUACAUUAUUGAGUACUAAAUUAAUAUAUAUAUAUAUAUAUAUAUAAUUUUUUUUAUAUUGUACAUUGCAUAUUUUAUUUUUCCUAUUUUCCUUUAUUAUUCAUGUUUUAUUCACAUCAAAUAUCCAUUUUGCACUACAUUUUUUUAUUGAACAACUAAAAUAAUUUUUUUUUAUGUAUUUAUCUUUAUAUUUUUCUUGGAAACCUUACUUCUUAAAUCUAUAGAAUUUUUCAUCAAACUAAAUAUAGUUUUUUAUUUUAGAAUUAUAUUGUAUAUAAAUUUCUUUCAAAUAACAAUAAAAACUCUCAAACUCACAAAGACCUUGUUUUUGUCUAGGGUUAUAUUAGAGAAAACAUUCAUCAUACUACUAUUAAUUUUUUUUUCUUUUCUUACUUCCUAAACCUUUACUUAUUAGAUGAACGAUAAAAAUUUCUCCUUCUCGUUCUCUCUCUGUCUCUCUUCAACAUGUAAGUUAAAUAUAUAUAUAUAAAAGAAUACAUUUCUUCAAAGACUUACCUUAAAUUUUACUCUAUAGAAAAUAAAAAUAAUCAAUGGUAAAAUCAAUCUCAACAUUUAUCUUUUUGUUCUUCUCUUUUUUAUUUCUUCACCUAUCCCUCUAGGGGUUUUCUAUCAUCUCUAGAUUCUUUAGAUUUGUUAUAUAUAUAUAUAUUUAAAACCGAAACUCUCCUAACUUGGUUUAAAAUUUGUAACUCCCCAAUUGUGGUUUAAAAUUGUAGCUUUUUUUUAUUUUUUAUUUUGUUUUCAAUAAUGUAUCCUUAUCUUUAUCCUUAUUAUUAUUAUUAUUAUUAUUAUUAUUAUUAUUAUUAUUAUUAUUAUUAUUAUUAUUAUUAUUAUUCUAUGAACUAAAUUAGGAAUAUUAAACUAUCCCCUUUUUAAAAAAAAGUUUAGUCUUCUAAACUUAGCAUACUUGAAAUUAGAAAAAAAAAAUGUGAAAACUUUUCCCUCAUCUCAUCUUCAAGUCCCCAAAUCACCUCUCAUUUAGAGUUAUUACUCCAUUGAACUUUGACUAAUUUGAUUGUUACAAGAAGAAACAUCUUAUCCAUCAUGUCAACAAUCUGAAUUGGAACUUCCUCAUAAGAUAGAUUUUAUGCUAAAUGAAUCGGUUAAAGUUCCACAACAUGUGAAGGAUCAUAAACAUACUUUUUUAAUGCUGAUACGUGAAACACAUUAGGAACCUUUUCCAAACUUGGGGGUAAAGCCACCCUUUAUGCUAAGGUGCUAACUUUAUCCAAAAUUUCAAAUGGUCCCACAAACCUAGGACUAAGUUUUCUUUUCAAACAAAAUCUCAUAACCAACUUAAGAGGUGAUACUAUGAGAAACACAUGAUCACCAACCUAGAACUCUAAAUUUCACCUUCUAUUAUCAAUAUAGCUAUUUUGUAUACUCUGAGCUAUUUUUAAUCUUUCUCUUAUUAAAGCAAUUUUUUUAUAAGUUUCUUGAACUAAUUCUGGUUCCAAAAAUUUUAUCUCACCAACCUCAUCCCAAUAAACAAAGGACCUACACUUUCGACCAAACAAAGCUUCAAAAGGUGGCUUCCUACUUUGAAAACUAUUGUUGUAGGCAAACCCCACUAAGAGUAGAUGGUUGUCCCGAUUACCUCCAAAAUCUAAAAUACAUGCCCAAAUCAUAUCUUCCAAAAUUUGAAUUACCCUUUCUGAUUGUCCAUUGGAUUGAGGAUGAAAGGUUGUACUAAAAUUUAGCAGAGUUACCAUAGCUUUUUGCAACCUCUUCUAAAAUUGGGAAGUAAAACGGGCGUCUCAAUUUGAUACUAUAGAUAUUGGAAAUCCAUACAUCCUCACAAUCUCCUUAACAUACAACAAGGCUAAUUUGUCCAAGGACCAAGUAGUUUGAAUGGGUAAAAAGUGGGUUAAUUUAGUUAGUUUAUAAACAAUCACCCACACAACAUUACUUCCCACCACAAAUUUGGGAAAGCUAAAAACAAAAUCCAUUGUAAUGUGUUCCCACUUCUAAUUAGGAAUGAGAAGUGGUUUCAACAUACCUAAUAGACGUUGAUACUCGGUUUUGACCUACUAACAAGUCAAGAAUUGGGUAAUAUAUUAAGCGACACCACGCUUCAAACUAGGUCACCAGUAAAGUUAUCUCAAAUCCUGUUACAUUUUGGUCUCAUUGGGGUAGACUACAAACUUAGAGGAGUGAGCUUCCUUUAAAAGCUUUUUCAUGAGAUUUCCAACUUAGGUCACAUACAUACAAACAAAUUCUAAAUCUCAAUAUUCCAUCAUCUAGAAGUACAAAGUAAAACUUAGUUCCCCUUCCUAUAUAUAAUUUGAACGACCUGUAGAUCAUCUAUUUGUAAGGACUUGAUCAUCUCAAACAAAUUUAGUUGAACCUUAAGAUGAGCAAAUAAUACUCCAAACUAUAAAACUUCAAAUUAAACUAGUAGUCUAUUCAAUUCGAAUAACAUAUAUGGUUUUCUAACCCUCAAGGCUACUAAAGAACCAAAAGACUUCUUACUUAAAGCAUUUACUACUAUAUUCGCAUCACCAUAAUGAUAUAGAAUAAAGCGGUUAUAGUUCUUGAGGAGUUCAAGCCACUUUCUCUAUCUCAUAUUCAAUUCUUUUUUAGAAAACAAACACUUUAAUCUUUUAUAAUUAGUGUAGAUCUCACAUGUCUCACCAUACAAAUAGUGUCUCCAUAUCUUAAGAGCAAAAAUCACUAUUGCUAAUUCCAAAUCAUGAGUAGGAUAGUUUCACUCAUAAGGUUUCAAUUACCUAGAAGGAUAAUUGAUGACUUUCCCCUCCUGCAUGAGAACACAACCAAGCCCUUAAUGUGAAACAUCACUAUAAAUAACAUAACCCAUCGAACUUGAGGGGACUGUUAACAUUAGAGUAGUUACCAAUCUAUUCUUCAACCCUUGGAAGCUUUUCUCACAACCAUUAGACCACAAAAAUUUGACCCUCUUUUUAGUAAGCUUUGUUAAAGGUUCUUAGAGAUUCCCUUUGAAAUGUUUGUAAUAACCACCUAAACCUAGGGGACUCCUAACCUUAGUUACCGAGUUAGGCUUGCUCCAACUAAGUCUACCGAUAUUCCCUCCUUGGAGAUUACAUGGCUAAGAAAUAAAACUCUAUCCAACCAAAAUUCACAUUUCUUAAGCUUAAAAAAAAAAAAAAAAAAAGUUGAUCUAGGUUUAGGAAGUAAGAAAAAUAAUAAUAAUAAUAAUAAUAAAUAGUAGUACGAUGAAUUUUUUUCUCUAAUUUAACCCUAGACAAAAACAAAGUCUUCAUGAGUGUGAGAGUUUUUAUUAUUAUUUGAAAGAAAUUUAUAUAUAAUACAAUUCUAAAAUAAAAAAUCAGUAUUUAGUUUGAAGAAAAAUUCUAUAGAUUUAAGAAGUAAGGUUUCCAAGAAAAAUAUAAAGAUAAAUACAUUUAAAAAAAAUCAUUUUAGUUGUUCAAUGAUAUUCGAUGUGAAUAAAACAUGAAUAAUAAAGGAAAAUAGGAAAAAUAAAAUAUGUAAUGUACAAUAGAAAAAAAAACAUUAAUUAGGAUAAUUAUAUAUAUAUAUAUAUAUAUUAAUUUAGUACUCAAUAAUGUAUGAAGAAAUAAAGAAUAAAUUCUUACAUUUAAAUUUAAUUAUUAUAAGAAUAAAUUGGUACCAAGUGAUAUAAAAUUUCUAUUAGGUUAAAAUAGGUUUAUAUUAAUAAGAUUUAUUUUAUUUUUUUAGGUAAAUCCUAAGUUUAAUCAACUUCCUUGCCGAGUUCAACUUUUACUAGGUAAGGAAUUAUGACCCUUAAAUAUUUUCUAAAGUAUUAUUUUUCUAAAAGGGUAGGAAAAUAUUUUACUAUAUGAAGAAUAUUUUAUAUUGUGAAAAAUAUUACUAUUAUUAUAUAUUCUGAUAUCUGGCCCUAGUCAAUAGGGGUUGUGUUGUUGACCCUCAUUACUUAAUUGUAUAAGGAUUGGAAAACCUAGUCAAUGGGAUAGUCACUAACCCUCAUUACUUAAGUGUAUGAGGAUUGAAAAACCUAGUUAGUGGGAUAAUCACUAGUCUGAUGGUACCAUAUGAUUGGUUAGUCCCUUCUGAAUUGAAGGAUCAUCUGUUUCUAAAGAUCCCAUUAGUUUGGGAAAAUAAUUUUUUUUAUACCUAUAUGUUUGAAGAUUAUAUUAUGUUAUGUCACUUUCUUUUUUUACAUAUAAAAUAAAUCGUUAGUAUAUUCCUUAUUGAGCUAAAGCUUACUACUUUUGCUUUUCAAAACCCCUUUUAGGUUCCCCAAAUGUAGAUGGAAAUGAGUGACAUUGAAUAUAGGACGGGUUCUUGUUAGUUAAGUUUAUGGUAGGCCUUAAAGCCUUUGUUUAGACAUGAUGAUUUGGACCAUGUGUUAUGUUUUAAUUAUCAAGUUAAUUUGAACAAAAUUAGUAUUUCAUAAUUAUGUGAAUCAUGAAACUUCUAUCUUAGAAAAAUAAUUUUAACUCUAUGAACUCACUCUUAAGGGGAAUGUAUGAAUUUUGUUCUUUUUUAUUAUUUAAUCAUUUUUGCAUAUUUUGCCUUUAUGUUGGACAUCCAAAAUUUACAAGGUUAGCCCUAGCCUCAGGACAUAAGGUGUUACACUAUAUAUAUAUAUAAAAUGAUUUGAAAUAAUGUAAUUUAAAUAUGAUUUGAAAUAAUGUAAUUUAAAUAUGAUUUGAAAUAGAUUGCAAUAAUGUAAUUCAAAUAGGUCUAUUAUAAUAGUAAUUUAAUUUUUUUUUUCCUUUUUUUAAUCUUUGGAUCAUAACAUUUGAUAAACCUUUUGGUUUUGGCCAAAAUUUAACAUUUUAAAAAAUAAUUAUUGGUUUUUGUUAUUAAAUAGAAUUGAAAAAAAAUGGACAUCAUUGUUAUAAACUGAAUUGAAUGAUUUCUUUCAAUUAAUUCAACUUUUAAUAGAUGAGAAUUCAUUACAUGGAUUCAAUCGUAUACACCCUAAAGUUGACAGCAAAUUUAUGGGAAGGAUAAAAGGAAUGAAGACUUAUAAUUUUAUAUUUUGAUAUAGCAUUCGACACAAGAAAAGUAUUCAAGAACAAAAGUGUUUGUUUUUUCAACUUGCUUUCAAACCUUAAGUAGUUUGUUUUUUUACUUUUUCUUGAUUUAUUACUUAUUUUUUUUAAAAAUUGAUUAAAUAGAAAAAAAUAAAAUAUUUGAUUUUUUUUAAUACUAAAAAUAGUUAAACGUAAUAUCAUAAUUACAGGGAACCUGUUGAAUUUUAUUUUAUUUUUUUUGUUACUUUUUAACACUUAAUAGAAAUACAAUAUUAAAAAAUAAACUAGCUUAAUACUUAAGGCUAUCAAGCAAUAUUUAGUUUUAAAUUCCAUUUAGAAUUAAGUGAAAGAAAACAAAUACUGCCUAUGUUUUAAGUAUAGCAUGUGUUUUAAAAAAAUUUCAAACUCAUCCCUAACCUAUUUAUUUAAAUUCUAAUCCCGCCUUCAUCUCUACUAGUACAUAUUAAAAUGUGGGUUCCACACAAAUAAAUUAACGUGGUGGCCGUGUUGGAGACAUGCUUAGAAUAUGAUACAAUGGGAGUAUGAGAAUAUAUACAAAACAUAGAAGCAUAUAAAACAUAUAAAUAAAUGUAUGAAAUCAUAAGAAAUUGGGUGCAGCAUAUAAAAACAUAUUGCUUUAAGAAUUCUGGUGUGCUGAAAAUAAAGUUUGGUGGGCUAUGACUGCAAUCCUUAGGAUCGUAAGAUAUCAUGCUUAUGCUUUUGUGUGUGUUAAUAUAAUGGCUAGUGACAUCUAAAAACCAAAGCACAAUGUUUCAUGUGCUGAGCAUGCAUUGUGCCUUUGUGAUAACAGGUACUUUGAUUACAAGAUUAUAGGAUUUCUAAUCUCAGUGCUUGCAACUUGGGGUGCAAUAUGUGCCUACUAGAAGGGAAGAAGAAGAAUCACUUUUGCUAGAAGGCAUAGAAAAGCAAGGACCUUAUUUAACUUUGUACGGUACAAUGCCUAUCAUAGAGUUGCCCUGCGAUAUCAUCAGAAUUCAACCUUUUUUCCUUUUCUAUGUACAAACCUUUCCAUCUUCAAAGAUUUCCUCUAUAGAUCACAUCCACACAUUUUCAUUCCACACAUUCUCAUUCAGUUUUUUAUGCCCAAAUUUGUAUGUUCUGCUGGGAUUGCAGUUGAAGUUAUUGUCACCCCCAAAGCCAUACUUGGUGCGGUACCCUGUGUAGUCCCUAAAAUUAAAGGGCACUUCUUCUAUAAGUCGAAGCCCAACUCUUGAGGCUAGAAAUUUCAAAUUCCACUCACGAAAGAAGCCAUUGCUUUUGUGAGUAAUGUGGAUUUCUCCAUCUAUGUGAAUCAACUUCUUAGCAUUUUCUAAAAACAGCUGUACCAGCAGUUGAUUUCGCCUGCAAGAAGAAACAAUGAUAUAGAAGGAAAAUUUUCAUGUAAGAAUUGGGAAUACAGGCUAUACAUAAAUUCAAUUCAUAGGAGCUUUUCAAAGAAAGAAUCUACCAACCAGAUCACAGGGAAAAAAUCCAGCGAAUGGGAAGUUGUAAACAACUCGAUCAAAACUCAUGCAUUUGAAUGGGAAAACGUUUGCCAUUUUGGUGGCAUCAACAUCAUGCAUGACCUUAGCUCCCAAGCUCCGUAGUGUAUCGAUGUUGGACAAGGCAUGCCUAUAGUUUGUGCUCAAAAACUCAGAAAAUUGCAGUUGAUAGUCGUCAAUUAAGGCCAUAAGACAAACCCCAAAUGGGUGCUGGGGCACAUGCUAAUCAAGGUUUACUCGGGACUAGAAUGAGAAAAUACCCAAAUCAAUCAAAAUCAUGACAUUCAUGAGAAACACUCAAAGAAGAUUACCAACUUAUGAUUCAGGAUUUCUUAUUUGUUACCUAUAGAAUCAUGAGAAGUAGCGGUUAUGUUUGUAGCAGAAGCAAAAGCCACAGCCAAAGACGCAGAGAAUGAGAAGUCCCCUUCACCCAGCAGCAAUAUUUUGUACUCACUGCUGUAGUGCUUUAUCCAUCUUACUCCAAGCUUUCCUUCCUCUACGUCUUCUUCACAGCUGCUGUAGUCCCACCAAUUUUUUCCUACCGCUCCUCUGGUUCGUUCUUCGUUUUCUUCAAUUAUGUCGUAAUGGUGGAGCCGUGCAGAAACUUGCUUCUCAUCACCUACAACUUGGACUUUAAAUUUUGCAGGAAUUAACAGAUCCAAUGCAUCAUCAGACCUGGAAUUGCUGCGUGAGUCCAAGCUCAGUGGAAAACCCAGAGAGUUUCGCUGCGAUGCACCAUUGAUGCCUGAGUUGCUGCUUGGGACAGAGCUCAGUGGAAGAGUCACUGGAUUUGGCUGGAAAUGGGAUGCACCACUCACGCUAGAGUGGCUGCAGGAGCUAGAGAGUAGUGAAGAAUGAGUCUGUAUCUUUGGCUGAGCAUGAGAAGUACCACUUGGCCUGGAUAGGCCACACGAGUUGGAGCUGAGUGGCUGAGGAGUCUGCACUGGUUUUGGGUAAAAAUAGGUUGUGCUGGAUUGGCUGCAUGAGCUAGAACUUAGCUGUUGGUGAGUCUCUAGUUUUGGUUGGACAGGGGAUGAUACAGUCGUGCUGGAGAGGCCACAUGAGCUCAAGUUGAGUGGCUGAUGAGUGUGCACUAGUUUUGGGUAAAAAUGGGUUGUGCUGGAUUGGCUGCAUGAGCUAGAACUCAGUUGUUGGUGAAUCUCUAGUUUUGGCUGGAGAGGCCACAUGAGCUCAAGUUGAGUGGCUGAUGAGUCUGCACUAGUUUUGGGUAAAAAUGGGUUGUGCUGGAUUGGCUGCAUGAGCUAGAACUCAGUUGUUGGGGAGUCUCUAGUUUUGGCUGGACAGGGGAUGAUACAGUCGUGCUGGAGAGGCCACAUGAGCUCAAGUUGAGUGGCUGAUGAGUCUGCACUAGUUUUGGGUAAAAAUGGUUUGUGCUGGAUUGGCUUCAUGAGCUAGAACUCAGUUGUUGGGGAGUCUCUAGUUUUGGCUGGACAGGGGAUGAUACAGUCGCGAUAGAGAAGCCACAUGAGCUCGAGUUUAGUUGAUGAUGAGUCUGUAGUGUUGGCUGAAGACGUGAUGCACUACUUGUUUUGGAGUGGCUGAAUGGGCUGGAGCUAGAGUUAGAGCUAGAGCUCACUGGAGGCGGAGGAUGAGUCCGUAGAUUUGUCUGCAAUGCGUAGUCCCUACAUGAUUCUAAGCUCGGUGGAGAAGUAAAUGGAUUCGGUGGCAACGCAGGCCUUGAGCUUGAAGAAUUGGUGUCUGAGGCAAAUCUCGGCGGAGAAAUCAGGGGUAGUUUUUCACUUGGCUUCUUUUUAUCAUCUUUUUCACCCCACAACCAGCGAAUAAUAACGGAGAGGAUUUGACCCAUUGAAUCACCCGUCCCCCCCUUCUUUUUCUUCUUCCUUCAUCAAGGAGCCUGUAAACAUAGAAAUGUCCCUUGUCAUGAAAACCAUGCGGGCGUGCACUGCAAUGUCAAUGGACUUGACACAGGUCCCACCAACAUUGCAUUAAAUUUUCCUUCUCGGACAAGUAAGAUAAGGAAUGCCUCUGCCACACACUGUUGAGAAAUAUAAGAAGAUAUUACCCACAAAGCCUAUCAUGUUAACAUUCAAGUCAUCCCACAUCGGAAUAAGAGAGAGGCUUUUCGGUCUCACCCCAUAGGGGUUCCCUCAUAAAAAGGGCUUUACAUAUCAGACCGAGACAUUAAUAGUGGGAUUCUUUUUCUUUUCAAAUCAAUAUGACUCAAAUGCAACAUUCAUUGUAUUCGGGAUUCAAAUUGUGCUGGGUUGUGCUGGAUUGGCUGCAUGAGCUAGAACUCAUUUGUUGGUGAGUCUCUAGUUUUGGCUGGACAGGGGAUGAUACAGUCGCGAUAGAGAGGCCACAUGAGCUCGAGUUGAGUUGAUUAUGAGUCUGUAGUGUUGGCUGAAGACGUGAUGCACCACUUGUUUUGGAGUGGGUGAAUGGGUUAGAGCUAGAGCUAGAGUUAGAGCUAGAGCUCAGUGGAGGCGUAGGAUGAGUCCGUAGAUUUGUCUGCAAUGUGUAGUCCCUACAUGAUCCUAAACUCGGUGGAGAAGUAAUUGGAUUUGGUUGCAACGCAGGCCUUGAGAUUGAAGAGUUGGUGUCUGAGCCCAAUCUCGGUGGAGAAAUCAGGGGUAGUUUUUCACUUGGCUUCUUUUUAUUAUCUUUUUCACCCCACAACCAGCGAAUAAUAAUGGAGAGAAUUUGAUCCAUUGAAUCACCCGUCCCCCUUAUUUUUCUUCUUUUUCUUCUUCUUCUUCAUCUAGGAGCCUGUAAACAUAGAAAUGUCCCUUGUCAUGAAAACCAUGCGGGCGUGCACUGCAAUGUCAAUGGACUUGACACAGGUCCCACCAACAUUGCAUUAAAUUUUCCUUCUCGGACAAGUAAGAUAAGGAAUGCCUCUGCCACAUACUGUUGAGAAAUAUAAGAAGAUAUUACCCACAAAGCCUAUCAUGUUAACAUUCAAGUCAUCCCACAUCCUAAUAAGAGAGAGGCUUUUCGGUCUCACCCCAUAGGGGUUCCCUCAUAAAAAGGGCUUUACCAACUAUUUUUCUUUUUAUUAUUAUAUUUUAAAAGUAUCGCUGCAGUAUCAUUUCAUAACAUAUUAAAUCAGGUGUCAUUUCAUAUCAAAUCAUUGUAGCCUGCUUGACUACUCCAAUUCCCAAGCCUUUCUCCUCCUUUUUGAAUGUUGAUUCCAUCAAUGUCUAGUUUCUAGUGAUGUAGGGUUGUGUGAGUCUUUCUCUGCCAUAUCAGACCGAGACAUUAAUAGUGGGAUUCUUUUUUUCUUUUCAAAUCAAUAUGACUCAAAUGCAACAUUCAUUGUAUUCGGGAUUCAAAUUGUCAACAAAUGAACCAAAAAUCAUCUUCACAGCCAAAUCUACAACUACUAAACAUCUUUUCCCUGUAAAACUAGUAAAAUUUUCAUCCAGACAUGUUGAUUAACUAUAGAAGAACAUGCUUCUGCAUUCAUCCCCAUCUAAGUUCAGCAUUUUAGCAGAAACUCAAUAUGAAAAAACAGAAUGACAGAAAGGGUAAAAGGGCGCCAAUAUCAAUACCAUGAAUGCAGAUGAGCUUGUGGAUGAUGAGAGCUUUGUUGAGACCAGAGAUCAAAGCUCCCAAAUCAGAGUUUUCCCACAAAGAUCGGACGAGAUCAAACACUAGUGAUGCUUGGCUUGCAGGAGAUCCAUCAGUGUUGGGUGUGAGAGAUGAGAGUUGUGCUGAGAGUGAAGGGGGAGCAAUAUCAGAAGGUAAAGAAGUUUCCCAUGAUUCGUACGUCCAAAGACUUGGUUGGACUUGGCCAUUUUUACGCUACGUGGAGGCACUCUAUUCAGAUUAAUAAAGUGAUAAAAGAAAAAAAUUAGGAAAGAAGUCCAUUGCAUCAAAGAAUUUGAUACCCAAAGUCAUGGAAGUAAUUAAAACAGAUUGAUGAUGAUGAUGGUUGUACCAAACAGCAUUUGAUACCCAACCCACCAAUCAUAAAAUUCAGUGACAUGGGAGUGUAUAAAGCAAAAUAAGAUAUACUAAAGUUAUUUUAAAAUACUUUAUAUUUCCAAAUAAUCUUUUAUUUGGGGAAAUGAAAACAAAGUUGAAGAUUUAUUCUAAAACAAUUUAUUCAUUUUAAGAUUUUUUUUUAAAAUUUUCUUUCACUUGGUAAAUAUUUCAUAAUUUUAAAAAUUAUUAUAUUAUUUAAUUUAUAUUAUUUUAAUACUUAUCAUUAUAAAAAUAAGUAUGCACUUAAAUAUUUAUAAAAAUAAACAUUAUAUAUUUUUUGUAAAAAUUUUCGUAAAGCUUACAAUUGGUCUAGUAGUAGCAAUCUCUUUUUUUUAUUGCUACCUUUUAGGUUUGAUUUCUCAUACUCCUCUUUUCUACAUAUACCUAUCCCACAUUGAAAACUUAUACAAGCAUUUCCUCCCAUAAAUUACAUAUAAUGUGACCCAUCAAAAUAAUUUUGCCAAAGGACACAUAGAGAUGCAUUGGUUAGAGCUCUUAGCCAGAUUAGAGUUGAUACUGCUACCACCCUAGAGGGGCUGAUUCACUUUCUGACAGCUGAUAAGGCUACGUGCAUUGUGUUUUCCGACGAUAACUUGCCACUAGAAGGGUCGAGACACAUUCACCCUUUGUAUAUCAGUGUUGCAUGUUCAGGCCAUCGAGUGCCGACAAUCCUGCUAGACAACGACUCUGCCUUAAACGUUUGUCCUUUGGCUACAACUAUUGCUCUUGGCUUUUCUUCAUCUGAUUUUGGGUCAUUUACACAAACCAUCAGAGCUUAUGAUGGGACUCAGAGGACAGUUAUGGGUACUCUCACUACACACGUUAUGAUUGGGUCAGUUAGAUACUCAGUACUCUUCCAGGUUCUAAGGAUUCGGUCAUCAUUUAACCUACUUCUUGGUCGUCCUUGGAUUCAUAAGGCUGGUGCCAUAUCAUCUUCCAUUCAUCAAAAGGUGAAGUUCAUACAUGAGGGUCGCAUUAUCACAAUACAGUUUGACCGGGAUGUUGUCACUUCUUCUGAGCCAGUAUUACAGAUUAGUCACAGUGAGGAUGACUUGCAUUUGACCGGGUUUUCUUUUGAUGAGGUAUAGGUUGUUAGUUUAGAGGAUGACAGCAGAGAUAUGAUGUCUAUGUCAUUCGACUAGUAUAGUAGCACUAUGGUGCUUAGCAUGAUGAGAGGCAUGUUUUACCUGCCCGACUUGGGAUUGGGUCGCUGCCAGUAGGGCCCACACGAGUUUACUUUCACUAUUGAUCAUGACAUACCUUAUGGGUUAGGUUACACUCCUAUGGAGAAGGAUGCACGUUACAUGGCGCGACUGUGCAAGGACAGAGUAAGGGCCCGCUUAUCUGGGGUUCCAUUUUAUUACCCCCUUCGCCCGUACACCUUUCAGUUGACUGAUUACUUUGUCAGAGGUUCAGAUCAUGCACCCCACGUGGAGGGGAUCGUUUGUAUUUUAGAGGUUGUUAAGGUUCAGGACCUCCAAUGGACCUUAGGGUAGAGGCAUUUGGGUGUCGGGAUCCCUGAGACACCUGAUGUUAUGAUAGUUGUACCCCUGUCGCCCGACCGAGCCAACAUGUUCUCUAUAUGCUUCCCGAAGGCAGUUUUUUUAUUAUGAUAUACUUAUGGAUACUGUGAUUGAUGCUGAUGGAGUGACUCUACCUGAUGCUUGUACCGAUGAGAUGGACAUGAUAAGGGUAGGCCGUAUUCUCGAUGCAGUCCCACAUGGUCCCCACUUUAAUUUCGAUUUGUUCGGAGUUUCUGUGAUUGACACUAAUGAUGUCACUCUUUAUGAUUCUUUCACAGACGAGAUGGAUAUGAUUGGUACUAGUCGUAUUCUGAAUGCAGCCCCGCAUGGGCCUCGUUCUGCUUUGGAUAUGUUUGGGGCUUUUAUGCUUGAGAUAGAUGAUGAUGACUUUGUUACUGUUGUUACUCCUGAUGUUAUCACUGUUGAGGGAGCAUCCGAUUCUGUAGACCCACCUCUUUCUUUUGACACUAUGUCCGAGUUUGUCACCCGCUUUGAUGAUGUGGCUGGUGGAAAUAAUAAUGAUAUGAGUGUUUUUGAGUAUUCACCUGUGUCACUACAUUUUCCUUUGAUUGUACCACCGACACCCACAACAUAUAUACAUGAUGUUGAUGAUGUGAGAGGCCCAGAUGGCCUAUUGAGUGAUCAGUCGGAUUUUGAUUCAGAUUCAAAGGAAAGAAAAGAAACACCAGUUUUAGGUAGCACUGAGUUGGUAGAUUUCAGGACCCUUGAUCAACCCAAGGAGCUGAAGAUUAGCACCUUCUUAUCUCCUGACGAGAGAAGUAUACUGAUUGACCUACUUAGGUCAUACUUGGAUGUAUUUGCAUGGUCAUAUGAGGACAUGUUAGGCGUUGAUCCCUCUAUAGUCUAGCAUCGCUUGCCCAUCCUGCCAUAUGCUAGACCAAUUAAGUAUAAAUUAAGGAGAUUACACCCUCGAUAGAGUUUGCAGGUUAAGAAAGAGAUUCAUAAACAACUUAAUGCUGGUUUCCUGUCAGUGGUCGAAUAUCCUGAGUGGCUGGCUAAUGUCGUCCCUGUUCCUAAAAAGGACAGCAAGGUUAGGGUUUGUGUCGAUUAUAGGGAUCUUAACAAGGCCAGUCCUAAGGAUGAUUUUUCCCUUCCACACAUUGAUAUGUUGGUUGAUAGCACUGUAGGGCAUUCUAUGUUAUCAUUUAUGGAUGGGUUUUGUAGGUAUAAUCAGAUUUUGAUGGCUCUAGCGGAUAUCGAGAAGACUUCUUUCAUCACUGAGUGGGGUACUUACUGCUAUCGGGUUGAAGAAUGCGGGAUCCACUUAUCAGAGAGUUGCUACUACUUUAUUCCAUGACAUGAUGAACAGAGACAUCGAGGUAUAUGUGGAUGACAUGAUAGUGAAGUCCUGAGACAGGGCAGAUCACUUAGCAGCACUACAGAGAUUCUUUGAGAAGAUCCGACAGUUCAGGCUGAGAUUGAAUCCCAAGAAGUGUACUUUUGGGGUGACUUUUGGGAAAUUGGUAGGACACAUCGUCAGUGAGCAUGGUAUAUAGGUUGAUCCCGAAAAGAUCAAAGUCAUACUUGACAUGCCUACUCCGAGGACUGAGAGAGAGAUUAGAGGCUUUCUUGGCAGACUAUAGUAUAUCAGUCGUUUCAUUGCUAGAUUGACAAACAUAUGCGAGCCUAUCUUUCGUCUUCUGAGGAAGAACCAACCUACAGUUUGGAAUGAUGAUUGCCAGCGUGCUUUCGAGAAGAUUAAGGAGUGUCUCCUUUCUCCUCCAGUUUUAGUGCCUCUCACACCGGGGCGGUCUCUGCUUCUGUACUUGUCAAUUCCAGACAUGGCUUUGGAAUGCAUGUUAGCUCAGCUCGAUGAUUCAGGGAAGGAGCAAACCAUUUAUCAUUUGAGUAAGAGAAUGUUGGAGUAUGAGUGCAGAUACAUUAUGAUUAAGCGCCUUUGUUUAUCAUUGGUUUGGGCUACUAGGAGGCUGAGGCACUAUGUGACAGAGUAUUCCAUAUUAUUGGUCUUGCGAUUGGAUCCAUUGAGAUAUUUGUUUGAUAGGCAUGUCUUGACUAGUAGGCUCAUGAGAUGGUUGGUGUUGUUGACAGAGUUUGAUAUUCAAUAUGUUACACAGAAGUCAGUAAAAUGGAGCAUUGUUGCAGAUCAUUUGGCUUCUUUGCCCGUAUAUGAUGACAGACUGAUUGACGAUGAUUUCCCUGAUGAGCAGUUUGUCUCAGUGACCAGUAUUGCAGGAUGGCGAUUGUACUUUGAUGGUGCCGCAAAAUAGUCAGGGUUUGGUAUCGGUAUCCUAUUGAUAUCACCUUAGGGUGAUCAUAUUCCCAGAUCAGUCCAGUUGGCAUUCUCUGAUCAUCAUCGAUUGACGAAUAAUGUUGUUGAGUAUAAGACAUGCAUUACAGGUCUAGAGAUUGCGCUCGAUCUUGGAGUUAGACAGUUGGAAAUCCACGGGGAUUCUAACUUGGUUAUUCAGUAGACUUAGGGUAUCUAGAGGACUUGGGAUGAGAAGUUGAAGCCCUAUCAUGCUUAUUUGGAUUUGUUGGUUGAUAGGUUUGAGGAGUUGAGAUAUAUACAUCUGCCCCGGGCAGAAAAUCAGUUUGCUGAUGCGUUAGUUGCCUGGGCUUCUGUGAUUGAGAUUCCUGCGGGAGUGACUGUGCGACCAUUGCUGAUUGAGACUAGGUCUGCACCAGCUUACUAUUGUUUAAUUGGGGAUAUUGAGGACUAGGAUGAGCUACCCUGGUGUAGACCCUCAAUUUUGUCCUUUUAGCACAUGUCUUUAAAUUCACUUCCAGUGCUCCACGGUAGUUCCUUGGUGGCCCAUUACUACCCGUACGACUUACCAUUUUCUGAGUCACCUCGGAGACUUUGGUUGAUGGAUUAUUUGAUCCCUUAUUAUGACCCUUGGCAGUCUUGAUUUAGAUUUAGGCUUUUCUUAUUUUUUUAGGAUAGCUUUUAGAUACACUUGGCCCUUUAGGCACCACCUUAGGCCCACUUAGUCUCACCUUAGGCCCGUUUAGGUAUACUGGGUCUAUUAAGAUUUUUUUUAGCGUGACUUAUAUAACUUGCGUUUUUGCAUGGCUCAUAGGGCCCAUUUUUUGUUAAUUUGUUUAUUUUUAUUUUAUUUUAUUUUAUUUUCCUCUUUAUAUUAUUUUCCUUUAACUUAUUUAUUUAGUUAUUAUUUUUUACCAUUUUCUAAUUUAUUUACUUAUUUAUCUAUUCGUGCAAUUAUUUAACUUCUAAAAUUUCAUGUUUUUGCAAGGAAACUUACCAUUGGAGUUUAAGGAAAGUGGGACUCUCCUUGGAAGGUUUUGGAGGAGAAUUUGAAGUUGGGAAGAUUGCUUUGGAAUUGGAAGAUUUAAAAAAGGAUAAGGAGAAAAGAAGAGAGAAUAUAGGAGAUUUGACCUUUUUUUUUUAGGGAGAUUUAGGUUUUAGGGAAAGGCGUAUAUAUACAUGAGAAAGGAAGGAAAAAAGGGAGAAGAGGGAGCUUUUUUUGAUUGAGGGAGGAGAUUUUUUUUUUUUGAGCAGCAGGCAUUGGAGGAUUGGAGAAGUUUUGAGAGGAAGAAGGAGAGGGAAAAGAAGCAAUUGCAACCAAGGCUGUCCAGGUAUGCACCUCGUUGCUUUUGGAAUUCUUACCUAUAUUUGAUUUUUCCGCGUGUUCGAUUCCUGAAUAUUUAAUUGUUUUGUUGAUUUUGUGUGGACGAAAAGGGCCACAAUUUGUUUUGUUGAGAUUGGUUACUUGCUUGUUUGCCCUGUUUUGAUUUUGGAUGUCAUUAAUCUCUUCGGAAGCAUAUAACUCCAUGCCUGUUCCCACUAACCUGAGCCAGCCUAUUGAAAAAUCAUGAGAUGUGGUUUUAUUUUUUUUAAUCUCCCAUGUCUGUUCUCCCAUCGUUUCCUCUACUCUCUACUAUAUCUGUUUUGUCCUUCCUACCCAUCACAUGGCCAUCAACUCUUCAUAUGGGGGUGACUCCAAAGUUUGGGUAUGCAAUCACAAGAUUCAGCAAAGAGAUCAGCUCCUUCAAAAUUCUGGCUAGACAUGCCAUAUUGUGGGUUCAUAUAAGAGAAAGCCCAUGAUAGUUGCCGUUCUUUUCUUGUGAAUGGUUCUGUUCUAUUGUAAAAAAACUGCAGUCACAAUACAAGACCCAGAGGAGAUUCUUUCAAAUAGUCAUGUCCAAGUGGCUUAUCAGCCGUCUAUGCACUUGCUAAGGUUUGUGGCAGUCACGUAAAUUUGUGGAUUCAUAUGGAGAUCAGAGAUAUGGCUUCUCGGAAUUCCGCCAGUUCAGGGUAUAUACAUUGAGGGCAAAUUGAGGAGCACGGGAGUUGUUUGAAGAAAUACCAAUGAGAAGAAAUUUGGUUGAAAGAAAUUGAAAGCAGACGUUUUGAAUGAAGACACAGAUAUGAUUUUCAGUGGGAUGAGUUCAUGGAUGGAUUUGAUAGCAAACUUGGCUACAAUAGUGGUACUUCUCAGAUUUGUGAGACAACAUCUAUAGCAGCAUUGCUUUCAUGAGGACAGGCUGUAACUCCAAUGCAAUUAGUGGCACGUGUGCCUGCUCCUUUAUUUUACUGGCCAUUAAUUCAACUUGCUAGUGCAACUACUGAUGACAUUGUCCUGGGUAUUACCGUUGGAAGCGAAAGAAGAGGAAACCUACCUGGCGCCGCAUCAGACAUCCGGGCUAGCCUUCUUUUACUCUUAAUAGAAUUUAUCGAGAAGAGGAAUUUCUCUACAACCAGUUCUGGGAUAGGGAGAGCUUUGUUGAUGGUCCUAUUCGGUGUCUCCUUUGCAACUUGUAAGGUGAAUUCCCGAUCAGGACUGAGGAACUUGUUAACUUUUUAUCAACUCUUUGUGAAGGAAUUUGGCCAGCAGGAUGUGUGUAUAAUUUCCUCGAUAAAUCUGUUGGCAUAUCAUCCUUGUUAGAGAUUACUAGUGAUUCCUUGGUGGAUAAUUUUUCUCAGAUUAUUGAAACACGGGUGCCAUUGUAUGUUCUUGGGGUUGAAGGAUUAAUUAUUCAUAGUCAAACACAUGGUCAUGUUUUGAAAGUGAUUGAUGGCAGUACUGCUCUAGUAUGGUGGGAAUACACACAAUCUGGGGUGUUGGUGUUGUUUCUGCGUUUAGCCCAGAGGUUAUAUUUAGAUUGCAAUGAAGAAGUCCUUGUUACCAUGGAUCUGCUCUGUUGACUGGUACAGUUCUUCAAUGACGGCCAUAGGUGUCAGUAUUAAAAAAAAAAACGUGUUAAAAUGUUCUCCAUCUCAUGCUAUAGCCGUGGCUCUGAAGGCAAACAUAUCUAAUUUGGCUUCUAAGACAAGUACAUUUGAAACUCUCUUUACUGGCUCAACAAGUGGAUCAUGGUUGCUUUAUGGGAAACUUGCAAAAAAAUGUUCUCAAUUGACUGUGAGCAAAAUAACAGUUGCUGCCAGAUGACAAUUUCAGUGCUGGAUUUUACCAAACAGCUUGUAGAAAUUGGAGAGAAAAUUCAGCUACAACAACUUCAAGAACCGUUCAACACAUGGCUUUAAGAUGGUGAAGAGAGCAUCUUCUAGAGAAGGCACUGGUGACAAUUACUUGUACUGUCCAGCUUCACAUGACUUUUUAAAAGAGGAGGAAAGGCUUUGUUCCUGACCCCGGUUCUUCUAGCCUAAUGAGGCCUGAGAUCCACGACGAAUCUCUGAUUCCAAAUGCCAACGACCGGUCCUGAAGUGCCUUCAAACCAGGGGUAAUUCAUGUCUUAGUAACAGGAAGUGCUGGCUAUAUCGGUUCACAUGCUGCACUACGACUUCUCAAGGACUCAUACUGUGUAACUAUAGUGGAUAACUUCUCGAGGAGAAUAUUAAGUGCCAUUAAGGUUUCACAAGAACAAUUUCCUGAACCUGGGAGGCUUCAAUUUAUUUAUGUUGACCUGGAAGAUGUAAAAAUUGUAAACAUGAUAUUUUCAGAAAAUGCAUUUGAUGCUAUAAUGUAUUUUGCAGUUGUUGCUUAUAUUGGAGAAAACACCCUUGAACCUCUCAGGUAUUAUUACAAUGUUACAUCAAAUACGUUGGCAGUAUUGGAAGGUGAUGACAGCCCGUGGUAUAAAUACAUUAAUAUAUUCUAGCACAUGUGCAACAUAUGGAGAAGCUAUGAAUUUUAACCUGAACAAUUUUAGUACAGCAGUUAGAUUCUGUGGAAGGGCCUGGCAGUGAAUCUUUGCAAGUGUCAUUUGAUCAAAAAUCACGCACAAGUAAUUCUGAAGCCUCAGUUCACAAGGAGUUACAGUGGAUAUCAAUAACUGAAUUCAAAUAACCUCACGUUUAGGCACCAGAAUCUGCAUACAAGGGCAAAAGCUGAGACACCCUCAACUUCUAGGUUGGGAGAAGUGGUGAAAUCAUUUGUGAAGUAUCUGAAUUUGAGUGUGGGUAUAGUCACUGGUAGGUCUGAUUUGGUUGAACAUGGUGGAAGGCCAAGGUUGGAUGAUAAUUGCAGGGAUGAUGAUCAGCAUGGUUCAGUUAGAUCGAUUGGUGUAGGGAUCAGCAGUGAUGCUGCUGAUAUUGGCAGUGAAGUACCAGAAAAUUUGGUUGGAGGUAGUUGUGAAGAGGAUUUGGAGUAUUUUCAUGAUUAUGAUAUUGGAUUAAGACAUUCUCAACAGGAAUCUGAUAAGAAAUAUAAUGAUAGAUCAAAGAGGGUUAAAAAGAGAACAAGUACCUAUGAUUCUAAUGAGAAAUGAUAAGGGUGUGUGUACCCAGGUGAAAAAUCACCCAGAUAGAGAAUUUUCAUUCCCCCUCUUUUGAGAAAUGGGCAGUUGGUACAAGCAAGCUCUAGUAAAUCUUUAUGGUCAAAUAAUUGCAAUGCUUCUGCCAGUGAUGAAACUGAGGAUUGCUUGAAUGCUUUGAUGAGGAAUUUUGACAUGCUUGCUUCAUGGAGGCGGAAAAGCAAUGAUUCUUCACCUGUCAAGAGUUCUAAAUAUGAAAAUAAUGCUAAUGUUGUUAGAUCAGAGAACUCUUCUCCCUCAACUCUUUCUUAUCAUGGUUACAGUGAGCUAAAGUAUUACGUGAAUUUGGAAGAAAAGUGGAAAAGAUGGAAAAAUUGGGCCAACAAGAUUUGCUCUCAGGAAUGCGUGAAGCAGUAUCCAAUGAGAACCUUAGAGCAAUAGAUUCUAAUAUGCAGGCAGAAAAACUGAACUCAGAAGAUGCAGCCAGUUUUAGGUGUUAGCGGAUAAAUUUUCAAACCUAAACUGGAUCAAGAGCCGAAUCUGUGGAAUUUAGUUGUUGUUGAUGUGAUGCACAAGGCUAACUAUGCAAGCUGAAUUUGUCACUUAUGCUGACCUAAUUGUGAAGCCAAAGUUACUGCCGUGGAAGGUCAGUAUCAGAUUGGAAUCUACACUGUACGUCAAAUUCAAUAUGGCAAGGAGAUCACCUUUGAUUAUAAUUCAGUCACAAGAGAAUAAGGAAGAGUACGAGGUUUCUGUUUGUUUGUGUGGCAGCCAAGUUUGUCAAAUGUGUUAUUUGAAUCUAACAGGUGGAGUGGCAUUUCAAAAGAUAUUGAAAGGGUGUCAUGGAAUUCAGGAUCGGUAUCAAUUGAUGUUUGAAGCUCGUGAAUUAAAUAUGGUAUCUGAAGAAGUCUACAUAGACUUGGGAAGAACUGGAAGGGAAAGAAUUAAGUGCUGAGGCCUCCUCUUCUGGAACAAUAUUUGGGUCAUUUGUACACCUCAUAUGGUUAAAUGCACAUAUGCUUCUUAGUGUUUUUCAUUGUGAGCAGCCACAAGGGAGCGGUCAAGCUACCAUUGUCGCACCAACAGUAGAAGAGCAUUUCCUAUCUCAAUAACGCAGUAUUACUCCAGCAAACACUCAUGCUGAAAGGCAAAUCCGGGGCGCAAGACUUCAGCAUAAUCGACAAUUAGAUGCUCCCCUGUCCAAUGAAGAUAAACCAAUGGAAGAAAUGAAAUCCACUAUCUAUCAAAAAGACCUGUCCCAAAUCCGUCCAACAGAAGCUGGAUUGGUUGAAACUCGAAUCAUCACACUUUUCUCCUCUGUUGUGGCUCUCAAGAGGUCUUUAUUUGACACCGGAAGCGAUACCACUUCCGAAUCUGUAGUUGAGCUCUCUGCUGAGAGAGAAGUGAUUUCUUUUGGUUCGAUUGCACACCUUGAAAGUUACUGUUUCAGCUAGAAAUGCUAGUUCUUGAACUGCCAAGCGCGAAUAUUGAAACCUACUAGAUUUCAAGAAGCUAGAAGCGCUUAUCUAAUAACUUUUGGGAAGAGCAAGCACUUAUAAGAAUCUGAACUCCUCCUGGAGGCACUUCUCAGGACAAGAAGCUGCCCCAUUUCCAGCUAUAUUCAUUAGAAGAAAUCAUUUUGAUGAAUGUGGAAUUAUUUAUUGUCCUUCAAGACUGGACUAUGAAGAAGUUGCUGAAAGGUUAAAGGAAUGUGGACACAAAGCAACAUUUUUAUCACGGUUCCGUGGAUCCCGCUCAGCGUGCCUUCAUUCAGAAGCAAUUGAGUAAAAAAAUAAAAUUAAUACAACUUGCGUAACCCUGGCUUUUGGAAUGGGUAACAACAAAUCAGAUGUCCACUUUUUCAUUCAUUGUUUCUCCCAAAAUCAAUUAAAAGGCCUCGUCCAGAAUUUGUUGACAGGAGGCAGCAUUGUAUGUAUUACAGUCCAUACUCCAUUGAUAGGGACACUGAGCUCCAAUCAAUUACAAGAGUUUGUGAUAAUUCAAGACUACUUGGGAAGCCGCAACUGAUAGAAGAACAUGAGCUGGCAUUUUUAAAGAGGGAGAAAGAAGAGAUGGAAGCUCAAAAGAAACAGGCAGAGGCAUUUCAGUUAUCUCAACAGAUGCAGUUUUUGUAUAGUACAGAAAUUGUUAUGGGCCCUCAAGAUGAGGAAAGUACUGCAUAUCAUCACCAAUAUCCAACCGAGUCUUUCAGAUGCCUAUUGCGCAAAGAGAUGAUGAGUGAUCCAAUUGCAAUCGUCUGUGGGCAUAGCUGUGAGAGGAAGUUGAUUCAGGAAAUUUUCUGAAGAGAAGAGAAGACCUGCCCCAUAUGCAGAGAAAGGCUCAAGUCAUGGAGCUUACUCCAAAUCCUUUGCUUCGGAACUCUAUAGAAGAAUAGAAGCAAAGAGGCAUGAACUUAAGAUUCCAAGCUGCUCUUCUUGGAAUCACCCCCAAUGACCACUCUAUACAGAACAAAGCCUUGGAGGAGAUGCAAGUUCUAAUGGAAAGGCCACGCUAUACAGAAAAAGUUGCAAAUGAAGGCCUCAUCUCAAAAUUCGUGAUCUCUACUUCUGCAGAUCCAGAAGAGCCACUAGUGUUCAGAAAAGACCAUCCUAUAAAUUGAGAACAGUCUAAGAUACCAUGUAACAUAUUGUUUGAGAUGUUCAAGAAUCUUAGAUUAGCAAGGUCACAUAAUUCAUGUGGAAUCAGUCCAUGGAGGAGGUUCUCAGAAAUGUCUGGGCACUAAAGUUGUGAGAGAUGGCCAAAGUAUUCGGUUAUACUACCAGUGAGUCUAUUGCUAUGCUGAUCCAAGGAAGUCGGGUAAAGGCCAAUAAGAUUAAUCAGUUCUGAGAAAGAAGAAAUUGAACUAGACAGAUGAUUGAUGCUUAGAUCCAGAUCGGAAAAGCUUUGUAGCAUGCCAAUUGAAACGAGUGGUGGGAUCUAAGUUGAUUUAGAGAUUGAAGCAGAAUGGUCCAUCAAACACCCUUUUUUUUAAUAACUAGCAGAUUGCAAAGCUAUCAACAAGGGUCUUUUCAUGCAAGUAUCAACAGCUGAAUCAUUAGCACCUUCAUGCUUCCAAACUCUACUUCUAGCAUGGCCAUCUUGACGCACACCUCUUCCUCCAUUUUCUUCAUUGAGAAUUUACAGUUUUGAAUUGAUCUUUCAAACCCUUUUUCAACUGAAUAAAUUUAGCUUUGAAGAUUCAUCAAAUAACUUUAGUUUUCUUUAAAAGUUCCUUAGGAGCUUCUAGGUAUAAAAUCCCAACUUUAACAUGCUAUUCGCUGCCACUUUCCUUCAGGCAUGCAUUUUCACUAUUUUCUUUUAUUUUUCAUGGUUUUCUCGAUUUUCAACUAGCAUGAACAAACUUCAUAAUUCCAAGUCAUGGAAUUUAUGGAAUCAACUCACGCGAGAUUAAUUAGGGCUUUGGUGGGGGCCUGACAUUCAUGAUAUCCUCUUCCAUAUUGUUUGCUUGAUAUCUGAUUGAUUUUUGACUCCCCUGAUGAUAUACAUGAAUUUGUUUUAUAUCUAUUGUUGAGAUACCCUUGUUCCCAUAGACGUGUGGAUGCCCGCUAAUCAGGUACGCUCUCUUUACCUCCCAACUCUAAAAUUCUAUGAAUAUGUAUGUUAUCAUGAGCCAUGACCGUGUUUGAUGCCGUAUUUGAUUGUCUUGAUGCUUGCUUGAUCAUCUUUGAUAAAAUACAUGUAAUGUGUCAUAUUCCCAAACUAAUCUCUUAUGUUUUAUGAUAGCGCUUGAGAAGUUGUUCAGGUACGCGCUUCAACUCUCUCUUAUGGUUGGUUUUCUUAUUAGGCAUGCAAUAUUUGAAAUCACCUUAGUCUAUCUAGGUACUCUCAAUUAAUCAAUUAAUUGCCCCAUUUCCCUCAACUUAGUCAAUAGAGACCUCUUUGGGGCUUAGAGGGGUGCUACCUCCUAGAGGUACCUUCCCAAUAAGUAACCUAAUCCCCGUACCUAGACUCGGGUUUUUCAAAGAUAUGCUUUUUCCAAAACUAUGGAGUCACUUUUUAGGGUUUUUCUUUCUUGUUUUAUUUUCCCUUCAAAAUAAAAAUAAAAUAGGUGGCGACUCCAACUUUUCUAAAAUUAAUUUUUCACAAAUAAAAAGCGAGUCUCGCCGAUCGAGUGGGAGCGCACGUGAAAAAUGCGGGUCCACACCUGGUAUCAUGACAUUUAUCAGUUCUUGUCAUGUGGCGCUUACCCUGAGUCAACCACUGUCAAGGAUAGGAGAGCUUUGAGGUAGUUGGUCACUAGAUUUGUGAUUUGUGGAGAGUCCUUGUAUAGACGAUCGCCAGAUGGCCUAUUGUUGUUAUGUCUAAACCGUGCCUCUGCAGAUCGAGUAAUGAGAAAGGUUCAUGCAGGAGUUUGUGGCUUACACAUGGGAGGACACAUGUUAGCCUGAAAGAUUAUGAGGACAGGUUAUUUCUGGUUGACCAUGGAAGCAGAUUGUUGUCAGUUCGUUCAGAGGUGCCCAGAGUGCCAACUGCCCGAUGAUCUCAUUCACAUGCCACCUUCGGAGUUGCAUGCACUCACAUCCCCUUGGCCAUUUUCAAUGUGGGGUAUUGAUAUUGUUGGAAAGAUCUCGCCCAAGUCUUCCAGCGAGCACGAGUACAUCUUAGUAGCCAUUGAUUACUUCACCAAGUGGGUGGAAGCCGCUGGUGGCCAAAUUCAUCAGAUCAUAUAUCAUCUACCGAUACGGAGUCCCUCACGAGUUGAUCUCAGACAAAGGGGUGCAUUUCAGAGGUGAGGUGGAUACAUUGGUUCAGAAGUAUGGUGUUCAUCAUCAUAGAUUGUCUGCGUAUAGGCCAUAGACUAAUGGGGCAGUUGAGGCCGCCAAUAAGAAUAUUAAGCGGACUUUGAGGAAGAUGGUUGAGACUUCUCGGGAUUGGUCAGAGAAGCUCCCUUUUGCGCUAUGGGCUUAUCGCACUUCUUUUCGUACCUCUAUUGGAGCUACGCCUUACUCCUUGGUGUAUGGUAUGGAAGUAGUGCUACCUGUUGAGAUUGAGAUGAGAUCUUUGAGAGUAACAUUAGAGCAGUAGAUAUCCGAGACCAAGUGGGCUCAGUCUCGUUAUGAUCAGCUUAGCCUUCUAGAUGAGAGAAGAUUGAGGGCAGCAGAUCAUGUUUAGGCUUAUCAGAGGAAAAUGACCCGUGCAUUCAGGAAGAGGGUUAAGCCCAGGAAAUUUCAGAAAGGUGACCUCGUUUUGAAGGUCCUCAAAGGAUUGAUCAGCGACCCUAGAGACAAGUUUAGACCGAGCUGGAGCGGGCCGUAUGUUAUCUAAGAUUUGACCCGAGAGGGAGUUGCCUAGUUGAUAGAUCUAGACGAAAAUCGGUUUUCGGAGCCAAUCAAUGUGGAUCAGCUGAAGAAGUUUUACGUGUGAGAUCAUGGUCAGAGGAUGGGUGGCCAUCGUUUUGAGUAGCCAUAUUCCCUGUUGCACACCCACACAUUAAUAUAUCCCAUUGGUAGCCCGUUGAGCCUCACACAAUUCAUUAUGACCUAUUCGUUCACUUAGCCUUACAUACCUUUUCUCAUCUAGGUUGGGGGCCUCCUCUUGUGCGCUUUGCAUUUAUUGUCUAAAUCGGUGAGUAUUGUGAGUCCAUUGUGUCAUUGUUCGUUCGUUUCAUUUUUGGGUCAUUCAUGAUUUCUUCUUUCCUGCAUUGUCUAUCUUCACUUUGUCUAUCUUUGAGUUUUGUCUCUAUCCUUUCGAUUCUUUUCGUUUCUAUCUUCCCUUGUGUGAUGAUGACGUGCUCUCGUCCCGAAGCUGCAGGUCAAGCUUGUCUCACCCUUCAUUCCACCAUUAGGUUUUGAUCCAAGAGUUUUAGUUUGAGGGGACCAUUUGGGUUUGGGAUUUGGGGUACAUUUGUUAGAUCAUGUUGGUAUGGCCGUUGGCUUACUUUGUCGGUUGUUCCGCAAAAAAAAUAAAAAAUAAAAAAUAAAAAAAACAAAAUAAAACCAAAAACAAAAAAAAACUUGUGCUCAUUCGAUGUUCAUGUCAUUAAUAUUUGGGUUUUGCAUGGCUUGACGAAAGUAUCACGACUUGAUCAUCAGAGGUCAUUUUGGGUUUGAGAGACUUAUUCUUCUUUUGAGAGUCGGUAAGAACAUUGUACGACCCUUUUCUCCAUGGAUCUAGGAGACAUAUUGGGAGUGAGGUUUGGGUUUCCUUUACACUAGGUUCCUUGGAUCAUUAUCUAUAUCACCACUCCCAUCAUACAGUGACUUGCUUCGAUUUAGCGUUCAUGGGAUGAGUUGUUCGUCAUUAUCACACAUUACUACACGUUUAUCCCAACUUGUUUCUUCAUUUUCUUCUAUACCCAUUCAUCAUUCGUCUUAUCCCUUUUCGCUUUUUUUUACCCUCAUCGAUCAUCGUUUCGCUUCAUGAAUGACGUGUUCUUUGGUGCACAUCACCCGUCAUUGGAUAUUGUUCAUUUGGAUGUAGGGUUGAGUCACCUUACUCACAUGGUCCUCCGAUAUUUGACAUUGCGCACAAAGAGGCUUGGCAUUAUCUAUUAGGUAUUUGAUCCUUUGUUUCCCGUUGUUUCAUUCACCUUUUACCCCUAGCCUUCAUUACUGUCCGAGUCGUAAGACCACCCCGAGGCCAUGAGAUCUCGUGUUUGCUUCGAUGCAUUUCAUUCGGACAGGCUCCGUCUACUGAUUGAAGUAUGGGAUGCCGACAGUGCUCCAUUUCUUGAGGGAUAUCGAGGAUCGCAUACUGCUUUUCCAUUUCAUCUCUUCGCCUUUGGUCCAUGAUCAGAGACAGAUGAUGCAAAGAGUCAAGACUAUCCAGGACCCCCUCCGCUUGCUAGUUUGUUAUAUUCAUACUAGGGCAUACCCCUAUCCUUGCAUGAUGGCAUCAGUUCUUACACUGGGAAGCAGACAGCCCAUUUCACCAGGUGAUGCUUGGCAUCAGUGUUUGAGUAGGCCCCAGCAUUUAACUUGUUUUCUUCAUACAACAACUUGCUUCUAAGAGAUGGCCCGAGAUCAGAUUCAUGCGUGUUCGUCGACCCAGUAGAUGUGCACACUAGGGCAUACCCCAUACUUUGUCAUAUUCGCUUAUCCAGACGAUUGGGUUUCCAGUGAUAUAUUUCAGAGUUGUUUUUUUUUUUUUUCACCGAGGCACUUGCAUAUCAGAUGUACACACUGGGGCAUACCCCCUAUCUGUUUUUUUGUGGAUAUUGGAUGUUGCGGAAUAAAGUCGAUAUUGUUCUAUGAAUGAAUGUUGUGAUGUUUUCAUCUCUCUGACUUUGACCAUAUGUAUGGUUAUGGAAUUCUGACAUGGUAUGGAUAUCUUAGACUGGGGCAUAGCCCUUUCUUUUCACCUCUAGUCACGUUUCUGAGUUGUCCUACAAGGGCAUACUCCCUUUCUUUCCAUCUUGUUAGUGGUGUUCUAGUUUUCUCGCCUGUCAAUUAUUGGCAUUUUCUAGUCGUCACACUGAGGCAUACCCCUUCGUCUUUCAUGACUGAGAUGUUUGAUUUCUUGCUUAUUCGAAUCAUUUAGUGGCGUUCUCAUGUUCAUACUAGGGCAUACACCCUCUUUGUUUGUGUUGUUGUGCUUGGCUAGUUUUUUGGGUUUUCCGGUACUCGCUUGAAUUCGACCAUUUCCAGAUACUUACCCAGACCCUUUUUCGGUACUUGCCCAAAUACGGUCUAUUAUCCAGUAUUCACUCGGAUAUGAUCUAUUUUUUGGUACUUACCCGAAUACGAUCUAUUCUCCGGUACUCACUCGGAUACGAUCUCUUUUCGGUACUUGCCCAAAUAUGAUCUAUUCUCUGGUACUCACCAGGAUAUGAUCUCUUUUCUAGUACUCGCCCAUAUUCUACUUUUCUCGGUACUUGCCCGGAUUCUACCUUUCUUGAUACUCGCUCGGAUUCGACCCUUUCCCGGUACUUGCCCGGACCCUUUUUCAGUACUUGCCCGAAUACGAUCUAUUCUCCAGUACUCACCCGGAUACGAUAUCUUUUCUGGUACUCUCCCGGAUUCUAUCUUUCCUGAUACUCGCUCGGAUUCGACCCUUUCCCGGUACUCGCCCGAAUAUGAUCUAUUCUCCGGUACUCACCCGGAUACGAUCUCUUUUCCAGUACUCACCCGGAUAUGAUCUCUUUUCCGGUACUCGCCUAGAUACAAUCUCUUUUUUGAUACUCGCCCGAAUACGAUUUCCUCUCCGGCAUCAUGCCCAGAUUUCCGUGGGUUCUCCGAUACUUGCCCAAACUUGAUCCAUUUUCCUUUAGUCUAUUCUGGCACCGUGUCUAGAUCUCUUGAUCUUUUCAAGCAUCGCGUCUAGUUUCUUUUAGUCUUCUUUGGCAUCAUGCCCAAAUUCCUUUAGCUCUAUUCGGCAUCAUGCCCGGAUCCCUUAGUCAUUCCGGCGGCUCUUCGGCAUCGUGCCCAAAUCCCCUAUUUUCCGGCAUCGUGUCCGGUUUUCUUUUAUCUUUCCCGGCAUCACGCCCGAAUUUUCUUUGUUUUCUCUGGCAUCGCACCUGGAUCUUAUAUCUCUCCCGAAAACGCGUCCAGUUUUCUCCUAUCUUUUCUAGCACCUUGUCCAAAUUCCUUUAGCUUUCUCCGGUAGUGUGCCUGGGUCCUUUAGUCCUUCGGUCAUCAUGGCUCAUUCCCUUAGCUUCUUUAUGGUUGUGUGAGGAUAAAAUUGUUGGUCAUUUGAAUUCUUCACUAGAGUUCAUUUCACUCAUUCAUUGCUUAUACUUUGCAUUCGCGACAUUCAUUCACUCUACUAAAGAGGGGCAUAUUUGUAGACCCUCAAUUUUGUCCCUUGACACUUGCAUUUUAUCCUAUGGGUGUCACAUGCACCCAUGCUUUCAUAUGACCCUGCCAUGGCCCCCUUUUGGCCUUGAUUGGUUUCUGAGCCUUGUGUAGGUUCAUUUAUGGUCCAAUGUAGUGCCAGUGUGUAGUUCAUUUUGGAGUUCCAUCAUGGCUAAUUUCCCUAGUUAUUCACAUCAUGCUAUAGGGAAGGAAGUGAGGCCCCCUAAAAAUUUCAGUUUGGUUGGAAUUCAUAGGAGCAGGUCCGAAUUUGGAGCACUUGGGCUUGUUUUGAUCAUAUCUCCCUCAUCCAAACUCAGAAUUGUGCACCGUGUUUUUUAUGGACUCCUUAUUCUUCAAGGAACAUUCUGUCAAAAUUUCAAAUUUUUUCUCAAUCGGCUCGACCGGUUCCCAAAGUUUCAGUUUAGGUAGAAUUCAUUGAAGCAGGUUCGAAUUUAGAGCACUUAGGCUUGUUUUGAUCAUAUCUCCCUCAUCCGAACUCAGAAUCAUGCACCAUUUUUUUUAUGGACUCCUUAUUCUUCAAGGAACAUUCUAUCAAAAUUUAUAAUUUUUUCUCAACCGGCUCGACCGGUUCCCAAAGUUUUAGUUUAGGCAGAAUUGAUUGAAGCAUGUCCGAAUUCAGAACACUUAGGCUUGUUUUGAUCAUAUCUCCCUCAUCCGACCUCGGAAUCAUGCACCGUUUUUUUUAUGGACUUCUUAUUCAAGGAAAAUUAUGUCAAAUUUUCACAAAUUUUCUUAACCAUAUCGACUGGUUGGAAUCCGAUUCAACUGGUUCAUCGAGUCAGCUUGUUUGGAGCACUGAUUUUGGUGAUUUUGAAGCCCAAUUCCUACAUGGCUCCAGAUCAGUUUUUGGUUGUAUUUUGGAUCCAUUUUGGCCUUAUUUCGGAUUCCUUGCAGCCCACCAUAAAUCCAUAUGGAUCCUUGGUGGGGAAGCAAGUUUAAAGCUUAAGAUAGUCAGCUUGCAUGGAAAAUGAGGAGGGGAGUUAAUGGGGAAACGGAUUCCGAGACUGACUGGAGCUCUUUCCAGAGCUUGAAGAAGAGAAAAACGAAGAGGAUUUGGUGGCUGGAGGUCUGGGACUAUAAAAGAGGGAAAAAAUCAGAUUUGAAGGGACUUCUUCUUUUUCUGAGAGGGGGGACUCUGUGGAAUCAUAGGAGAGGAAUUUUAUAAGAGGUUUUUGGAGGGUUUCUUUUCAUGAGUGGUCUGAAGGAGUGAAGUGAAGGGGUCCUCAGACUUUUGGGGGUCUCGGAUACAUUUGGAGAAGCUUUGCAAGCUAAAGGAGCAUCUCUCAAAGGCUGGUUCUUUAGGUACGUUUCUGGUUCCUCACAAAACUCUAGCUUGCAUUCGGUUCCUCUUUCUGAUCGUUCCAGAAUGCUUAAUGCUUUAUUGAUUGGUGUAGACAAAAAGGGCCACAAAUUGUUAUGUUGAAAUUGGUUCUUUGUGUGUUUUCCAUGAUCUUCAUUCAGUUAAUGUCAUUGAUCUCGUUUGAUUUUGUUCAUGUUAAAAAUCUAUUUUGAAUCAUUCUCCCGUUUUAAUGUCCAGACCUAUUUUAUAAACGCGUUGCCUUGUUUUGACCGGUUCUUCCUCAUUCAGGCUUGGAAAUGAGUGUCGUUACUUUUUUUGGAUUAUUUAUUCUUUUUGAAAUCUACUGUUAAAAUUUCAGAAAUUUUCUCAACCGGUUGUAUUGGUUGGGAACCGGUUCAACAAGUCCUACAUGUCCAACCUUGUUUUAUAAGCAUGUUGCCUUGUUUUGAUCGGUUCUCCCUAAUCUGGGCUCGGAAUUGAGUGUUGUUGCUUUUUUUGGAUUCUUUAUUCUUUGAGGAAUCUAAUGUUAAAAUUUCAGAAUUUUCUCAACCAGUUGAACGGUUUGGGAACCAGUUCAACAGGUGGCUUUGUGGCAGCCUCGGUUUUGAAGCAUUUUGCAUUGUUUCGGCCGGUUCUCCCUCAUUCGGGCUCGGAAUUGAGCACCAUUUUUUUUUUUUGGAUUCCUUAUUCUCUGAGGAAUAUUCUAGUAAAAUUUCAGAUUUUUUCUCAACCGGUUGAGUCAGUUGGGAACCGAUUCAACCGGUUCUUCUAGGUAGCUCCAAUUUCAGCGUGUUUUGACGCCCAUUUUUGUUGUGGCUUAGGCCCUUAGGCUCCAAGGCACUUGUAGGCCACCUUUAGGGUUUGAAUCCAGAUUUUAUUUGAAUUAAUAUGAACCCACCUAUGAUUUGAGGGUAUUAUUGGCUAGGAAGGUCGGGGGGCUUAUUGUGAAUGUUUGGCUUAGGCACAUUUUGAUGUUUGAUUAAAAAUGCUUGUGUCUAGUGAUUUACCCCUGUUUGCAGCGCUUGGUUGGGGACCUGAGGUACGUACUUGACUUGUUGGGAAUUGGAUUCAUUUGCAUGCGUGGGGCUUGGAUAUGUUUGCUCGUUGUGUGUUUAUAUUGCUUGACUAACCUCUUAUGUAGCGCUUGGCUAAGGACCUCAGGUACAUACCUUUUAGCUUUGAUUUGUGGAGACUAAGUGCACGCUAGAUACUGAGUAGGUUCAUGUGAUCUAUGUCAUUUGUUUAGCUUGAUUGAUCGAUUGAUCUUUGACCCAUAUGCUCCUAUGUACCCAAUUCAUUAGUAGAGACCGAGUUUCGGGCCUAGAGGGGUGCUGCCUCGCAUGAGGUACCUUCUCAAUAGGUAACCUAAUCCCCAGGCCCAGAAUCUAGUUUUUGCAAACUGCUUUUUCCAUACUGGAGUCAUUAAGGGUUUUUGUUCUUGAUUUUCCCCUUAUAAAAUAAAAAUAAAAAGUAAGUAGCGACUCUAAACAAAACCAUUCCUCACUGAGGACGGAUUUUCCAAAACCCGAAAACACACUUACUUUCUUAUUCUUUUAAAAAGCGAGUCGUGCUGACCCGUGGACCGGGUGAGGGUCCACACUAAGCCUCUUGAGUUGUUGCAUAUGGAUUUAUUUGGUUCCUCUAGGACACCAAGUCUUGGAAGAAAAUCUUAUGCAUAUGUUAUUAUGGAUGACUUCUCUAGAUAUACAUGGGUCUUGUUUUUAAGUCCAAAGAAUGAAGCCUUUUAUGAGUUUUCAAAUUUUUGCAAUAAGGUUCAAAAUGAAAAAGGUUUUACAAUUACUUGUAUAAGAAGUGAUCAUGAGAGAGAAUUUGAAAAUAUUGAUUUUGAAGAAUAUUGCAAUGAGCAUGGAAUUAACCACAAUUUUUCAGCUCUUAGAACUCCCCAACAAAAUGGGGUAGUUGAAAGGAAAAAUAGAAUUAUUCAAGAAAUGGCUAGAACCAUGCUAAAUGAAAACAAUUUACCAAAAUAUUUUUGGGCCGAAGCGGUUAACACUUCUUAUUAUGUUUUCAAUAGAAUAUUAUUGAGGCCCAUUCUUAAGAAGACUCCUUAUAAGCUUUGGAAAAACAAGAAACUCGACAGUAGCUAUUUCAAAGUCUUUGGGUGUAAACUUUUUAUAUUAAACACCAAAGACAAUCUUGGAAAAUUUGAUGCAAAAUCGAAUAUUGGAAUUUUCCUUGGUUACUCAACUUCAAGUAAAGCUUUUAGAGUUUUUAACAAAAGAACCAUGAUUGUAGAGGAGUCCAUCCAUGUUAUUUUUUAUGAAUCUAACCAUUCUCUCCAAGAAAGAGAGAGUUUUGAUGAUUAUUUAGGUUUGGAGACCUCCAUGAAAAAAUUGCAAAUUGAAGAUAGAAGGCAACAAGAAGAAAUUUGAGAGGAUCCCAAGAAAGAAGAAUCACCAUUGGCAUUACCCCCUCCUCACCAAGUGCAAGGUGAAUCAAGUGAAGACCUUCCUAAAGAUUGAAAGUUUAUCAUUAACCACUCACAAGAUCAAAUUAUAGGUAAUCCAUCUAGUGGUGUAACAACUAGAUCAUCUCUUAGAAAUAUUUGCAAUAAUCUUGUUUUUAUCUCUCAAAUUGAACCUAAAAACAUAAAUGAUGCUUUAGUUGAUGAAAAUUGGAUGAUUGCUACGCAAGAUGAGUUAAAUCAAUUUCAAAGAAGUGAAGUAUGAGAAUUAGUACCAAGACCUUCAAAUCAAAGUGUUAUUGGAACUAGAUGGGUCUUUAGAAAUAAAAUGGAUGAAAAUGGCAUAAUUGUUAGAAAUAAAGCAAGAUUGGUAGCCCAAGGUUUUAAUCAAGAAGAAAUGAUAGAUUAUGAAGAAACCUUUACCCCCAUAGCUAGGUUGGAAGCCAUUAGGAUGCUACUUGUCUUUGCAUGUUUUAAAAACUUUUCUUUAUAUCAAAUGGGUGUGAAAAGUUCUUUUUUAAAUGGCUUUAUAAAUGAAGAAGUAUAUGUUGAACAACCACCCGGUUUUCAAAGUUUUAACUUUCCUAAUCAUGUUUUUAAACUUAAAAAGGCACUCUAUGGUUUGAAACAAGCACUUAGAGCAUGGUAUGAAAGAUUGAGUAAAUUUCUUUUGAAAAAGGGUGUUAAAAUGGAAAAAAAUUGACACAACUCUUUUCAUAAAGACCAAAAAAUAUAUAUAUAUGCUCUUAGUUCAAAUAUAUAUUGAUGAUAUUAUUUUUGGAGCUACUAAUGUCUCUCUUUGUGAAGAAUUUUCUAAGUGCAUGCAUAGUGAGUUUGAAAUGAGCAUGAUGGGAGAACUCAACUUCUUCCUUGGACUUCAAAUAAAGCAACUAAAGGAAGGAACCUUCAUCAAUCAAGCAAAGUAUAUAAGAGAUCUUCUCAAAAGGUUCAACAUGGAAGAAGCCAAAAUAAUGAAGACUCCAAUGAGCUCAUCGAUCAAGCUUGAUAAGGAUGAGAAAGGUAAAUCCAUUAACUCAACUAUGUAUAGAGGCAUGAUAGGUUCUUUGUUAUAUUUGACCGCUAGUAGACCCAACAUUAUGUAUAGUGUAUGCUUGUGUGCUAGAUUUCAAUCUUGUCCUAAAGAAUCUCACUUAAGUGUCUUAAAACAAAUUCUUAGAUAUUUGAAAGGGACAAUGGACAUAGGCUUAUGGUAUCCUAAGAGUGAUAACUUUGAAUUAAUUGGAUUUUUGGAUGUCGAUUUUACCAAUUGUAGGGUUGAAAGAAAAAACACUAGUGGCACUUGUCAUUUCCUAGGACACUCACUUGUUUCAUGGCAUAGUAAGAAUCAAAAUUCGGUAGCUUUGUCAACGGUUGAAGCUGAAUACAUAGUAGCCGGUUUAUGUUGUGCACAAAUUCUUUGGAUGAAACAAACACUUGGUGAUUUUGAUUUAUCUUUUGAGCAUGUUCCUAUUAAAUGUGAUAAUACUAGUGCCAUACAUAUAUCAAAAAAUCUCGUGCAAUACUUUAGGACUAAGCAUAUAGAGAUUAGACAUCAAUUUCUUAGAGACCAUGCACAAAAGAGUGACAUAGGACUUGAAUUUGUAAGCACAAAAAAUCAACUUGCCGAUAUCUUUACAAAACCUCUAAGUGAAGAACAAUUUGUUGACAUUAGAAGACAACUAGGAGUGAUUUAUUUAUGAUCUAAUGAUUGCUUCUUGAUGAAUAUAUCUUCUGAUUGCAUGAAUUUCAUGUCAUAUGCAUCAUAUAGACACAUACUUAGAUAAAUGGUCAAAUUUUGACCAAAAAUCAAAAUUCUCUUGGCAUUGGGCAUAAAAAAUUGGGGAUUUCAACUAAAAAGGGCAGAGGGAGGAGGGGAUCAGAAAACGAGAAAAUGCACAAAAUGUGAAAAAUCAAUCUCGUUAACCACGUUGACCAGGUUGUCGACCAAACCAGGACCAAUCAACCAAUUCAUCGGGACUAGGGAUUUAAAAAGACUCCCACGCAUCAUUUUCUCCAUUGUUCUCCUCCAUUUCUUUAGGGUUUUUCACAUUUCGGCUUCCAGAGAUCAGUUUAAGCAAGGUUUAGACCGAUUGAAGGCUUUGGAUUGGAUUUUUAGGAGGAUUGGAGUGUAGGGUUUCGGUUUUGGACUACACUUUCUUCCUCCUACGCGCCAUAACCAGGGUUUUCUUCAUUCUUGCGCACUUAGGGUUUCAGUUAUGAGUGCUUCUCUCUCUACCAGCCUCGUCUCCUUUGUUUCUAUCUUGCUCAUGGCUCCUAGGAGAGAGUUGGCUACCUCUAUGGCACAAGACAAGCGCCCAGCUAAGCCAUUUCAGCCCCCUCUAUCAGAGGCUCGUCGAUAGGCAAGGUUUGACACCUCCCUAUUCAGCUCCAUGGAAGACUACCAGCGGUACAAGCAAAAGUUUGCUUAGAGGAAAGUAGUUCCAGGGAAAAGUAUCAAUUUCUCCCAACUCCAGCAUUUCGGAUUUGAGGGAUUGUUUGGUAUGAUGGGUUGGUUGCCUAUGGUGACGAUUUUGGAGCUGAUUUUUUCGAUAUUGGUGUGAGCCUUCUAUUUGAGGGCAACAUAUGGCAUUGGUGGCCCAAUUAUUUCCACCGUUAGAGGAGUCAAGAUUCGGCUGGACUUGGAAAGCAUCUGCCACAUUUUCAAUAUUGCUCUAAUUGGACUUAGGGUGUACGAGUCUAAGAUUUGGCCACUAUGUUGGGUUUUAAGCCUAGAGAGGCCAUUCAGAGAAUGUGCGGACUUGCAGACGCCUAGAGGAUGGGCAAACCAUCAGCCCACAACUUGACCGUGAUCAACAGAAUACUACACCACAUGAUUUGCUCUAUCUUGCUACCACGAGGCGAACACAAAGACGAGGUCUCCUAUUAUGAAGAAUUCCUCAUGGACUCUAUUCUAAUGGGGAGACAAAUUCACUUGGAAUAUUUGAUGAUGAUGCACAUGAUCUCAUGUUGCGAGAGCAUGACCCGUGUACUCCCCUAUGGUUGUUUCCUCACUAGAGUGUUCAAGGAUGUCGGGGUUGAUUUGAGUAGAGAGACAGAUUUUGAGGCCCCCAACAUAUAUGAUACAUAUGAUGAGUAGUCUUUGGGGCGAGUGAAAUUUGAGAAGGCCCCCGAUGGUUCUUGGAUUAGGAGAGUAAAGAGACCACCAGCAUAGGCCUGGGAAUAAGGACAGGUACAUCCUGGUGUAAAAGAGGAGGACAAGAUACAAGAGAUAAAAGGUAGAAUAGACCCUCAGAGAGGCUUUGAGCUGAAAGAUCUCGAGCUUGACAUUCCUCCACUCCAGUCAGAGGUUGUUUAGUUUGAGGCCAUAUUUUCUGAGUCGAUAAUGUUUGAGCUGACUUACACAGCGGGACCAUCUUCUCAGCCAUCAUUCACUAAGCCUCCUCACACAGAGAUACCACCUCAUUAGGCAUCUCACACUCUUAAUCAUGUGCCUUGGAUGGAUCUAUCUGCUCAAAUUAGCUCUCUCAGCACUCGUAUGAAGGAGCUCGCAGUAGUUAGUGAUACUUGAUUCUACUCCAUGGAGGAUCCAUUGAAUCGAUAUCAGACUGGUUUCACUUCUCAGUUUGAGCAUUUUCAGCAAAGAUUUGAGCGUAUGGAGGAUCACAUGGAUCAACAGCAGGCUGCGUUUGAGCAUCUCCAGCGAAGGAUUGAGCGUAUUGAGAGUCUCCAAAAGAGUUAGCAUGAGGAGAUAAUGGCUUACCUAUGCUCCGUGUUUCCACUUCCACUUCCUCAGCCUUGAUUUCAUAGAGACCUCCUUCGUUUCUUUUUUAUAUUGCCAAAAAGAUGAGAGAUAUUUAAGAUCUAGGAGACUUACAUGCAUAUCAUUGUCAUAUCUUUUGUUUGGAUCAUAUAUAUGAUAGGCUUAUAUGUUUCAUGUACAUUUGACUUAUAUAUGAUAUGCUAUAUGUUUCAUGACUUACACUGUUUCAUAUUGAAAAUUUACAUGUCUUGAUUAUCUUGGUUUUAACUUCAUAAAUUUUGAUUGAUUGAUCCAUGAUUGGUUUGAGGGGGAGAUUUUUCUUCUCCUAGAUAACCAAGGUUUAUCAUCAUAAAAAAAGGGAGAUUGUUAGCCCAAGGGUUCUCCUAAUCAGGUUUUGAUGAUAACAAACCAUGGUAAAUUUACUAAUUGGAUUAAAUUGUAAAGAAUCUCAAGUAUUAAUUUGAAAAUUCAUCAAAUGACCUAAUGGAUACAAGAUCAAGACGUCUGGAAGACCUUUAAUCAUAGAAAAUAAUUGUAAGAUGAAUGCAUGGGUGCACUUAGGUUUUACAUAUCAUUUCAUGCAUUUUUGGAAAACUCGAUUUAUUCUUUAAAGUUAUAAUUUCAUUAAAACCCGAGUUUUAUCAAAUGUACCUUCAGCAAAACAUUUCAAAAUUAGUAUAUUAAUUUACCUAAAGACCUUUCCUAAGUGUUAGAAAAGAAAAGAACAUAAAAAGAUAGGUUUUCGGUGCCCAAAGGUUGAACCGAUCGAGGCAUUGGGCCAACCGGCUCAACCGGCCAGGGUACCGGUCGAAGAGUGCUAAAAACACUCUCUCUCAUCCAGUAGUCUUCCCUUCCUGCUCGAGGUAUCCUUAUUCUCGGUUGACCUCUGAUCGAGGUCCGGUUGAAGCAACGGUAACUUGCUAAAGCACUAAAUGCUCCAACAGUUAGUGAACUAGUCAACCCACAGCUCGACCGAUUGUGGCUGCUUUUUGUUUUUCUUGGCUCUCGAGGUUAGAAACCUAUAAAUUGAGAGUUUCACUUCAUUUAUGACAUAGAGAACACUUGCAUUUAAUUGUCUACCCACUUGUUCUUGCCUUAAAAGCUCUCAUUUCUUUCUUGGUGCAUUAAAUCUUCACUUGCAUAUCUUUUAGUGCACCCUUGUGAGUCAUCCUAGCUUUGAUUUGUAUUUGAGCCAUUAUUGAGCUAGGUUGAUAGAAGAUCAUCCCUGUAAAUUUAGUGUUAGAGCCUUCAAGUGAGUUGAAUCUUGAAGAGAUUGUGUAAGAGCCCAUUAGAGUCGGAAUCCAAGUGUAAAAGAGAUUAGAAGCUUGGUUGAAGCUUCAAGUUAGUGGAAUCCUCACUCGGUUAGGAGAUUGAGGAGAGUGGACGUAGGCAAGGAAGUGUUGAACCACUAUAAAAUCUGAGUUUGAAUUCUCUAACUCUAUCUCUUUAUAUUUGCUUCUAUUGUGCUUGAAUUUGUUGUGUUGAAAAAGUUUUUGAAAAACCCAAUUCACUCCCCUCUUGGGUGUUUUUCUCAUUUAAGAUUAGCUUUUAUUUUCUCAAAUACUAUAAAAAAAAUUAAAGUAAAUUAUUUUUAAAAUUUUGUUAUCUUUUACAUUUACAAUUUAUAUUUUAAUAGAAAGAAGACUAAUAGUGCAUUUUAUUGGGGAUGAAAUAUUUUAGUCUCCAAUAUUGAGUUUUUACAACAAAACAAUUUCUUCUCUAAUAAAUUUCUUUAUUCCUCCGUCUAAUGGUAUUAAGACAAUAAUUUUGUCCCUCAUUGUGAGGUUUUUCCUCUCCAAAACUAUUUAACAACAAAAGUAUUUUUAUUGCCCAUUAUUUACCUUUUGGGACGACAUUAAGUUUUCAUCUCCUAAUAUAUUUUUUACCAUGAAAUAUUUUGUUGUUAAAAUUUAUGAUGUCGUCACAAAUAAUUUGGCCUCAUUUCACACUCAAUUAAAAUUUUAGACACAAAUUUUUGUAACAAAGUCAAAUUUUGUUUCCCAAAAUCAAAUUUAGAGACAAAAUUAUAUUCAUGUCCAAAAAAAUUGUGCCAAAAGGUAGAAUUUCUUGUAGUGCCUUUACUUAUUAGAUGAACGAUAAAAAAUUUUCCUUCUCAUUCUCUCUCUCUUUAACAUGUAAGCUAAAUAAAUAAAUAAACAAGAAUACAUUUCUUCAAAUACUUUUACCUUAAAUUUUACUCUAUAGAGAAUAAAAAUAGUCAAUGGUAAAAUCAAUCUCAACAUUUAUCUCUUUGUUCUUCUCUUUUUUAUUUCUUCAUCUAUCUCUCUAGGGGUUUUCUAUCAUCUCCAGAUUCUUCAAACUUAUAUAUAUUUAAAACUAAAACUCCCCAAACUUGGUUUAAAAUUUGUAACUCCCCAAUCGUGGUUUAAAAUUGUAACUUUUUUAUUUUUUUUAUUUUGUUUUUAAUAACGUAUCCUUAUCUUUAUCCUUAUUAUUAUUAUUAUUAUUCUAUGAACUAAAUUAGGAAUAUUAGACUAUCCCCUCUUUUAAAAAAAAAGUUUAGUCUUCUAAACCUAGCAUACUUGAAAUUAGAAAAAAAGAUGUGGAAACUUUUCCCUCAUCUCAUCUUCAAGUUCCCAAAUCACCUCUCGUUUGGAGUGAUUACUCCAUUGAACUUUAACUAAUUUGAUUGUUACAAGAAGAAACAUCUUAUCCAUCAUGUCAACAAUCUGAAUUGGAACUUCCUCAUAAGAUAGAGUUUAUGUGAUUACUACUCAAAAAGUGCUCUUUUAUAGCUUGAAAUUAACUAUUUUAAACACUUUUGAGUAGUAGUUAAUACUUUUUAACUCAAUUGGCACAUUAAGGAACCUAGCAAGGGUUACUAAUCAGUUUUUGGCUAGUUUUGGUGUUUUUGGUAGCUUUUUUAUCAUUGAAACAAGCAAAGAAUGAGGGCGAAUUUUGUGCAAUACAUGGCAAUGCAAGUCGAAGCUCAAAUACAUGAAGAAUCUGAGUUUUGGAGCACUUCAUAGCCCUUUGCCAAGCUUGGCAAUAGGUUGCCAAGCCAAUCAGAGAUGUAAGGAAGAAAACCACAGGAAAAAAUCCAACAUGUAGCAAUUUUGAAUGUCUAUGCGAAAGAGAAGGAACAACUUCAGGACUGAGUGAAGGACAAUUUUGCACACUAUUCAAAAUUUCACACACCCUGCGAAACCACAAGAUGCAACAAAACUGAAUUUCGCACACCAUGCGAAAUUUCGCAUGGUUUGUGAAAUCCUCCUGUGCACCAACUCUGUUAGAUUUUUAUCUCUAGAUUUUGUGUAAAUUACUAUUUUCUCCUAGUAAUCAACCAAUGAUAGGAUUUCUUGGUUAGGAACUAUAAAGGGGGGUUGGAAAGACCUCUCCAUAGAAUAUCUUUUUAUAUAAUCUUUUGGACAUAUGACACUUGUAAUUCCCAUUGGAAGAAAUAAAUAGAGCCCUUACUCUGCCCUUCCUUUUCAUUUUCUUUUCAUUUUUCUUUCUAGCCAAACGACCUCUGAGGAUGAUUUCUCAGGGGAUGAGUGGCUAAGUUUUACGUUUCUUGGAGUGAUGGAAACUAGGUGAAGAAUCCAGAUGCAAAGGUGGGAGUUUUCCUUGCUUUAAAUGAAGGUAGUUGUUAACCAUUAAUGGUUUUUAUUUCAAGGUUUAGCUUUAAAUCCCUUAUGAUUACUACCCAAAGAGUGCUAUUUUAUACCUUUAAUUCAAUAUCUUUUAAGCACUUUUGUGUAGUAAUUCUCCAUCUUUAUUCCAAUUGGCAUGUUAAGGACCUAGCAAUGACUUCUAAUCAUAUUUGUGGCUAGUUUUAGUGUUUUGAUAGCCUUUUGGAUCAUUAAGACAAGCUAAGCAAAAGAAAGAAGCAAAGAGAAGCAAAGUGAAAAAAUCAGAGGACAGCAGCUGUAGUCUUCUUUCGCACUUUUGGAGCACUUACCGAAGUCCAUUUUCUACAUGCUAUAUACCAUUUCAAAGCUCAGGAAGUCAAGAAUCCAACGCUUCAAACUGUGUACGAUUUCAAGCUGAAAUGAGGAAGAUAUGGCCUUCGGAAGCCAACCGCUCCAGGUUGUGCGAAAAUUUCGCACGACACCUUGUGUUGUGCGAAAUUCGCACAACACCUUCAAAAUUCGCACAACCCAUGCGUGGUGCGAAUUUUGCUCUGUUUUUGCCGAAUCCACUUUAGAUAUUUUCUUAUGUAUUUUUUGAUGUAAUUUCCUUUCUUAUCCUUGUAACUAACCAAUCACAAGCUUUUGCUUUUGUAAAGACUAUAUAAGGGGUGGAAGUCACCUCUUGAAAAAAUACAUGUUACGUUUGACACUUAGAAAAUUUACAGAGCUCUCUCGUUUCUCUUUUCUCUUUGCUAUUUUAUUUUUCUUGGAAGCCAAAUAAUCUCUGAGGAUGUUUUCCCGGAGGAUGGGAGGCUAAACUUUUGGUUUCUUGGAGUAAAGGAAGCUAGGUGAAAAGUCCAGAUGCAAAGGUGGAAAGCUUCCGUGCAUUAAAUUCAGGUAGUUGGAGUUCAUAAAUGGCUUCUAAAUCCAAAGUUUUGCUUUAAAUCCCUUAGAAUCACUAUGAAUGGCCAAUACAUAGUAAGCUUCAGGUCUCUAUGGAUGCUUAUUGCUAGAUCCAUAUCAGUCCAUUAGUUAUCAUGUACGAGCCAUUGGAAAGUGGUUCAAGGUGAAGACCCUUAGUGUCUUAAGCCAUUAAUGGACCUUGACUACCAUUUCUAUUGACUUUUUAUGGAUUAAAUCUUCAUUGUCAAACCUAUACCGGUUCGGGAAAUAACUAUAGGUUAAAUCCCCAAUGCGAGGAGAAAAAUCCGGAAUUUUCCACUUUGCAUUCUGAAAUUGAUCCUAGCAACCCUUAGCUCCGGGAGACUUUCUUUAUUCCAUUUUCACUUAGUUUAUGUUAGUUUAGUUUCAAACACUUUCAAAACAAAUUUUAUUUUCUUUUUAACUUUAAGUUUUUGAUAAAGGAAAUCAUUAAAUUCAAUUUCUAAUCUUGAGUAUAUCACUGGUAGAAUGAAAACCCAUCCCAGAGUUCGACCCUAGAGCCACUAUACUAUAGUAGCUUUGCUACGCUAGUAUGAGGUCAUAGGUUUUAUAAAUGUUUUUUAUUAAAUGACCCAACUGGAGUUAUACGCAAAUCACCUUAGAAUCACCUUGAAUGGCCAAUACUUGGUAAGCUUUCCAGAUUCUAUGGAUGCUUAUUACUAGAUCCAUGGACGUCCAUUAGUUAUCAAGUAUGAGCCAUUGGAAGGUGGUUCAAUGUGAGAAUCACCUUGAAUGGCCAAUACUUGGUAAGCUUUCCGGAUUCUAUGGAUGCUUAUUGUUAGAUCCAUGAAUGUUUAUUAGUUAUCAAGUACGAGCCAUUGGAAGGUGGUUCAAGGUGAAGGUCUUUAGUGUUUGAAGCCAUUAAUGGGAAGCAACUACCAUUUUUCAUGAACCCUUUGGAUCAAAUCUUAAUUGCUAAAUACAAAACCGGUUCGGGAGAUAACCAUCCUUUAUGUUAUUGUCCCCUAUGUGAGGAGAAGAUCUGGAAUCUCCCCCUUUGCCUAAAGAACCCAAUCCUAGUGACCUAAAGCUCCAAGAGACAUCUCUUUGUAGUUAACUUCAAUUGCUACUUUUGCUUAACUUAAAAUCAACCUUUUCAACCACAAUUCCAUUUUCUUUAAAAGCUAAUUUUCAUAAUGAAAAACACCAUUUCAUUACCUUUACUAAAGUCACUUGUACGAAGAAAACUCAUCCCUGUGGACGAUCCUAGAGCCACUAUACUAUAGUAGCCAUGCUACCCUAGUGUAAGGUGAUUUAGGUUUUAUAAAUUUUGUUGAUAACACCCGUCUGGCGAAAGAAUCAAAUGGCGUUGUUGCCGGGGAUGGUGCCAAAGUACAUUGACAUUACUUUUGGUGAACACUUGUGAUCUUCAUCACGAGUUUGGUGAUUUUUCUUUUACUAAUUCUUUUUCUUUGUCUCUAUUUUAGCUUAUCUUUUAUUUAGUUUUUAGCUAACCUUAACCUCUUUUUAAAAUUGUAUUUCUUUUGUUUUCUUUGUUUUUGUUUCAAUGAUCUCUAGUUGUGCAUGCCCUAUUGGAUAAGAGAUAUUGAGGGAAGACUUGUGAAGAUUGAAACUCCUCAAGAAACUGAGUUGGAAGUGUGCUUGAACAUCAUGGAUGUUCCACCUGAAGACCAGAAUAGCCAACAUGGUCAAGAGGAUAAUUUCAAUGCAUACCGAUCCAUGAGGGACCGCAUGCAUCUACCUCGUAUGAGUGCACCUUCAUGCAUAGUGCAUCCUAUUGAGCAACUAGUAAUCUGACCUCACAUUAUGCCACUCCUACCUACUUUCCAUGGGAUGGAAAGUGAGAAUCCCUACUCGCAUAUUAAGGAAUUCGAGGAGGUUUGUAAUACAUUCCAAGAAGGAGGAGCUUCAAUUGACUUGAUGAGGCUCAAGCUAUUUCCUUUCACCUUGAAGGAUAAGGCCAAGAUUUGGCUCAAAUCUCUAAGGCCAAGGAGUAUCCGAACUUGGACUGAUUUGCAAGCCGAGUUUCUCAAGAAGUUCUGCCCUACUCAUAGGAUCAAUGGUCUGAAAAGGAAAAUUUCUAACUUCUCAGCUAAAGAGAAUGAGAAAUUCUAUGAGUGUUGGGAGAGGUACAUGGAAGCUAUUAAUGCUUGUCCUCACCAUGGCUUUGACACAUGGCUCUUAGUGAGCUAUUUUUAUGAUGGUAUGUCUUCUUCAAUGAAGCAACUUCUAGAAACUAUGUGUGGAGGAGACUUCAUGACUAAGAAUCUAGAGGAAGCCAUGGACUUUUUGAUUUAUGUGGCUGAAGUUUCAAGAGGAUGGGAUGAACCAAACGUUAGAGAGGUGGGAAGAAUGAAGUCUCAACCUAAUGCUAAGGGUGGGAUGUAUGUUUUGAAUGAAGACAUUGACAUGAAGGCAAAGGUUGUAGCUAUGGCAAAGAGAUUGGAAGAGCUAGAAAUGAAGAAGGCACAAGAAGUGCAAGCCAUUUCUGAGACAUCAGUGCAAGCUAUGCCUUGUUCCAUUUGUCAAUCUUAUGAGCACUUGGUGGAGGAAUGUCCUACCAUUCUAGCAUUGAGAGAGAUGUUUGGUGAUCAAACAAAUGUUAUUGUUCAAUUCAAGCCCAAUAACAAUGCUUCAUAUGGUAACACCUACAAUUCAAAUUGGAGGAACCAUCCAAAUUUAUCUUGGAAACCAAAGCCACCUUAGUACACAUAACCUGCUCAAACACCUCAGCAAGCCUAGAAUCUUGAACAAGCUAUUGUGAACCUUAGCAUGGUUGUGGGAGACUUUGUGGGAGAUCAGAAGUCCAUCAAUGCUCAAUUGAAUCAGAGAAUUGAUAGUGUGGAGAGUACAUUGAACAAAAUGAUGGAUAGGAUGCAAAAUGAUUUGUCUCAGAAGAUAGACAAUGUCUAAUACGCAAUCUCAAGGCUUACCAACCUCAACAUAGUAGGAAAGUUUCCUUUUCAACCUCAUCAAAAUCCCAUGGGUAUCCAUGAAGUGGAGGCUCAAGAGGGAGAAUCUUCAAAGGUGAGGGAAGUUAAAGCAGUUAUCACCUUGAAGAGUAGUAAAGAGGUUGAUCAGCUCACAUCCAAGCCAAAGCAUGAUGAAGAGAGUGUAGCAGAAAAAAAAAAGUGAGUAAAUUAAAGGAAAGAAAAAAGGGAAAAGUACAAAGAAAGAUGACCAUGAUUCUAGUGUGAAUAAAGAACCCAAGAGGAUAGUCAUCAAGGAAGAUAUGAUGAAGAAACACAUGUCUCCACCUUUCCCUCAAGCUUUGCAUGGUAAAAAGGGAACCAAUAAUACAUCAUAAAUUUUUGAAGUGUUGAGGCAAGUGAAGGUCAAUAUCCCUUUUCUAGACAUGAUCAAACAAGUGUUGACAUAUGCAAAAUUCUUGAAGGACUUGUGCACUGUAAAGAGAGGGUUGAAUGUGAACAAGAAAGCCUUCUUGAUUGACCAAGUGAGUGUCAUCAUAUAGUGCAAGUCUCCAGUAAAGGACAAAGAUUUGGGCUACCCUACCAUCUCAGUGUGUAUUGGAGGGACUUGUAUGGAGAAAGCUUUGUUGGACUUGGGAGCAAGUGUGAAUUUGCUACCCUACUCUGUCUACAAGCAGUUGGGACUUGAAGAGUUAAAGCCAACAUCCAUCACUCUAUCUCUUCCAGAUAGAUCGGUGAAGAUUCCAAGAGGGAUGAUCAAAGAUGUCUUGGUUCAAGUUGACAAAUUCUCUUAUCCAGUAGAUUUUUUUGUUCUUGAUACGGAUCCGGUUGUCAAAUGAACUAAUUAUGUUCCUAUCAUACUUGGAAGACCAUUCCUAGCUACAUCAAAUGCAAUCAUCAAUUGAAGGAAUAGAGUCAUGCAACUCACAUUUGGCAACAUGACAUUAGAGCUCAACAUCUUCCAUUUGUGCAAUAAGCAUAUCCAUCCGAAAGAAGAAGGAGGUCCAAAGGAAGUGUGCAUGAUUGACACUUUAGUGGAAGAACAUUGUGAUCAGAGAAUGCAGGAGGAUUUGAUUGAGAGUCUUGGGGAUCUUGAUGAAGGGUUACCUGAACCCUCAUAUUUGCUUGCUACCUUGUCUCCUUAGAGGAGGAGAUAAGAAAUUCUACCCUUAUUCAAUGAGGAGGAGACAUAAAGAGCUGCUAAGGAGGAGCCCCCAAAGCUUAUUCUUAAGCCACUACCCACAGAGUUGAAGUAUGCAUACUUGGAAGAAGACAAGCAAUGCCCUGUUGUUAUAUCUUCAACUCUUACCAUUCAUCAAGAGGAUUGUCUACUUGAAGUCCUUAGAAGAUGCAAGAAGGCUAUAGGGUGGCAAAUUUCUUAUUUGAAAGGGAUUGGCCCUUUAGUAUGCACCUAUCAUAUUCACAUGAAGGAUGAAGCUAAGCCAGUUCGUUAACCCCAGAGAAUGUUGAACCCUAGAGAAUGUUGAACCCUCACAUGCAAGAGGCGAUGCGAGUUGAAGUUUUUAAGCUACUUUAGGCCGGUAUUAUCUACCCCAUAUCAGAUAGCCCAUGGGUGAGUCCUACUCAAGUUGUGCCAAAGAAGUUUGGGAUCACGGUGGUGCAAAAUGAUAAGGGAGAAGAUGUCUCUACACGCCCCACUACAGGUUGGAGGGUGUGUAUCGAUUACAGGAGAUUGAAUGCAGUGACAAGGAAUGACCAUUUCCCAUUGCCCUUUAUUGAUUAGGUGCUUGAGAGGGUCUCUGGGCAUCCUUUUUAUUGUUUCUUGGAUGGAUACUCUAGGUAUUUUCAGAUAGAAAUUGAUGUUGAAGACCAAGAGAAGACCACUUUCACGUGCCCAUUUGGCACCUAUGCAUACAGGAUAAUGCCUUUUGGCUUAUGCAAUGCACCAUAACUUUCCAAAGAUGCAUGUUAAGCAUUUUCGGUGAUAUGGUGGAGCGUAUUAUGGAAGUCUUUAUGGAUGAUAUCACCAUAUAUGGAAGUGCAUUUGAUGAAUGCAUAGUCAACUUAGAAGUUGUUCUGAACCGAUGCAUUGAGAAAGACUUAGUGUUUAACUGGGAGAAGUGUCAUUUCAUGGUACAACAAGGGAUUGUCCUUAGGCACAUUAUCUCCAAGCAAGACAUUGAAGUUGACAAAGCAAAAGUUGAACUCAUUGUCAAGUUGCCAUUCCCAACAAAUGUCAAAGGAGUAAGGCAAUUCCUUGGCCAUGUCAGGUUCUAUAGGAGGUUUAUCAAGGAUUUCUUUAAGCUUGCAAGGCCUCUUUGUGAACUAUUGGUGAAGGAUGCUAAAUUCAUAUGGGAUGAUAGAUGCCAAAGGAGUUUUGAAGAAGUAAAGCUAUUUCUGACAACCGCAUCAAUAAUGAGGGCUCCCAACUAGCAACUGCACUUUGAGGUAAUGUGUGAUGCCAGUGACUUUUCCAUAGGAGCUGUUCUUGGGUAAAGAGAAGAUGGAAAACCCUAUGUGAUCUACUACGCGAGCAAGACAUUGAAUGAGGCACAAAGAAAAUACACAACCACCGAGAAAGAAUUGUUAGUUGUAGUUUUUGCCUUGGAUAAGUUUCGUGCUUACUUGGUGGGGUCCUUCAUUGUGGUUUUCACUGAUCACUCUACAUUGAAGUAUCUAUUGACUAAGCAAGAUGCUAAAGCAAGGCUGAUUAGAUGGAUCCUCUUGCUUCAAGAGUUCAAUGUUCAUAUCAAAGACAAGAAAGGAGUGGAGAAUGUGGUAGUAGACCAUCUUUCAAGGCUAGCUAUCGCUCAUAAUUCCCAUGGUUUGCCCAUCAAUGAUGAUUUUCCAGAGGAGUCUCUCAUGUUGGUGGAAGUUGCUCCUUGGUAUGCUCACAUUGCUAACUACCUAGUCACAGGAGAAGUUCCAAGUGAGUGGAAAGCACAAGAUAAGAAGUAAUUCUUUGCAAAAAUUCAUGCCUACUAUUGGGAAGAGUCAUUUCUAUUCAAGUAUUGUGCAGAUUAGAUAAUAAGGAAGUGCGUUCCUAAAGAAGAGCAACAGGGGAUCCUCAAUCAUUGCCAUGAAAAUGCAUGUGGAGGCCACUUUGCUUCUCAGAAGACAACCAUGAAGGUGUUGCAAUCGGGUUUCUGUUGGCCAUCACUUUUCAAAGAUGCCCACACCAUAUGCAAGAGUUGUGAUCGAUGCCAGAGGGUUGGGAAGUUGACACGCAGGAACAUGAUGCCUUUGAACCCCAUUUUGAUAGUUGAUCUUUUUUAUGUUUGGGGCAUUGACUUCAUGGGACCAUUCUCUAUGUCUUUUGGCUACUCUUACAUCUUGGUAGAAGUAGAUUAUGUUUCUAAGUGGGUUGAGGCAGUCUCAUGCAAGCACAAUGACCAUAGAGUGGUUCUCAAGUUUCUCAAGGAGAACAACUUCUCAAGCUUUGGGGUGCCCAAAGCCAUAAUUAGUGAUGGGGGUACUCAUUUUUGCAACAAGCCUUUUGAAACUCUCUUAGCCAAGUAUGGGGUGAAGCAUAAGGUAGUUACACCUUACCACCCUCAAACUAGUGGGCAAGUUAAGUCAGCAAACCGGGAAAUUAAAAACAUAUUGAUGAAGGUGGUGAACACAAAUAGAAAAGAUUGGUCUACCUAGCUCCUUGAUUCACUAUGGGCAUAUAGAACAGCUUACAAGACCAUUCUUGGGAUGUAUCCUUAUUGCCUAGUCUUGGCAAAGCAUGCCAUCUCCUUGUGAAAUUGGAAUACAAGGCUUGGUGGGCAAUCAAGAAGUUCAACAUGGAUUUGAGUAGAGUUGGGAUGAAGAGGUUCUUAGACCUCAAUGAGUUGGAGGAACUGAGAAAUGAUGCCUACAUCAAUUCAAAAAUUGCAAAAGAGAGAUUCCUGCAAAGAUUUUUAAAAUGGACAAAGAGUCUUGCUAUAUGACUCUAAGCUCCACAUCUUUCCAGGCAAGCUAAAAUCAAGGUGGAUAGGUCCUUUUAGCAUUCACCAAGUGCAUUCAAAUGGAGUAGUGGAACUACUCAACUCCAACAACACUAGUAGCUUCAAAGUGAAUGGCAACUGUCUCAAGCCCUUUGUGGAGCCUUUUUCUCAUGACAAUGAGGAAUUCAUCCUCCUUGAUUCACAUUAAGCUUGACAAGACCAGUUUUUGGAUGGACUUAGUCUUUCUAAAGACUAUCAAGUCCAUAUCUUUUUGUUUUAUUUUUUAUUUGAGAGUUUUCUUGUAUUGUAACUUGUUUUGAUUUUGAUUUCUCACUUUAAUUUCAUUUUGGUUUGAUUUAACUUAAGUUUUUGAUGAUCAAUUUCAGGGGAAACUUCAAAGCAGUUGGGCAUGUCCUUAAAGAUUCUUGGCAGACAAAAAACCUUGAAGAAAAAAUUCACCAAGGCAUUUCGCACACCCUUGCAAAAAUUUCGCCGGGUAUGCGAAACCCUUCUCAAAUAGUAAAGUCACCUACUACCAGUUUUGAGCCCUUUAAAUUCCAUUUCGCGCACCCAACACCAGUUCGCACACUCUACGAAAAUCUAAGGGGUCUACGAACCCAUUUCGCACACUCAACACCGUGCGAAACACCCUUGAGAAUUUAUUUUUAAAUACCUCCCGAACCCUAACUCCCCUUUUUUUCCCCCAUUUCGUAAGCACCCUUCCAUUGCCAAUCUUUCUACCACCUUGCGGUCUCUUCACAGUGUCACCCCAUGCCUUAGUUCUGGUUCCGCCCUCUGUUCAGACGCUCCCCCUCCUCGUAUCUCACUCCUCCGUCCCUCUCCCAUUCGACAACCCCCUUCGAGCACGGACCCGAGACUCAUUUCUCCAUUUCACUCGGGAGGUACCACUUCCUCCCUUUAUUUUCAAUUGCUCUUGACACAUUGAGGGUAAUUUUGAUCUUGGUUGGGGGGAGAGUUGAGGAAGGAAGUAUUGUUAAUAAUGCUAGGCUAAUUUGUUAAUUUAGUUAUAUUUUACUUAAUUUUAAAAUUUUUUACUCUACUCUCCAUGGUUAUUAAGGAAAAAUUCUCAAAAUGAAAUGGGAGAAAUUGAGUUCUUAUCUCUUUACUUGAAUCUUAGAGUUUGUAUUAUGCUUAUUGAGGUUGAUGAAUUAUUGAAACUCCUAUUGAAUUCAACCUUAAUUCUUCCACUUUAAUCUUACCACACAUUAUGCACAUUAGGUUCCGAUUAUAAGAUGAAAAACUAUCUCACCCCCUGAACUUAGGAAAAUUUCGACUUGGUACCUUUGACCUCAUUUUAAUAGUGUUGGGACACCUUAUAAAAGCCAAUGAGCCUUCAAAAAAAAAAAAAAAACAAAGUGUUUCACUUGCCUUCAAACCCGAGCAAGGUCCAAGGAGUAUAUGGUGAAAGUCUUUAAAACCCAGUUCCCUAAGCCUUUAUUGGUUGGGAGUCACCGACCUCAAUGAUCGUUACAAGGGUGACUAGGUGGAGUUUAACAUAUUGUAGGUGCUUGGGUAUUGAAUUUCAAUCUAAAAAAUCCGGGGUGAAAUCUGAGGAAUUAGUUGUCGAAAGAUCCUUAAAGCUUGAUGCCCUAAACCUUGAUUGGUUGGGAGUCAUCGAUGGAUCCUCGUUACAUGGACACUUUAGAAAACAAUACCUUUAGCAUUGCACUCCUACGAUGAAAAAAAAAUUGUGAAAUAAAAAAGGUGUGUUCUUAGCCUAUUGGAGGUUGGUCAGUUUGCUAAGGUUUGAGAAAGAACUAGGUUAGGGGGAGAGAAUAGUUCGACAUACUAUAAUCGAAAACUAAUAAGCUUAACACUUAGAUUUUUGUGGAAGAGUAAGGAUUGGACCUUUGGGAGUGGAAAUUCUUUUGAUGCUUAAAUUUUCAUAAUGUCUACUCUUUAUAAAUUGUGAUUAAGCAAUAUAUUUGAUGACUCUUGUUGAAGGUUGGGUUUUGCCUCUUUGAUGUUCCAUGAGAGAGUAUGAUCCGCAUCAUGCCACUUGAAAAUUUUUUAGACUGAUUAGCAUGAUUUUUUAAAUUAUUUUACUGUCUAUUUUUCUUUAUCUCUCCUUCAUUGCUAAGGGACUAGCAAUGUGUCAAUUGGAGGGAGUGAUUACUACUCAAAAAGUGCUCUUUUAUAGCUUGAAAUUAAUUGUUUUAAACACUUUUGAGUAGUAGUUAAUACUUUUUCUCAAUUGGCACAUUAAGGAACCUAGCAAGGGUUAUUAAUCAGUUUUUGCCUAGUUUUGGUGUUUUUGGUAGCUUUUUUAUCAUUAAAACAAGCAAAGAAUGAGGGAGAAUUUUGUGCAAUCCAUGGCAAUGCAAGUUGAAGCUCAAAUACAUGAAGAAUCCAAGUUUUGGAGCACUUCAUAGCCCUUUGCCAAGCCAAUCAGAGAUGCAAGGAAGAAAACCAGAAGAAAUUUUGCAUAUCAUGUGAAAUCAAGAGAAGGAGCAGCUGUAGGACUAAGUGAAGGAAAAUUUCGCACACUGUGCGAAAUUUCACACACCCUGCGAAACCACAAGAUGCAGCAAAAAUGAAUUUCACACACCAUGCGAAAUUUCUCAUGGUCUGCAAAAUCUUCCUGUGCACCGACUCCAUUAGAUUUUUAUCUCCAGAUUUUUGUGUAAAUUACUAUUUUCUCCUUGUAAUCAACCAAUGAUAGGAUUUCUUGGUUAGGAACUAUAAAGGGGGGUUGGAAAGACCUUUCUAUAGAAUAUCUUUUUGUAUAAUCUUUUGGAUAUACGGAACUUGUAAUUCCUGUAGGAAAAAAUAAACAGAGCCCUUGCUCUGCCUUUCCUUUUCAUUUUUCUUUCUAGCUAAACAACCUCUAAGGAUGAUUUCUCAAGGGAUGAGUGGCUAAGUUUUACAUUUCUUGGAGUGAUGGAAACUAGGUGAAGGACCCGGAUGCAAAUGUUGGAGUUUUCCUUUCUUUAAAUGAAGGUAGUUAUUAACCAUUAAUGGUUUUUAUUUCAAGGUUUAGCUUUAAAUCCCUUAGAAUCGCCUUGAAUGGCCAAUACUUGGUAAGCUUUCCGAAUUCUAUGGAUGCUUAUUGCUAGAUCCAUGGAUGUCCAUUAGUUAUCAAGUACGAGCCAUUGGAAGGUGGUUCAAGGUGAGAAUCACCUUGAAUGGCCAAUACUUGGUAAGCUUUUCGGAUUCUAUGGAUGUUUAUUGCUAGAUCCAUGGAUGUUCAUUAGUUAUCAAGUACGAGCCAUUGGAAAGUGGUUCAAGGUGAAGGUCUUUAGUGUUUGAAGCCAGUAAUGGGAAGCAACUACCAUUUUUCAGGAACCCUUUAGAUCAAAUCUUAAUUGCUAAAUACAAAACCGGUUCGGGAGAUAACCAUCCUUUAUGUUAUUGUCCCGAAUGCGAGGAGAAGAUCCGAAAUCUCCCCAAUUGCCUAAGGAACCCGAUCCUAGUGACUUAAAGCUCCAAGAGACAUUCUCUUUGUAGUUAACUUCAAUUUCUAUUUUUGCUUAACUUAAAAUCAACUUUUUCAACCACAAUUCCAUUUUCUUUAAAAGCUAAUUUUCAUAAGGAAAAGCACCAUUUCAUUACCUUUACUAAAGUCACUUGUACAAAGAAAACCCAUCCCUAUGGACGAUCCUAGAGCCACUAUACUAUAGUAGCCAUGCUACCCUAGUGUAAGGUGAUUUAGGUUUUAUAAAUUUUGUUGAUAACACCCAUCUGGCACAAGAAUCAAAUGGCGUCGUUGCUGGGGAUGAAUCAUUAUGCUAAAUGAAUCAGUUCAAGUUCCACAACAUGUGAAGGAUCAUAAACAUAAUUUUUUAAAGCUGAUACGUGAAACACAUUAUUAACCUUUUCCAAACUUGGGGAUAAAGCCACCAUUUAUGCUAAGGAGCUAACUUUAUCCAAAAUUUCAAAUGGUCCCACAAACCUAGGACUAAGUUUUCUUUUCAAACCAAAUCUCAUAACUGACUUAAGAGGUGAUACUAUAAGAAGCACAUGAUCACCAACCUAGAACUCCAAAUUUCACCUUCUAUUAUCAUUAUAACUAUUUUGUCUACUCUGAGCUAUUUUUAAUCUUUCUUUGAUUAAAGCAAUUUUUUUACAAGUUUCUUGAACUAAUUCUAGUUCCAAAAAUUUUAUCUCACCAACCUCAUCCCAAUAAACAAAGGAUCUACACUUUCGGCCAAACAAAGCUUCAAAAGGUGGCUUCCUACUAUGAAAAUUAUUGUUGUAGGCAAACCCCACUAAGAGUAGAUGGUUGUCCCAAUCACCUCCAAAAUCUAAAAUACAUGCCCAAACCAUAUCUUCCAAAAUUUGAAUUACCCUUUCUGAUUGUCCAUUGGAUUGAAGGUGAAAGGUUGUACUAAAAUUUAGUUGAGUUACCAUAGCUUUUUGCAACCUCUUCUAAAAUUGGGAAGUAAAACGAGCGUCUCAAUUUGAUAUUAUACAUAUUGGAACUCCAUGCAUCCUCACAAUCUCCUUAACAUACAACAAGGCUAAUUUGUCCAAGGACCAAUUAGUUUGAAUAGGUAAAAAGUGGGUUAAUUUAGUUAGUUUAUAAACAAUCACCCACACAACAUUACUUCCCACCACAAAUUUGGGAAAGCUAAAAACAAAAUCCAUUGUAAUGUGUUCUCGCUUCUAAUUAGGAAUGAGAAGUGGUUGCAACAUACCUAAUAGACGUUGAUACUCAGUUUUGACCUACUGACAACUCAAGAAUUGGGUAAUAAAUUAAGCGACACCACACUUCAAACCAGGUCACCAGUAAAGUUAUCUCUAAUACUGUUACAUUUUGGUCUCAUUGGGGUAGACUACAAAGUUAGAGGAGUGAGCUUCCUUUGAAAGUUCUUUCAUGAGAUUUCCAAGUUGGGGCACAUACGUACAAACGAAUUCUAAAUCUCAAUAUUCCAUCAUCUGGAAGUACAAAGUAAGACUUAGUUCCUCUUCCUAUAUAUAAUUUGAACAACCUGUAGAUCAUCUCUUUGUAAGGACUUGAUCCUCGCAAACAAAUUUGGUUGAACCUUGAGAUGAGCAAAUAAUACUCUAGACUAUAAAACUUCAAAUUAAACUAGCAGUCUAUUCAAUUCGAAUAACAUAUAUGGUUUUCUAACCCUCAAGGCUACUAAAGAACCAAAAUACUUCUUGCUUAAACCAUUUACUACUAUAUUCGCAUCAUCAGAAUGAUAUAGAAUAAAGCAAUUAUAGUUCUUGAGGAGUUCAAGCCACUUCUCUAUCUCAUAUUCAAUUCUUUUUGAGAAAACAAAUACUUUAGCCUUUUAUAAUUAGUGUAGAUCUCACAUGUCUCACCAUACAAAUAGUGUCUUCAUAUCUUAAGAGCAAAAAUCACUAUUGCUAAUUCCAAAUCAUGAGUAGGAUAGUUUCACUCAUAAGGUUUCAGUUGCCUAGAAGCAUAAGUGAUGACUUUCCCAUCCUGCAUGAGAACACAACCAAGCCCUUAAUGUGAAGCAUCACUAUAAAUAACAUAACCCCUAGAACUUGAGGGGAUUAUUAACAUUAUAUUCUUCAACUCUUGGAAGCUUUUCUCACAACCAUUAGACCAUAAAAAUUUGACCCUCUUUUGAGUAAGCUUUGUUAUUAGAGAUUCCCUUUAAAAUGUUUGUAAUAACCAGCUAAACCUAGGGGACUCCUAACCUUAGUUACCGAGUUAGGCUUGCUCCAACUAAGUCUACUAAUAUUCCCUCCUUGGAUAUUGCAUGGCUAAGAAAUAAAACUCUAUCCAACCAAAAUUCACAUUUCUUAAGCUUAAAAAAAAAAGUUGAUCUAGGUUUAGGAAGUAAGAAAAAAAAAAUAAUAAUAAUAAUUAAUAGUAGUACGAUGAAUGUUUUCUCUAAUUUAACCCUAGACAAAAACAAAGUCUUCAUGAGUGUGAGAGUUUUUAUUAUUAUUUGAAAGAAAUUUAUAUACAAUACAAUUCUAAAAUAAAAAAUCAGUAUUUAGUUUGAAGAAAAAUUCUAUAGAUUUAAGAAAUAAGGUUUCCAAGAAAAAUAUAAAGAUAAAUACAUUUAAAAAAAAUCAUUUUAGUUGUUCAAUAAAAGAAUGUAGUGCAUAAUGGAUAUUCGAUGUGAAUAAAACAUGAAUAAUAAAGGAAAAUAGGAAAAAUAAAAUAUGCAAUGUACAAUAGAAAAAAAAAUAUUAAUUAGGAUAAUUAAAAUAUAUAUAUAUAUAUAUAUAUAUAUAUAUAUAUAUAUAUAUAUAUAUAUAUAUAUAUAUAUAUAUAUAUAUAUAUAUUAAUUUAGUACUCAAUAAUGUAUGAAGAAAUAAAGAAUACAUUCUUACAUUUAAAUUUAAUUAUUAUAAGAAUAAAUUGGUACCAAGUGAUAUAAAAUUUCUAUUAGGUUAAAAUAGGUUUAUAUUAAUAAGAUUUAUUUUAUUUUUUUAGGUAAAUCCUAAGUUUAAUCAACUUCCUUGCUCAGUUCAACUUUUACCAGGUAAGGAAUUAUGAUCCUUAAAUAUUUUCUAAAGUAUUAUUUUUCUAAAAGGGUAGGAAAAUAUUUUACUAUAUGAAGAAUAUUUUAUAUUGUGAAAAAUAUUAUUAUUAUUAUUAUAUAUUCUGAUAUCUGGCCCUAGUCAAUAGGGGUUGUGUUGUUGGCCCUCAUUACUUAAUUGUAUGAGGAUUGGAAAACCUAGUCAAUGGGGUAGUUUGAUGGUACCAUCUGAUUGGUUAGUCCCUUCUGAAUUGAAGGAUCAUCCGUUUCUAAAGAUACCAUUAGUUUGGGAAAAUAAAAUUUUUUUUAUGCCUAUAUGUUUGAAGAUUAUAUUAUGUGUUAUGUCACUUUCUUUUUUUAUAUAUAAAAUAAAUUGUUAGUAUUUUCCUUAUUGAGCUAAAGCUUACUACUUUUGCUUUUCAAAACCCCUUUUAGGUUCCCCAAAUGUAGAUGGAAAUAAGUGACAUUGAAUAUAGGAGGGGUUCUUGUUAGUUAAGUUUAUGGAAGGCCUUAAAGCCUUUGUUUAGACAUGAUGAUUUGGACCAUGUGUUAUGUUUUAAUUAUCAAGUUAAUUUGAACAAAAUUAGUAUUUCAUAAUUAUGUGAAUCAUGAGACUUCUAUCUUAGAAAGAUAAUUUUAACUCUAUGUGCCUACUAGAAGGGAAGAAGAAGAAUCACUUUUGCUAGGAGGCAUAGAAAAGCAAGGACCUUAUUUAACUUUGUACGGUACAAUGCCUAUCAUACAGUUGCCCUGAAAUAUCAUUAGAAUUCACCCUUUUUUCCUUUUCUAUGUACAAACCUUUCCAUCCUCAAAGAUUUCCUCCAUAGAUCACAUCCACACAUAUUCAUUCCACACCAACAUUUAUUGUGUUAAUUCAACGUUUAUGCCCAAAUUUGUAAGUUCUGCUGGGAUUGCAGUUGAAGUUAUUGUCACCCCCAAAGCCAUACUUGGUGCGGUACCCUGGGUAGUCCCUAAAAUUAAAGGGCACUUCUUCUAUAAGUCGAAGCCCAACUCUUGAGGCUAGAAAUUCCAAAUUCCACUCACGAAAGAAGCCAUUGCUUUUGUGAGUAAUGUGGAUUUCUCCAUCUAUGUGAAUCAUCUUCUUAGCAUUUUCUAAAAACAGCUGUACCAGCAUUUGAUUUCUCCUGCAAGAAGAAACAAUGAUAUAGAAGGAAAAUUUUCAUGUGAGAAUUGGGAAUACAGGCUAUACAUAAAUUCGAUUGAAGAAGCUUUUCAAAGAAAGAAUCUACCAACCGGAUCUCAUCUUCCCUUGAUUCAUUGGGAAAAAAUCCAGCCAGCGGGAAGUUGUAGACAACUCGAUCAAAACGCAUGCAGUUGAAUGGUAAAACGUGUGCCAUUUUGGUGGCAUCAACAUCAUGCAUGACCUUAGCUCCCAAGCUCCAUAGUGUAUCGAUGUUGGACAAGGCAUGCCUAUAGUUUGUGCUCAAAAACUCUGAAAAUUGCAGUUGAUAGUCAUCAAUUAAGGCCAUAAGACAAACCCCAAAUGGGUGCUGGGGCACAUGCUAAUCAAGGUUUACUCGGGACUAGAAUGAGAAAAAUACCCAAAUCAACCAAAAUCAUGACAUUCAUGAGAAACACUCAAAGAAGGUUACCAACUUAUGAUUCAGGAUUUCUUAUUUGUUACCUAUAGAAUCAAGAGAAGUAGCGGUUAUGUUUGUAGCAGAAGCAAAAGCCACAGCCAAAGACGCAGAGAAUGAAAAGUCCCCUUCACCCACCAGCAAUAUUUUGUAUUCACUGC
rnacentral:lncRNA from 1 species